UUUGAUGGCACUAGGUGGUGGUGGCGGUGGCGGAGAGAAAGUAGGCACAACGGCUUCAAGCUGUGGGGCGCUGCUCUUGCUUUGCAUGGUCAUCAUGUCUCUCUCUAUUAUAUCCAUGGUCAUAUUUGCUUGUGGGGAUGGUAGUAAGGCUUCUACUUCACCUCGCAAGAAAAAAAGGAAGGACGCAGGAGAUUGUGGAAAUUGUGGUGAUUGUCUUUCUCUUUGUUGUGGAGAUGGUUGCGGUGGAGGUAGUGGGGAUGGUGGCGGUGGCGGUGGUUGUGGGGGUGGUGGCGGUGGUUGUGGAGGUGGUGGUGGAGGUGGCAGUGGCGGUGGCGGGGGUGGAGGUUGCUGAUGACAAAAAAAAUUGAGUUGAUAUAAAUUAUGUAUGAAUAUUCUUUUUGUAUUGAAGCUUAGAUAGUAUGGAUGUGUACAUAUUUGUUUGCAUUUUUUUUGGAAUAAAUAGCACGUUAGAAGUGCCCUUGCUUUCUUGCCUUAAAUUUAUGUGUGCUUAUGAAUGUUGAAAUAGAUUUUGUUUGCAUUAUUCAAUAUUUGGUGAUACCACAUUAAAUUCCUACCCAUUUUGUCAUUAUUUUUUCUUCAUCCAAACAGGCCCAAUUCAAACUCAACCCAGGUUCCAGAAACCCAAUCCAAGUUAGCACUUGAUGGGAUGUUCCUUGGAUCCAAGUGCUUAAACAUAUGUUGGAUGAGUACAAGCGGCAUUAUUCCUGUCUCUGUCCGAUGUGGGACCGAUUGGGAUUGAUAAGAAGAAAAAUAAAUGAAAGAAUUUCUAAGUGAAGGACUUAGAAAUCAGGUACUGAGGCUUAGGAAAAGGUACGGAAACCACUCAAACCACAUGCAUUCUAAUGCAUAAUGUAGCAAACCAGAAGACUAUAUUCAUUCCUAAGAAAAUUUAUAAUAUUGAAUAAAAUAAUAUAUAUAUAUAUAUAUAUAUAUAUAUAUAUACAUAUUUUAAAUUAUAAAAUUAAUUAAAAUUAAAUAAUUAAAUUUUAUUUCAUGUUUAAUAUAUUCACAUUUAAAUAUUAUACAUAUUUCAUUUAAUAAAAUUUAAAAUAUUAAUACAUGUAUACUUAUAUAUGAUUUAAUUUGAUAGUAUCAAAAAUAAAAAAAUACAUAUUAUUGAUUUUAAUUUAUUUAUAAAUAUCUUUAACUUUUUAUAUUUUUUUAAAAUUUUAAUAAUAUAUAAAUUAUAUAUUUAUAAUAUUAUCGGUUUGACCAUGAUUCAACUAUCAGUCUAACUAUUAAAUCGUAAACCUGAUUUGAUACUUGAAACAUUGAAAAAACCACAUUUACACUAAGUGACAUUACUUUUGUUAUUUGUAUUCUAGUUUGUCUUCAAAAGUAGUUCACAAUAAUCCAAAGAGUGAUUCUGGAUUACUAAAAACUCACUUUCAAUGUCAUCCUACAAAGUAGCACUCAAAUUAAGGGUCAAGAUUUUAAAUUUGGUAGGGUCCCAUUCAAUACUAUAUUAUUUUCCCCAUGGAAAAAGAAUAGUAACUACUAAUUGUUAUUAAAAAUAAUAAUUGAUCUUCCUUUCAAAUAUAAUUAUUAGCAUUUCUUUCAAGCACACUACACUAUUAUCAAUCAAACCACAUACACGAGCAAAAUUUAUAUAUAAAAAAAAAAAUUACAAGAUUUUUAACAUAGUUUAGUGAUCUAUAUUAUCCCUAUGUCACGGAGCAUACCAACAUUCGAAAAUUUACUAAUUAAAUGAAAGAGAAGAGUUACGAUGAUAAAAACUUUCACUUUCCUUUCAAUUUUAACCAUACUCCAAUUUUUUCUCUUUGAAAAAAUGAAAUCUAUCUAAAUCAUAAGAAGGUUAGAUAUAUAAUAAGAGCAAACUCGUCAUUCAAUAGAUAAAAUAAAAAUUCAAAAAGCAAUUCUUGUGAACUCAAUGGGAACUUAACUUUUGACAUUCCAUACGAAGUGCAAAAAAAUUGAUUUAGACUUCACAAUUCAAUAAUUAUAACGUAAAGUUUAUUGAAAAAAUAAACUUGAUUUAGAAACUUUCUAAAUAUUAGAAUUCGAUCACGGUUCCUACAAGCUAAACCCAUCAUCAUAGUCACCGGCGACACAGCCCAGCACCACCUAGCAUCGAUGGAGAUCGUUCUCACAAUAACCAAACACCAAUCGUUCACGGCAGCCGCCACCCUCCCAUGAGUUCAUCUUAGUUAAACUUUGUUAAUUCAAUUUAAUUUGAAAAAUGAUUUUUUAAAUAAAUAUUUCAACAACGGAAUUUUCAAGUUAUUUUUUGAGUUCAUUUCUAUGAAUUUUUUUUUUAAUAUUUUAAUUAAAAGAUGAUUAUUUUUGUCCACCUAAAACGGCCAACAAUUGAAUUUUCAAAUUAUUUUGUACAUAACAUAAAAAUGAUUUUGUUCAAGUAAGAAUUUUAAUGGUUGAAAUUUCAAAUAUUUACCACAUCACAUGAAAUAAAAAAAAUGUUUCUUUAAUAUUUAAUAAUUUCUGGUGUGAUAUUUAAUUUGUUUCUGUUAUAUUUAUAUAUAUAUAUAUAUAUUUUGUUGGUUAAAAAUAAAGUGUAAGAAGAGUUACACUUUUGAAAAAUAACUUUUGAAAAUAAAGUGUAAGAAGGGUUACACUUUUAAUGUAUGAAUUAAACACAUAAUUAAGUUUUGAAAUGUUACAAAACUUGAAAGGUUAAGGAAGACAAUGAGUCUUCUCAUCUUUGUAACUUUAUAAAACUUAAGAUGUUAAGUGUAAGAGAGUUACACAUUUGAGAUUAAAUCAUGUUUAAUGUGUAAAUUAAACAUAUGAUUUAAUUUUUGAAUGUUACAAAGAUGAAGAGUUGAGGAAGACAAUGAGUUUUAUCUCAUCCUUGUAACCAUUUUUUAACCCUAAGAGUGCUAUAUAUGACUUUUCUUCUUUUUGAAAUCUUAUGCAGAAAAGUGAAAAGGCUUAAUCAAUCCCAAGAUUAUUUCCAUUAGUUCCCUAAAGAUUUCUAGUGGUGGGAGGAAAUAGAGUCUUUGGACAAAGUUCUAAGAACUUGUUUGAGCCUUUCUUGUAUUCUUCUUUUUCUUGUUCUUAUUUUGUAAUUUUGAGAGUUUUAUUGUAUCAAGAGAGUGUUUGAGAAUGUUUCUUUUCUCCAUUGUAUCCAAUUUUUAACAUCAAUCAAAGACUUUAUUCUUCAAUAGAAGGAGAGACUAUCAAGAUUAUGAACCAAGACCUUGUGAGGUUGGAUCGUUUUGAUGGUUCCAACUUCACUAGGUGGCAAGACAAGGUGAGAUUCCUUCUCAUAGCACUCAAGAUUUUCUACAUCCUUGAUCCUACCUUAGUACCGUUACCGGAACCAAAGGAAAAUGACACACCUCAAGUGGUGGCGGCAAGGAAGAAGAGGGAGGAGGAUGAGCUCAUAUGUAGGGGUUAUAUUUUGAAUGCCUUAUUCGAUAGGCUAUAUGAUCUCUACACCAACACUUAUUCCGCGAGGGAGAUUUGGGAGGCUCUUGAAAACAAGUACAACGCCGAGGAAGAAGCACUACUACAAAAAACUAAUAUAAUGACGCUUCAUAUCUUGUCGCUUAUUAAAAGUGUCAAUAUUUAAAAGAAAAAUGGAUUAAUAUUGGCGUUUUAGGAACAAUGGCGCUUUUUAAAUAUUAUAAUGACGUUUCUAUUACUUGGUGUCUAUUCCGUGCCGCUUUUUAAGAGCGUCAUGGUAGGAGCUUGUAUUAUGAACAGCCUUGACACUUGUUAGAAGAGUCAUUUUAUUUUCUCCUAUAUAAAUCCCUUGUUUCUUUGAAACCCUCAAACCCUGAUAGCCAUAAAAAAAAAAAAAAAAAAAAAAAUUAAAAAAAAAAAAAAAAAAAUUAGGGCACAUACCCACAUUGGCAACCCACCACCAUUGCCACGGAAGGUGACUCCCCUCCCAAUGCCUUUACCUUCUACACUGCUAUCUUUCUCUCUCCCAUCCUCCAUUCAUCAUGUCAUUUCUUCAAUUCCUUUUUCCAGUCCUCCAUUCAUCACGUCAUCUCUUCGAUUACCAAAGAAAUUACAAGAUCUUGCUGGGGGGGCUGCUUCCAAUGAGCUCGAUCUCACCAAGGCUACACAAUUGUAUUGUGAGAACACCGAAAGUGACUUUAAUUUGGAUGAGGUUUAUUUUUUGCCUUUUUAUUUUAUUUUCUUUUUUUUUUUAGUUUUUGAUCUGGAGAAAACAUAAAUCAUUUCUAACUAGUGUUGAUUUCUCGUUGCUGUUCAAGGAGGAUGAUAAUAUAAUACUAUUGGCUGACCCCUUUCAUUUGUCUCUAUUGAAGGCUUGAAGCCUCCACGAAACUAGGGGACUUUUUAUUUAUUUUUUUCAAAUCCAAAGAAAUUGGGAAUUUCUAGGGUUUGAUUUUGAAUCUUCUCUGAAACCCUAAUUUCGAUUCUCUCUGUUGAUUCCAUGGCUUCUCGUAGGCGUAUGCUUCUGAAGGUCAUCAUCCUCGGUGAUAGCGGGUGAGUUUUCAAAUCUCCGAUCUGGUUGGUUUGUUUGCUUGUUCUCGGUUUGAUUGGUGAGUAUUUAGGAAGAGAAAGUGGAAGGAACUUUUGCGUCUUUUUUAUUAUGUUGGAUUGGUUUGGUUUUGUGAACAAUGAGGUGUUUUUUUUUAAUGUUAUUUAUCAUUAUCGUUAUUAUUAUUAUUUUUUUCUUGAACUUGAAUUUUUCCAAGAAAUCAUUUUUUUUCAUAUCUAUACUAGAGAACAAAUCAUUUUUUUGGUUAUGAAAAACACAAAUCGUUUUACGUUUUUUUUAGUUUGCUUGAUUUAGGGAAAACAUAAAUCAUUUUUAAGUGGUGUUGAUUUAUUUUAUUUUUGUUAUUUAUCAUUAUCAUUAUUUUUUUUUUAAAAAAAAUUAACUUGAUUUUUUCCAAGGAUUCAUUUUUCGGAUCUGUUCUGGAGAACAGUUAUUAAUAAUAAGAUAAGAUAACAAAAAAUGAUUGAGUUGCAUUGGGCAUCUUGUAAAGGAAUGAGGUGCUCUGCUCCUAAAAUAAAGAAAAGAGAUCCAGUUCUUUGCCCUAUGCCACCCAUUAGGGCCCUUCCAUGGCAUCUCUCAUAAUUUUUUUUUAAAAUUUCUCCUUGUUUGUUUUAUUUAUUAGGAAGGGCCCAUUUUUAACUGGUUGAUUUAUAAGCAUCUAAAGUAGGUUUUUGAUUCAAAAUCAGGCCUCAUCUUUUGGAAGCUCAAGCACAGUGGAGAUAUUUUAGCCUCCAAAAUUUAGAAAAGAUUGAGAAUAAUAGUGAGUACCUCAUUUGUUAAAUAAUAAAAGUUACCCUUGGGAUACCUUUACUUUUCUAGAUCACUUACAAUUUUUGCACAAUACUACCUUAAAAUUUUUGGUUUAUUUGUUAUGUUAUACAAGAUAAUUUUAAAUUACAAGGUUGCAGGUGAGAAUGGUACAACUAACUGGCUCUUAGAGUAGUUUCUCAUCUUAAAUUGCCUCAGCCACCACCAAUUGCUACAGUGUCAUUAGGAAUAGGAAAUAAAUUCCCAUUUUCAUUUGGUUAGGUAGGAUGCAAUGUUUAGUGGUCAUUAGUUUGAUUAUAGCAUAAACUAAUGCUUGUUAUGGUUUAACUUCCUAAAAAUAAUAAAAAAAUUAAAAAAAUUCCCAAACUAUAUUUUUGUUUUUCUUCAUGCAAUUGUGCUAUUUGGAGUUGCUUAAGUUUUUUAUUGAAUCAAGAUUUUUCUAUCUAGAAAUUUAUUCAUUUCUUUAAAUCAACUAUGUAUAUAUUUCAGCAAUCCUUAUCUUGAGAAAUGAUGUCUUAUAAUGGGAAUAUGAUUGCUACUAGAAGCAUUGGUUAAAUAAGCAUAACAUGCAGCUGUCUAAUUCACAGGGAAAGAAAAAGCCUGGCUUAAAUUGUCAAUUUAUGGAGUCAUUCUUAGAUGAAGUGAGAAUGGCAAGGGAAAUGAAUAUUGGCAGGUAUUGUUUUCUUGUCAUUUUUAGCUUAGACUUAAUGAAAUGUAAACAUGGAUAUAAAUGGUUCGGUAUCACUAAUAGGAUAUUGCACCUUAUAGUCUAGCCUUAAUUCUUGCAACUCUUUAACUCCUUUGCUUAAGCACUCUUUGUUGGAAGUCUCAUUUUUUUUUUUUUUUUUUUGCUUUUCUUGCUUCAUGUAUUUCAUAGUUAAAUGAGCUAAAUAGAUAAAUUUUGUAUAAAAUAUAACUUAGAUCUGACAAUAUCUUCUAACAUAUCUUGAUCACAUUUUACACAUGAUAUGUAAAUAUCUGAGAUACUAAAGGAAAAUGUAUUUGGGUUAUCAAAGAACACUUGGUGAUAAUGUUGUGCUAAAAUGACUAUAUUAUCAUCUUUAGUAACUAAACUCUUUCGCUAACAGUCCUGCCAGAUUGAAAAACCUAAAAUAGGGUGCAUUUUUUAAGACUUUCCAAUAGGUUAGAGAUCAGGUUUUUGGAUUUUGUGCAAAACAGAAAAAUUAUAGUAUUUGCUAUUAUUUUUAAAAUGAGACAAGUCCCAACUUGAUUCAAUACUGGAUCAAAUUUAUAUGAAAAUUUAAAUCUAUUGGUAUAGGUGAAGACAACUAUGCUGAAUUUUUUUUGUUUUGAAUGAACUCUUUUUGGGAUUGAUUUCUUAACCCUUGUUCUUGCUAUAUUUGAAUCCAUAUUUUUUUUUAUUUAAAUCCUUUGGAAUAUAGUUUCCAUAUUGGUAUUAUUUUAAAACUUUCAUGGUCAAGUAAAAAUUUUGAAAAAUCAUUCUUUUAGGACUCAUCAAAUUUUGGUUAUUGAAUUUCAAGGAUAUGGUGACUUAUGCUUCACCAUACUGAGCAAUAAAGCCCAUUAAACAUGUGGACUUAAAAAUUUUAUCUAUUACUGAAAGGGCCUACUUUCUUCGGGAUUAAGUUCCAAAUCUUGGUAGGUUGGGAUGCAAAUGUUUUAAAUAAGAUAGAAUUCUAUUUGUACUAUAACUUUAUGAUUUAAUUAUUUACUUUUAUAAUUACAUAAGAUUUUUAUGAUAUCUUAAAUCAAGCAAUGUCAUGUUUCUUGGUUUUGUUAAAAUAAAAUAUAAAAAUAAGUCUAUACUUCCUAUCUUAGGAUUUUUAUCAUCUAGUAAAUUACAAGCUCCUCUUAUUAUCAAAAUAAACAAAAAUAAAAGGAACUAGUAAAAAAUAAAAAGUAGUCAAAUAAAUAAAAAUAAUAAAAAUAUAAGAAAUUAAAAAUAAAAUUUAAUAAUAACAUAGUGAUAAUGUGAUGGUUUUCAUCAUGUUUGGACCUUGGUAUUUUUAUUUAUUGUGCAUUAUAGGACUUAUUCUUGUAUUCGGUAGUGCUUUAAGAGUUCACCAUUAAAUGUCCAUACGGAGCAAUCCUAACUCAUAUAUACACUUUAUAAUAAGUGUUUGAUGCAUAUUUAUUCACUUAGAGUCUAUGAGUUUAUUAAAGAUUUAAUUUAAUUGUUAACUUAUACUAAAAAUACAAUAUUUUAUCCCAUAAAAACAUAAUUUAUUUCUUCUAUGUUGUUGAAUAAAAAAUCAAACUUUUAAAAAAAUUUUAAGUACAUUUUUUUCCUUAUUUUGGGGAAAGCAUAAUAGUUAGUUGAAAUUGUAGUUCAGGGUAUUUUGUUGAUAGAGUACGAAUUUAUUUAUUUAGUUUCAACUCAUUGGUCUCAUUAAUGAAAUGUUUUGUAUGUCUAGUUUUACUUUGAUGAAUUCUUUUAUGAGGUCUUUUUUGAAGUAAUGCUCUAAAGGUGCAACAUAGAGACGCCAAUAUAUAUUUUUGUCUACAUUAGAAUAAUAUGUUAUAUUUUAUUUUGAAUACACUUCAUAAUGUAAUUUUUUUUUUCGUAUAAUGAAUUUUUUUUUUCUUCAUAUAAUGAAUUGAAAGGAGAAUCCAUGUAUGUAAGAGGCUAAGGGGAUUAUUCAUGUAAGCAAAGUUGAUAACGUUAAUUAAUUUUGUGAAGGUUAUAAUUUCAUUUAUGUUUAUUAUUUAUUGUACGUAUAUAUAAUUUAGAUGUUUUCUACUCUUCCUUAUUUUUAUUUACAGGUUGCAAAGGAAACUUGUUUUCUAAAAGAAGAGAAACCAUUGUGUUAAAGAAGACGAAGUCAAAAACCAUGAAGAUUACAUCAGUGAAGAACUCAUUAGGAGGUGGAACUAUGCUUUUAAAGAUUAUGGUUUAUUUUAGUAGUCUUGGUACCAAUGUUUGUUCUUAUGUUAGAAUUAGAAAUUCUUAUUGAAAUAUUUUGAUAUAAUUAACAAGUUUAUGUGUAAUUAAUAUAUAUAUAUAUAUAUAUAUAUAUAUAUAUAUAUAUAUAUAGGUGGUUACAUUAACUGUUUAAACUAGGUUCAUGUAUAUCAAUAUUUAGAUAUAUUUUAAUUAAUUAAAUUCGAUUUUAUUUUAUUGGUUGUAAUUGUUUUUUUAAUUUAAUUAUAUAAGAAAUCAAUUAUUUUAAUAACGGAAUCAAAAGAUUAUUUUUUAAUAGAAAUUGUUCAAAGAUGACGUUUUUAUAAGCAUCAUUGUUAACAUGAAAUAAAGAAGACAUUUUUAAAAGUGUCAUUAAUAAGAUUAAAUCAAAGAUGGCGUUCGCACAAGUGUCAAGAGUGAUAAUUUUAUAAAAUUUAUUUCAAUAAAAAUGUUCAAAGAUGACGCUUUCACAAGUGUCAUUGUUGACAUUAUUCAAGGAUGACACUUCUUAAAGCGCCAUUGAAAGCAUUAAUAAAAUAUGGCGCUUCUUGAAAGUGUCAUUGUUAAUUGUAACAUUUAAUGACAGGGGCGGAUAUGACGCUUCGAGGAAGCGUCAUCUUUUACCUUUCUUGACGCUUAAAAAACGUCAUUAUUUCACUUUUUUCUUGUAGUGAAGGUACCAAAAAGUUUCUCACUUCUCAAUACAUAGAUUUCAAAUUUUUUUGAUGAAAAACCUCUCUUACCACAAAUUCAUGAGUUGCAAGUAAUUGUAAAUAAGUUGAAAGUUCUCAAAAUUGAACUUCCAGAGGCCUUCCAAGUUGGUGCUAUUGUGGCUAAAUUACCAUCAAGUUGGAAAGGUUACCGGAAGAGAAUUCUCCACAAGAGUGAAGAUUACUCCUUGGAAGAGAUUCAAAAACAUCUUCGCAUUGAGGAAGAAUUGAGAUCAAGAGACAAAAUGGUGGAAGAGUCUAAUGGUGGGACUAACAAAGCCAAUGCGGUUUCAAAGGCUAAUCAUCCUAGAGGUAAAAAUAACAACGACAAAAGGAAUUCCGGAAAUUAUAUGAGCCCCAAGAAAAAUCAAGAGCAUUUUAAGGGCAAGAAAGGUCCUUGUUUUGUGUGUGGAAAACCCGGGCAUUAUGCUAGGGAGUGUAGGUACCGAAAAGACCUAAAAGGGGCUGUGGUGAAUGCAAUUGAUGAGGAGAUCAUUGCAACACUAAGCGAUGUGUGCGUUGUCCAAGGAAAGAUGCAAGGAUGGAUUUAGACACAACAAUGUGGACAAGUGCUUAUAUUCUAAGACUUGUGAUGACUAUAUGGUCAUAGUGUGUCUAUAUGUGGAUGACAUGUUAAUCUUGAGUGAUGACAUGAAAGGAAUAACAGAAACGAAAAGGUUUCUAUCCUCAACCUUCAAGAUGAAAGAUCUUGGAAAAGUUGAUACUAUAUUGGGUAUCAAAGUGAAAAGAAAUAGUGGGGGUUAUGCUUUGAACCAAACCCACUAUAUUGAGAAAGUAGUUAGCAAAUUUAGUCAUCUCAAGAUUAAAGAUGCUAAUACUCCAUUUGAUUCAAGUAUAAAACUUGAAAAGAAUGAUGGUAGAUCGGUGGCUCAACUUGAGUAUGCAAGUGCAAUUGGAAGUCUUAUGUAUGUUGCUUAGUGUACUAGGGCUGACAUUUCAUUUGCAGUUAGUAAACUAAGUAGGUUUAUUAGCAAUCCAAGCGUGGAACAUUGGAAAGCUAUUGGUAGAGUUCUUGGUUACCUAAAGAAUACCAAAGAACUAAGCCUCCAAUAUUCAAAGUUUCCUGCUAUACUUGAAGGGUAUUCAGAUGCAAGCUGGAUAUCGAGUGUGCGAGAUAAUUUAUCUACCAUAGGUUGGGUGUUUACACUUGGUGGUGGGGCUGUCUCUUGGGGAUCUAAGAAACAGACUUGUAUAUCACACUCAACCAUAGAGGCAGAGUUUAUAGCUCUAGCUACAACUGGAAAAGAAGCUGAGUGGCUUAGGGAUCUCAUGAUGGACAUCCCUUUUACUGCAAAUAAUGUGUCAACAGUGUCGAUACAUUGUGACUGUCAAGCCACUCUAGCUCGUGCGUACAGUGGAGUGUACAAUGGGAAGUCUAGACAUAUAAGCAUUAGACAUGAGUAUGUGAGACAAUUGAUUCAAUAUGGAAUCAUCUCAAUCUCAUUUGUGAGGUCAAGUGGAAACUUGGCGGAUCCUUUUACUAAACCUCUUACAAGAGAUUUAGUAAGGAUAACAUCAAGAGGGAUGAGACUAAAACUCCUUAAAUAAAAUUCACCAAUGAUGGUAACCCAACUUAAUACUACGAAAUGACUAGUCUUAAAUUCAAUAGGUAAAAACAAGUCAUUGAUAAGUGGGUUGUGGCAGCAUUAGAACAUGUGAGUUCCAUCUGUGAUGAUUAAUGCUGGUUGUUAUCGUUGAAAGGUUAAGCUUAAAGCUUUUAAUGAAAUUCAGUCUAUGUGUGACAAGCAUCUUAAAGGUAACAAGGAUGCUGAAAGAAUUUCACCUAUGUGAACUUAGGGGUGGUGCCGCCUCUCAUGAGAGUUGGAGUUUCUUUCAAGAAAGUUCAUGAAUGGAUUGAGCACAUGGCCAUAAAAGUGCUAAGCAAGAAAAUAAUGGGCACUUGUGUGGUUAGUGGAAGUGUGUGUUGUUAUCGGUUUCGUUACAAGGAAUAACUGGUUCAAUGCUACAAGCAACCUGAGAUUUCAACUGAGCUUUGUGACAAUUACACUAAGGUAAAAUUCAAAUCGAAAGAUAUUUUAUUUUAUGCAUUUUCACUGUUAAGGUUAUAAGGGUUGAUGUUUAUUUUUAACCUAGUGGGGGAUUGUUAUAUAUAUAUAUAUAUAUAUAUAUAUUGUUGGUUAAAAAUAAAGUGUAAGAAGAGUUACACUUUUGAAAAAUAACUUUUGAAAAUAAAGUGUAAGAAGGGUUACACUUUUAAUGUAUGAAUUAAACACAUGAUUAAGUUUUGAAAUGUUACAAAACUUGAAAGGUUAAGGAAGACAAUGAGUCUUCUCAUCUUUGUAACUUUAUAAAACUUAAGAGGUUAAGUGUAAGAGAGUUACACAUUUGAGAUUAAAUCAUGUUUAAUGUGUAAAUUAAACAUAUGAUUUAAUUUUUGAAUGUUACAAAGAUGAAGAGAUUGAGGAAGACAAUGGGUUUUAUCUCAUCCUUGUAACCAUUUUUCAACCCUAAGAGUACUAUAUAUGACUUUUCUUCUUUUUGAAAUCUUAUGCAGAAAAGUGAAAAGACUUGAUCAAUCCCAAGACUAUUUCCAUUAGUUCCCUAAAGAUUUCUAGUGAUGGGAGGAAAUAGAGUCUUUGGACAAAGUUCCAAGAAUUGUUUGAGCCUUUCUUGUGUUCUUCUUCUUCUUGUUCUUAUUUUGUAACUUUGAGAGUUUUAUUGUAUCAAGAGAGUGUUUCUUUUCUCCAUUGUAUCCAAUUUUUAACAUCAGUUUCAACAAAAAAAAAAAAGGUUUUUUUUUUUUAUAUAUAUAUUAUUACAAUCCAGUUUGAAUUCUCAAAUUAAUUGGGUUAUAAAAUUCAAAAUUUCUUCUGUUUGAUUCAUGGAGAGUACUAGGAAAAGAAAAGGAAAAAAAAAAUAUAUUAAGGACAAUUAUUUUCUUAUAUUUGAUUUUAUUAUGAAAAAUAUGAAAAAAAAAAUUCAAAUAUGAUUCAAAUUUGUUAAAAAUUGACAUAUUUUAAAAUUAUUUAAUCUUUAUAUAACAAAAAAAAAUGUGAAAUAAGUUUCAAGAAAUAUAAAAAAGUAAUUUAUUAAUUUUAAAUCUAUUUUAUAUUUUUUUCUUUCUAUUUUUCCUCAAACUAUCUUUGGUUCUUGGAAAAAUAUGAGAAAAAGAAAAUAAAAGGGAAAGUGAGAGGAAAUAAAAAGUUAUGAAAAAUAAAAAAUAAAUUCAAACUCAAUAAAUUAUUUUGACAGCAUUUCUUCAAAUUCAUUUCAUUUAUUUUUCUCCAUUCUAUAAAGAUUAAAUAAGUUCAAAUUAAAAUUUUAAUUAAUUUCAAUAUUUGAUUUUAUUUCAUAUUUUUCAUAGUAAAAUCAAAUAUAAGAAAAUCAUUUUUUUAAAUUUUUAUUUAGUUCAUAAAAAACACUAAGUAAAAGAAAAAAAUAUUAAAGAAAAAUUAUUUUCUCAUAAUUGUAUUAUAAAAAAAAUCAAAUAAACUAAAAUUAAUAAAAAAAAUUUAUAUAUUUUAAAUUACUUAAUAUUUAUAUGGAAAAAUUCAAAUAAGUGAAUUGAGUUUGAAAUACUAAAUAAAAAUAAUUUAUUGAUUUUAAAACUAAUUUUUAUUUUUCUUCCUUUUUUUUUCUACCUUUUCUUUUUGUUUUCUUUCCUUAUAUUUUUCCUAAAUUUUGUAUUUAUUUAUUUUUUUAACUUUCAAGAACCAAGCCAUAAAGUUUUUGUAAUCAUUCAUUUCUCAAAUUUAUUUCUUGCACCACUUAUAUUUUCCUAAUAGUAUAUUAAUCAAGAAGAAAAAAAAAAUUAUUUUUCAUAUUGGUGGAAAGUCUUGAAAUACAAAGUGAGAAAACAAAAAAUUGUAAAACAUUUGGUGUAACUUUAUUAAAUAUUUAAAAAAAAAUUAAUGUGAAAUUUUAAUAAAUUUUUUUUACUCCACGUGGUCCAACACCAUUAAGAGUUUGUACCAUGUUGGUACGAUGGAUGUACCUUCUCCCUUGGAAAAUUGAUUGGAGACUUCCCUUCCUCCAAUCAUGAAGCAGAUUCUUUGAAGCUUCAGGCCAAGAAAAGACCGUUCAAAUAAUACGUUUGACUAAGCUACACGGCUUGGAAUUGAUCAAACUCAUCAGAAUUUUGAAUAGUACACAAAAGCGUAGCCUCCUAUAAAUGUGUCCAACCCUCUAUGGUUGUAUCAUAGAUUAGAAAGAAAAUAAGGUAAGAGGUUCGAUGGCAUUUGGUGUAGGCAGUGGCGGCGUCGAUGGUCAUGGUGGUGGUGGUGGUGGUGGCGGUGGAGGAAAGCAAGUGGGCAAGGUGGGUCUAAGUCGUUGUUCUUCCUUUGCAUGUCAGUUACACUGUUGGUGCUAGUGGUGGCGAUAGUGGUGAGGUUGAUGAUUUGAGGGAGGAUGGUGGUGGUGGUGGUGGAGGUUGCCAAAGAAAAAACAAUGAAGUUGAUAAACAUAAUGUAUAACCAUUCUUUUUGUAUUGAAGUUUAUAAAUAGGAUGUAUAUGUAUUCUUUGCAUUUUUUUCUUUUCAUAAAUAGCAUGUUAGAAGUUUUUUUGCUCUUAUACCAAAAUGAAAAGAGGUUAGGGCAUGUUUGUUAAUAGUGUCAAAAAUAGUUCUCUAUAUUUUAGUUCAAAAAUAUUAUGAAACAUAUUUGAUGACUGUAAAACAUUUUUUAUUCUUAAAAUGAAAAACAUUGAAUUAUUCAUUUUUUUUUAGGGUUGUUUUAAAAAAUAAUAAUACUGAUAUGAAGUUUGAGGAUUGUUUUAAAAAUAAUCAAACAAAGACGAAGAAUAAUUGAAAUGGAGCAUGAAGACAAGUAGCCUCCAAUCUUUAUAUACCCAAGAAAAUGAAGAAAAUGAGAUAAUAAUGUCGAACCAUUUUUAUAUUUAGUGAAUGUUUGGUAAACCAAUUUAAGAACUUAAAGUGACUUAACAACUUAAUUUAAGUUAUUAAGAAAAUCAAGUAUGUUUAAUAAAAUAACUUAAUUGUAUGACUUAAAAUAUAGAAAUAAUUUUAAGGAAUAAAUAAAAAUAAUUAACUUAUUCUUAAGUCCACAUCUUUAUUUUACAUUUUUUCCUCAUUUGUCCUAAUUAUUUUCAUGAUGUCCUUUACUACUUUACAACCUUUAUCGUUACUCAAUCUUCCUUACCUUAAUUAUAAUUUAUAAGAAUAAAUAUGUUCAUUUGAUAAUUUAAAAUAUAUCUUAAGUUAAUUUUAUUAAAUAACUUUAAUAUUUAAAGUAAGAAUUAGAUAAUAAAUUUUAAAUUAACAACUUAAAUAUAAUUUAAUUUAAAGUCAAUUUAAGUUAUUAAAUAAUAAGUAUUAAGUUUUACCAUACACCAUUUAGUAUAUCAUUCUAACUCAUCUACAUCUAUACAUGGAGACCUGAGGUUCACAAUCCUCAUGUAUCCAAGAAAAGAGUCCAUUAUCCCUUCUUAAUUAAUUAAAAAAUAUAGAAUAAUAGACAAAAGAUUAAUUAAAAUAUUCAUCAACAAAAACAAGAUUAUUAGAUAUCCAUGGGUAGAGUAUGUCAAAGCUAAGGUUUAUAAGCAUAAAAGUCAAUUAUGGUGCAAUAGUGAUUACAACCUCAGGUGUAAUAAAAACUUUGAGGGUGCUUAGUAAAUCAACUUAAUGAUUUAAAGUGGCUUAAUGACUUAAUUUAUAUCAAUCUUAAAUCAUUUUUGUAAAUAUAGUUCUAGAUUUAAGUAAGAAUAAAUUAAUUAUUUUGAUUUAAUACUUAAAAUCAUUUUUAACUUUAAGUUAUUAUAUUAAGUUAUUUUAAUAAAUAUGCUUAACCUAUUUAACAACUUAAAUUAAGUUAUUAAGUCAUUUUAAAUCAUUAAAUUAAUUUACCAAGCACCUUCUUACCCAACCUCCAAAUAGACUUUUAUCAUAGCACACAUAAUCUAAAUCUUUGGAACUUCUUUGAAACUUCCAAAUAGGUUGAAAAUAAUUGAGGUUGCUAAUACAAGGAAAGAUUAUUCAAGUGAAGGUUUGAGGAAGGAACAUGGCUUAAAAUUCAAAUCAAGAAAAUUAUAUGAAAAUAAUGAAGUUGUGGACCUGUAUUUUUCACGUGCGCCCCCACUCGAUCUGCGAGACUCGCUUUUAUUUCAUGAAAAAUUAAUUUUUGGAAAAGUCGGAAUCGCCACUUAUUUUAUUUUUUAUUUUAGAGGGAAAAUAAAAUAAGAAAGAAAAACCCUAAAAAGUAACUCCAUAAUUUUUGGAAAAAGCAUGUCUUUGAAAAAUCCGAGUCUAAGUCCGAGAAUCAAAUUACUUAUUGGGAAGGUACCUCUAGGAGGUAGCACCCCUCUAAGCCUUAUAAAGGUCUCUACUGACUAAGUUGAGGGAAAUAUGGAAAUUAAUUGGUUAAUCAUGAAUAUCUAAGUAGGCUAGGUGAUUUAAAAAAAAUAGCAUGCUUAGCAAUAAAGCCAAUCACAAUCAUAAAGAAGAUUUAGGGUGUGUACCUGGACUACUUCUUAAGCAUUAUCAUAAAACAUCAAAGGUUAGUUUGAAAAUAUGACAUACAACAUGCAUUUUUAUCAAAGAUGUUCAAACAAUCAAAUAUAUAUAAAGGCAAUCAAGCAUGACACCAAACAAGGGCAAUGACAUUCAUAUUUAUGAAAUUUUUUUAAGUGUAGUGGUAGAGAGCAUACUUGGACAACGAGUUGAGCGCUAAAAUAGGGAACAAGGUUAGCUCAAUAAUAGGUGCACAACAAUCUUAUGCAUUAUAAUGAGGAAUCGAUAUCAAACAAAUACCCUAUUUAAAUCAAUAUCAGAGAUGAUGUAUAGAAUGUUGGAUCCCCCACCAAUAUCCAAAUUGCUUUUGCACAAAUUAAUUCAAUCGGUCCCAUUAUUUGGAACCAUGAAGUUUAUUCGUGCUUGUUGAAAAACCAUGAAGAUUCUCAAGAAAAAAGCAUGCCAGAAGGAAAGUUGGCAUUAAAUGUUUAUUGAAAAUGAGGAUUUUUAUUGCCUAGAAGAAAUCUAAAGAUGAAUUUUCAAAGUUGGAAUUAUUCAAUUAAAAAGAAUGAAUUAAAAAUACGAUUCAAAACUAUAAGUUCUCAAUCAAAGGAAUAAAUAGAAGAAGAGGUGUGCACCAAGGUGGCCAAAGAAGUGGAGUAAGGAAAUUCUGGAUAGAAGAAACCAAUUCACUGCAAAGGUGUUCAGCUGUCAAAUGCUUCCAUUUAAAAGACAACUUGAUUUGUAAGCUCAACUGAAUUCUCCUCAACAGUAGUCAGACAUUGAACAGAAGGUUCAAAAUUUCCAAUUUUCUGCAUUGAAAGGUCCUGCAUACAUUAGGUCCAGUUCCAAAUCUGAUUUCUUUGCUGCCAUUCGUUCUCAAGUUUCAAGCCUUUGCUCAGAAGUUCGUCUGAUUUGUCAAUUUUCUCACAAUUUUCUGCUGGAUUUUUCUAUAGCUCAUAUUCUAUGUUUUCCUGCUCAUUACGAGCUUCAACUUUUACCUUUGGAACUUUGAAUUAUCAAGCUUGACUAUCUUCAGCAUUCUCUUCAAUUUCAGCAUGUGAAACAAAGAAUUGAAAAUUUGGGUGAUUGACUUUCAAUGCUCUUAACCAAUUAUACGAGGGACAUCAUCAGUCGAUGCCCGGACGCCUCAUUUUGCAUUCGUAUAGAGCCUUUGAACAAUUUCCAGCAUAACACGGGCCAGUAUCGUCAAUGUCAGAAUCAGCCUGCACCGGUGUGAGAGUGAGCUUGCUUAUCUUCUUCAUCAUUUCACCUUUGACAGCAUGACUCGAGGCUUUGUUUCUUGGAGUUGAACAUGCAUCGAGGACCUUCCAUCUAGGUUCUGGCCCAUACUAAUUACUUCUCUGGAAAUAGGGAUAGAAGAGGUGUCCUCAGACCAUUCUUUAAGCUUGCGAGCCUCUGGAAAAUCUGGCUCUAUGAACAGCUAGCUGGUAGAAAUUAAAAGAGGUGUAUCUUCAAUGGAAAAGAGGAUAUGAAGAACAUUAUUGCUUUGUACUUCUGCAUAAGAAGUAGGAGAAACUUCAGUUUGCAUUUUCUUCUCAACAGACUGAACAUUUGAUUCACCAUUCAGAGGUUCAUAGUGACACAAUAUUCUUAGAGUUGAAACACGAAAACCCUUGUCUGGAUGGCUAAAUUCUCAUAAAAUAGGUCAAAUGCAUCCACAACCUUCUCUGCUUUAAGCUCUAGAUGAAAUUUCAUAUGACCAUUGUUUUCUUGGAUUGUAGACCCGUGCAUGGGAUCCAACAACUCAGCCACAUAAAAUAACACUUGGGAAGAUGAUCUGUAUCAUUUUGCAAGAUGCAAUUUUUUUUUUUGUUUCUUCAACUCCAGAUUUUUAAAAGAACCUAAAGUCGCACCCAUUAGGCUUUGCCAAGUGCUUUUAGGAAAACCUGACAUAUGAGAACAACAACCAAUGAUUCCCCACAACAUAGGCAAUUUCACCUUACGAGAUGCAAGUUUUCAAUUUUGCUUUAGCACAAAAUUUUAAUUCUGAACAUAAGAAAGGAAGAGCAGAUAUUAUUUCAGUGUUCGGUGCAUAGGUAGUUUCCAGGAACUCCAUUUUUUUAUUGGAAACUAAAUCUUCACUGAAGAGUCCAUACGGCAAUGGAGUUUGACAAAAAGUUGUUGUCAUAGGAUUACCUAUCCUCUAAUGGAGCAUCUCGAGAGUCAGACCCGUGAAUCUGAGGAGUGGAAAAAUCCCAGGAACUAUCCAGUAACAAGUACAGUCCCCAAAAAAAGGUUCCUUGAGAUUUAAGACUUUAUCUGCUAGUAGAAUGCGUCAAUCAAGGGGUUUAGAACAGAAACAUGGGCUGGGAAGCGCCACUCCAUUGGUCUCAAAAUGAUGGGUUAUCUGAUAACAGAGCAUAAAUUGUGAAUGGCCACUUUCAGAGUGCAAGAUCAUUAUAUCCCUAAUUGAAACAGUCCAUAAUUUUGCUCCAACUUGAUUGAGAUGUUCCAUAUGAAGAUUUGGAAAAUAUCCAGUAGCUUCUGUAACCUAACAGCUCCUUUUGAUGAAUUCAACCUCACAUUUGAAUUCUCUUAUUCCCAAAGACACUGUAGUUCGAGUAUACCAGCUUCAUCUGAUAGUCCCUAACCUAUAACCUUCCACAGCAAAUUUUCAGCACCGUCUAAGAUUUAAUUUGACAAUUCACCUGGGGUUUCUAGAAAAUUUUUCCUUUUUUUUCUUUUAUUUCUUCAUAUAAAUCGGAUAUUCAAUGAGUGCUUCUGUAUCCCAACUUCUAUGCUCUCAUAUCCAUUGUAAGUUUCAUGUUAAACUUUUUUUUUUUGUUGUUUUAUCAUCACGAGAAUCAGUUUCUUAUUUUUUGGAGCUUAUAGGAAUUCAUUUUCUUCCCGAGCUGCUACCCAACUAAUAUCUUUUCGAAUAAAGACCAGUAAUGACCUCAAGCCUGCUGCCCAUGCAUGCACCAAUUACAGAAUGAGGUGAAGGUCCUGAUGUCUUUCAAACAUAUUACUUAUCUGAUCAUGAGCCCUUCAUUGGCACUGCUGGUGUAGAGAUUUCCUAUGCCUGUGGGAGAUCUACAUAAGGUCCAAUAUCAAUGUAUCGAUUCAAUUCUCGAUUAUUGUACUGUGGGUUGUCGUGUGUUUUCUGUGUUUUGGCCUUGGGGAUUCAAGUUGGAACUAUAUUUUUCCAGACCUGGCCGCUUGUUUUCAGAGCAAGCUAGAACUACUUGAACGGCAUGUGAAGUCUGGAUGAUCAACUGAGUGAACCACAAGCUCAGAGUUUGGCGAUUCUAAUUCGAAGAUGACCAGAUUAUUUUCAUCGUGUCUAAGCACUGGGACAGGGACGUAGAGAUUGUACUGUGGUUCAGUUGACGACCAAAGUCUUCCUAUGUUGAAUUCAUUAAAAAAUGCGAUCCCUUUACCCCAUCCACUGAAUGAUAUGAAUGUGUCUUUUGUUUCAUCAACUACAAAGUGGACAUCAUAGAGUGUUGGUUCUAUGGAAACCUCCUCAUUAUUUUUUAUAUUCAUAAGAGCCGAUGUUCUAUUGAUUCUGGAAUGUGCAAUCUCCUUGAUGGGCUUGAUAUCGAAUACCUCAUUCAGAUUUUGGAAAUGAAUUGCAACAGUCUUUCAACUCUUCAGAACAUUUCCAUUCGGAUAAACAGGAGACAAAAUGCCCUCCUAGUCAAACAAGUGUGACCCAUAAUUUACUCGUCCCAUGUUCCCAACUAAAACAAAUAAGUUGAUUUUGGAAGCAUAUUUAGUAUCAGGAAGGCUCGGGUUCUGAUUUGACCAUCUUUCAAUUGUACCUACACAUGUUGGUAUUCCACCAUUAUCUUCAGAAGGGCAUGAAAUAAAAAUCUGAGCUCUAUCAUGCACAUCUGGUAUGAACAAAUUGCCUCUUUGGUCCUAUGCUGUAUACCCUGAUGUAUAAAAUAAAAAUCCAAACAUGUAUCCAACAGACUCCAUUGAAGUUGGAUUUUCAGAUUCAACCACACCAAUAGGAUAUAUUUUAUCAAUUAAAUCAAACAAAGAUCCAGUUCUUUGUAAGUCCUCUAGCUCGCCACUACCCCUUCUUCAUUAAUCCAGGUAUAGAGUGUUUCAUUUUGGAUGACUUUAUGAAUCCCCUAGUGCUUCAAAUAACCAUCAGGGGAAGCAAUAUCGGGGAGCUUCACUGCUGGGAAUUCAUCUAAUCUUUUGAGAUCCCUAUCCCACCUUAGAUACAUGCAGAAAGUUGAAACCUAAUGAAGUUGACUGUUGCUUAUUAUCUAACUGAAACACCUCAAAACAUCCAUUAUUAGGAUCAAACCCUACAAUAGACCCCCCAUCCUGCUCAUGCCGGAGAUCAUGAUCAGUCUCUACUUGAGGAAAUUGCAUAUUUGAGGUCCCCUUAAGAAGGCUCAAUCAAGGGAACAUUUGUAAGAACCAUGCCAGUCAAAUUUCUCUGAGGAUAUCCCGUUGAAGCUAGAGUGGAAGGUGAGAAUGGAAGAGGUAGGUGAGCUGGAGCUAAAUUUAGCGACACAUAGACCUGUACAUUGAAAUUGCAAGUGCAGAAGAGGCCAUCAUGUUCACAAGAUCUUGCUUUUCCUGACACGUCCCCUAAAUACUCAUAACAGAAGAAAGUUGAUCACCCAUGGGACCCAAGGUUGAGCCAUGAUAAUAACCAUUUAAAGUAGUGUUUGAAUCAACUGAUCCGUCAAGACUUUGAUGGGAUGAGACAUGCUUGACAGAUGAAGUAUCAUCAGCUGAUAUGGUACUAUUUCUCACAAAAAUGUCUGAGCCCAGGUUCUUCCUCCUACUAUUGUCCAGUCUUGUAGAAGUAAUUUGGUCUUUUCCAUUUUCUGGAGCUCUGUUAUGCCUGCCUCGAGAAGAGCAUAACACUACUGGUAUAUAUGUCAGUAAGUUCGGGACUAGAGUGUGUCGUGGCAAACAGAUACCUUCCCUAAUCUCUAUCAGUACGUAUCCCUUAAUUAGAAUUGAUUUCUGGAUUGAUCUGAUCAAGGAUCCUUGAAUUGUUCAGGGUCCCAUGAUUCUUUUGGCUUUGAGCAGAAGAAACUGCAGAAAUAACACUGUUUCUAGACAUAACAGAAAUACUCAUACAGUAAUUCGUAAAUUCAGAAUUCAUAUUUCCAAAAGUUUUUCCACUUCUCAAUUGCCAGGUGGCUUCCCAUUAUCAGUAAAGAUCAUACAACAAAUAGCUUCAGGAUGACCUGAAACUUCUGUAUCUUUUCCAGCUUUCUCUUAUCUUCUGAGUACUCAUUUAUCUCUUAAACCUUGAAAAUUCCUCAAAACCCAUUCCAAGAACCUGAGAAUCUACCAGAAACUCAUAAAAUACCCUCUGCCAAUUUGGAAUUCCCAAAGACAACCCGAAUGCUCUAUGCUUCAACACAAACUACAUCUUUCCAGGUCUCAAACACAGGAUUUCGAUGUUUCAGAACCAGUGGUAGUAAACUGAUGCAAAUCAACCAUGACGACAUUGUUUCCACAAGACAACCUUUGCAAUUUCGUACUUCUUUCUUAUCUAAAGUUCCCCACACUCUCAUGAUAUAUAGGUCUUUCUUCUCCCUAGGGGUAUAGUUUAGACCCGUGACUUGCAGACAAAACAUAGUGUAUAUCCAUUGCGGCAUUUGAAGGCAGAAUGGAGACAGGGGCAUGUACGAGAAAUGCAUAAAACACAAGAACAUCCAAGGAAGAAAAAAAAACGCAAGAAAAUCCAUGAAAGCAAAAGAGAAGAAUGGCCUAGUUUUGGCAGGUUAUGUAAAGCUCCAAAUCAUGUUUUUAUCAGUGAGCUUAAAGAAAUAAACCAAAACAGAGAAGAAAAGAACACAUCUUAAAUAUUCCAAUAAAUGAGACCAUGCCACAAGUGAUCCAAAAAAAAAAAAAAACAAUUUUUAACAUUAAUACACAAAUUUGGAAGACUCAAAGGUGAUGUACAGGGAGUCAUAAUGAUCAUACCUGAGAGUCUUUCUCUGCUUCUCCAAAGACCAGCGAGUUCUCCCUUUCUUUGACCAGGCCCGAUAACCCAGAUGGACUCCCUCUCUAUUUCUGCUCAUUUCCCUCCUCGCCUACCUUUUUUCUCUGAAUAUCCUGCUUUCUCCUCUCCAUCUAACUUCCCAAUGCGUUCUCCCAAAAUUCCUUUUUUUUUUCAGCCUCCUCUCUUUUCUCCUUUUCCUGCGUGCUGAAAGUCCCCCUUUUUAAAACUCCCUUCAUUUCCAAAACUUCCCAUCUUUUCUUUUAUUCUAUCUCUGUUUUUCCAAAAUGAAACUUUCCUUUCUCCUACCAAAAAAAUCUGACACUUUCCUUUCUCCAAAAUUCUGGUGAUCCUCAUUCCAAAAUAGAUGGCAACUCGUUUCCUCGUGUCCAAAAAGCUAAGAAAUAUGAUUUAGGAAACUUAUAAUAAAAUAAAAUAUAAAAUAAAUAAAUAAAAUAAAAUGAAAUAAAAAAAUGAAGAAAGCCAUGGAGGCCACACAAGUCAUGCAGGCCAUGCAAUCACGCAAGUCAUAUAAAAAGUGAGUCUAAAAGUGUCUAUUUGGGCCUAAGUGUCCUAGAUGAGCUUAAGGUGGUGCAUAAUGGGCCAAGUGUACCUAAAUGGGCCUAAAGUGGUGCCUAAUGAGUCAAGUGUACCUAAGCGGACCUAAAGCGUUAGGAACAAUGCCUAAGUCUGGGACAAUGCCUAAGUCUAAAUUAGGGCUGCCAAGGGUACAAUGGGGGGUCAGAUAAAUCUUUCAACCAAAGUCCCCAAAGUGGCUCAGAAAAAGGUAAGCAAUAUGAGUAGCAAUGGGCCACCAAAGAACUAUUGUGGAGUACCAGACAAAUACCUAAUAGGACAUGUGCUAAGAGGACAAAAUUGAGGGUCUACAGAAGUAUAAAACAAAAUAAAUAGAAGUUUUUGAAUUAUAAUUAUUUUAAAACAAAGGGAAAAAAGUGAAGAAGCUUGAUUGUAAAAUAUUUCAACAGAAAAUUUUUAAUUAAAUAAUUUUUAAAACUGAAUUUUUUAAUAUAAAAACCUUACAUUAAAUUUUUUUAUUCCUCGUGGUCUAAUACCAUAUCAAAAUGUUGUACCAUACUGGUAGGAUAGAUGUCCUUUCUCCCAUUGAAAAUUGAUCUAAUUGAAGAAGAUAAAGACACGAGACUCUGUUCCUUCAAUAUCAUGAAAAGGCUCCUAUCUCUCUCUCUCUCUCUCUCUCUUUCUCUUUCUCUUUCUAAUUGACGAGGUUUUUCUCAUGACAAGAAAUGUAAGCUACACCUACAUGGCUUGGAAUUGAUCAAGCCCCUCAAAAUUUUGAUAAUGAUGCCAAGCAUGUGAUCUGUGAAUGUGUCCAAUCUUCUAUGGUUGUAGCAUAGAAUAUUAGAAAGAAAAUAUGGCAAGAGGUUUGAUGGCACUAGAUGGUGGUGGUGGUGGUGGUGGAAAGCAUUUGGGCACGGUGGCUUCAAGCUCUGGGGCGACCCUGUUGUUGUUUUGCAUGAUCAUUAUGUCAUUCUCUAUUACAUCCAUAUAUGGUCAUAUUUGGUGGUGUUAAUAAGGCUUCUACUUCAACUCACAAAGAAAAAAAGGUUGUGAUGAGGGUAGUGAUGCCAGUGAGGGUGGUGAUGAGGGUAGUGGUGGUGUUGGUGUUGGUUUAAGGGUAUGGAAACAAAGGACUAGCCCAAAAGAUACAAAUAAAUAACACAAUGAAUAGUAAAAAAAAACUUAUCGGCUAAGGCAUGACAAGUACUGUCCUUGAAAUAGAUUCACCUUCCUCAAAGACGAACUCGGUGCACUAGUGGUCUACUUCCAAGAUUCAAUAGCUAGAUCUCACCUUUGGUGCACUUUGGAAGCGAGACGUGUACAACUCGGUUUUGAAAAAAUUCCUCUAGAAAGAUGUAUGAAAGAUUCUCUAAAAAACUCUCAGAAAAAUUAGAAUUCAUGUUUAGAGAGUGAGGGAUGACAUGUUUUUAUAGGCCACUAACAUAGUCCCAAUGAGACUCUACUUGUAAUCAGAACAAGACUCAAAGAGAACGAAAUUCUACUUAUAAGUGGAAUGGGACUCCACUAACACAAUCCUAAUAGGAUUCUUCCCAAAAAUAUAAGACUAAUAGAAUAAAAUAAAAUUAAAAAUUAAUUUGAAUUUUUGUAAAAAUUAGCUGAGAAAACGCUAAAACACUUUUUCAUAUUUACACUCUUCCUACAAUCCCCCACAGAGUGUAGAUGUGAAAAGAAAAGAAAAGAAAAUAAAGGAAAAAAGAAUCCAAUGCAUUAGUACUGGUGCCCAAAGGCUAUGAACCAGUCUUAGGACAAAUAAGUAUUGAAUCACAAAACAUGGUGAAUAUAAAUUUCUAUGAACUAGUGUUUCUUGAUGUAACUCAAGGAACUUUUAUCCACAUUGGUUUUCUUAACUACACUAUGAGCUAUACAAAAUGGGUUGGCACAAAUAGGUCAUGCGCCCUGCUUGGAUAUUCAUGAGAGCUUUAGAGAACAUGCCUAGGUUAUCAUAAGAAGCAGCCCCACCUCCACUCUCAUAUAGGUGAAUCCAUCGAGUAUGUUCUGCAUUUAAACAUACCAUCUAUAAGGAAUAUGGUUUUCAUUAAUAGUAAACACUCAACCUUAGUCAAUGUAGAAUACACUCUAUCUACACCAUAGGGAUAAACUCUCAUACAAUUAGAGUUGAUAGAGCACCUCAAGUUAACAAGUGAUUUGUUAUUACCCAUAUGAACCUACUUCAUGGAAUUUCCAUUCUAAUAGGUUGGGUUAUCACCACUCUUGACUUUUGUAACAGGCAUAAGCCCCAUCCCCCUCGAUGUUUCUUCCACUAGUUUCUUAUUUAGUGGUUUGGUCAAAGGAUUAGACAAAUUCAACUUUGACCUCACAAAUUCUAGGGAUAUAACCAUUCUUUCAAGUAGUUGCCGCACAAUAUUGUGCCUUAGGUGUAUGUGCUUGUUCUUCCCAUUAAAUAUUUUACUCUUAGCCUUAGCAAUUGCAGUUUGGCUAUCACAACACAUAGACAUAGACGAGGUUGGUUUUGUCCAUAAAGGGAUAUUUAUUAAGAGGUUUCUAAGCCACUCAACCUCAAAACUUGUCUUUUCUAAAGCAAUAAACUCAGCCUUCAUAGUAGACCGAAUAAUGCAAGUUUGUUUGGCAGACUUCCAAGAAAUUGCACUUCCACCAAGGAUGAAAACAUAUCCACUAGUGGAUUUCAUCUCAUCUGAAUUCGAGAUCCAAUUUGCAUUACUAAAUCCUUCAAGGACACUUGGAAAUCCACUAAAGCACAAACCAUAGUUAAUGGUGCCUCUCAAAUACUUAAGGACUCUAUGAAUAGCAGUCCAAUGGUCCUGAUUAGGACUUUGGGUGUACUGACUCAAUCUACCUAUUGCAUAAGCAAUGUCAGGUUUGGUACAGUUCAUUAAGUACAUUAGGCUCCCUAUGACUGAGCAUGCUUUAUUUGGGCAACACUAUGUUCUCUAUUUUUCUUCAGCUGUGAGUUGGGAUCAUAAGGAGUUGACACUGGUUUACAAUCAAAGUGUUCAAACUUUCUUAGAAUCUUUUCAACAUAGUGCUCUUGAGAAAGUUUAAGCCCAUUAGGUGUUCUAGUUUUUUUAAUUCCUAGAAUCACCUCUGCCUCACCUAGGUAUUUCAUAUCAAACUUAGAACCUAUGAAUUUCUUGGUCUCACACACAAUCUCUAGGCUAGUUCCAAAGAUCAGCAUGUCAUCAACGUAAAGGCAAAUGACUACACGUGUUAUCCUCAUACUUGCUGUAGAUACACUUAUUAGCAUCAUUAAUGGAAUAUCCAUUAGUUACUAACACAUGAUCAAAUUUGUUGUGCCACUAUUUGGGAGCUUGUUUUAACCCAUAUAGUGAUUUAACCAAAUUACACAUUUUUUUCUCAUUUCCUGGAACUAGACAAUUCUUAGGUUGAUCCAUAUAAAUUUCCUCUUCCAAAUCCCCAUUCAAGAAUGCAGUCUUGACAUCCAUUUGGUGUAUCACCAAAUUAUGAAUGGAAGCUAGAGAAAUCAAUACUCUAAUUGAUUCUAUUCUAGUCACAGGGGCAAAUGUGUCAAAGUAAUCUACAUUAUUCCUUUGUUUAAAGCCUUUGUCAACUAAACGAGUUUUAUACUUCUCUAUGGACCCAUCUUGUUCUAAAUUUCUUUUAAAUAUCCACUUACAGCUAGUAGUCUUUGCGCCAAGAGGUAAAUCUACUAACUCCCAUGUAUGGUUAUACAUGAUUGAUUCGAUUUCACUGUUAAUGACCUCCUUCCAGAAUGGUGCAUCAGGAGAAGUUAUAGUUUCUUUGUAGGAUCUAGGGUCCUCAUCUAUUAGGAAGGUGUAUGUAGACCCCCAUUUUGGGGCACUUUCUUUCUCACCUUUCAUGCAGGUUAUUUGGCCAGGUGGCACGAUCCCGGGAGACCACGUGGCGUCUUUGGAGAGGCUGACAGAGAAUUAGGUUAGUGCUUUGAGGAGCUAUCAGAAUUCGACACCUGUAAAAGGGAUUUGAGAAAAGCUGCAGACGGUUAAGGAGGGGAGCGUUUCUGUUAUAGUGGGAGCAGGCCAACUGUAGGAGAAGAGUGCUUUACAGGAGGCUAGGAUAGAGGAGAGGUGCUGGAGAGGAGAGGAUUCACGGGAGAGCUAGGAGCAGCAAGCUAGAGGAGAGUGGUGUUUUUGGGCUGCUGUUUUCUGGCAGAGGGAAGGAGCUAUAGUCUGGAGCAGAGAUCUUUGAGAGGGAUUCUGAGUUGAGCGCUUACCGGAGACGGAGCAGGGAGUUGCAAAUCAAGACUAGUUGAAGAAGAGGCUUUCAGCGCGUUGCCGUUUGCUGAUCAGGUACGUAUCCACUUCCACUUCGGUUAUCCUCUAUUGCAUAUUCUAAUAUUCAUAUGUGCAUGAUUGAUUCGAGUAUUCAUUGAUUUUCUCAUUGAUUGUCAUAUCAGCUUCAUCUCAUUAGUAAAGAUCCGACUUUAGGGACUUAGAGGGGUGCUACGGUCUUUACCGUACCUUCCCGAUAAGUAACCUGACCCCCGAACCCGAUCCGGUUUUUCAUAGACCGCCUUUUCCAAAAUAAGGAGUCACACUUAGGGUUUUUCUUUCUUAUUUUGUUUACCCUUUAAAAAUAAAACAAAAAUAAGUGGCGACUCCAAGUCAUUUUUGAAUAAAUAAAAUCAUUUUUUCAAAAUAAUAAAUCGAGCUCGUCAUCGAGUGGGAAACGCAUGAGCCGAAAUGCGGGGUCCACAUCUUUCUCUUUUAGGAUUAGAGCCUUUGUGUUCGUCUACUAGCCUGAGUGAGUUUGUAUUUCACUAGUAUCCCUAUGGGGGUCUCCUUGGUUCUUCGGUAGAGUUCACUUCAUUCCACUCACUAUUCACACUUGUUUUUCACUCCAGUGUUCAUAUUCCUUACACUCGUGAGCUCUAUUGAAGAGGGGCAUAUUUGUAGACCCCCAUUUUAGGGCACUUUCUUUCUCACCUUUCAUGUAGGUUAUUUGGCCAGGUGGCACGAUCCCAGGAGACCACAUGGCGUCUUUGGAGAAGCUGACAGAGAAUUAGGUUAGUGCUUUGAGGAGCUAUCAGAAUUCAACACCUGUAAAGGGGAUUUGAGAAAAGCUGCAGACGGUUAAGGAGUGGAGCGUUUCUGUUAUAGUGGGAGCAUGCCAACUGCAGGAGAAGAGUGCUUUACAGGAGGCCAGGACAGAGGAGAGGUGCUGGAGAGGAGGGGAUUCACGGGAGAGCUAGGAGCAGCAAGCUAGAGGAGAGUGGCGUUUUUGGGCUGCUGUUUUCUGGCAGAGGGAAGGAGCCAUAGUCUGGAGCAGAGAUCUUUGAGAGGGAUUCUGAGUUGAGCGCUUACCGGAGACGGAGCAAGGAGUUGCAACCCAAGACUAGUUGAAGAAGAGGCUUUCAGCGCGUUGCCGUUUGCUAAUCAGGUACGUAUCCACUUCCACUUCAGUUAUCCUCUAUUGCAUAUUCUAAUAUUCAUAUGUGCAUGAUUGAUUCGAGUAUUCAUUGAUUUUCUCAUUGAUUGUCAUAUCAGCUUCAUCUCAUUAGUAGAGACCCGACUUUAGGGACUUAGAGGGGUGCUACGGUCUUUAUCGUACCUUCCCGAUAAGUAACCUGACCCCUGAACCCGAUCCGGUUUUUCAUAGACCGCCUUUUCCAAAAUAAGGAGUCACACUUAGGGUUUUUCUUUCUUAUUUUGUUUACCCUUUAAAAAUAAAACAAAAAUAAGUGGCGACUCCAAGUCAUUUUUGAAUAAAUAAAAUCAUUUUUUCAAAAUAAUAAAUCGAGCUCGUCAUCGAGUGGGAAACGCAUGAGCCGAAAUGCGGGGUCCACAUCCUUCUCUUUUAGGAUUAGAGCCUUUGUGUUCGUCUACUAGCCUGAGUGAGUUUGUAUUUCACUAGUAUCCCUAUGGGGGUCUCCUUGGUUCUUCGGUAGAGUUCACUUCAUUCCACUCACUAUUCACACUUGCUUUUCACUCCAGUGUUCAUAUUCCUUACACUCGUGAGCUCUACUGAAGAGGGGCAUAUUUGUAGACCCCCAUUUUAGGGCACUUUCUUUCUCACCUUUCAUGCAGGUUAUUUGGCCAGGUGGCACGAUCCCAGGAGACCACAUGGCGUCUUUGGAGAAGCUGACAGAGAAUUAGGUUAGUGCUUUGAGGAGUUAUCAGAAUUCGACACCUGUAAAGGGGAUUUGAGAAAAGCUGCAGACAGUUAAGGAGUGGAGCGUUUCUGUUAUAGUGGGAGCAGGCCAACUGCAGGAGAAGAGUGCUUUACAGGAGGCCAAGUCAAAGGAGAGGUGCUGGAGAGGAGGGGAUUCACGGGAGAGCUAGGAGCAGUAAGCUAGAGGAGAGUGGUGUUUUUGGGCUGCUGUUUUCUGGCAGAGGGAAGGAGCCAUAGUCUGGAGCAGAGAUCUUUGAGAGGGAUUCUGAGUUGAGCGCUUACCGGAGACGGAGCAGGGAGUUGCAACCCAAGACUAGUUGAAGAAGAGGCUUUCAACGCGUUGCCGUUUGCUGAUCAGGUAUGUAUCCACUUCCACUUCGGUUAUCCUCUAUUGCAUAUUCUGAUAUUCAUAUGUGCAUGAUUGAUUCGAGUAUUCAUUGAUUUUCUCAUUGAUUGUCAUAUCAGCUUCAUCUCAUUAGUAGAGACCCGACUUUAGGGACUUAGAGAGGUGCUACGGUCUUUACCGUACCUUCCCGAUAAGUAACCUGACCCCCGAACCCGAUCCGGUUUUUCACAGACCGCAUUUUCCAAAAUAAGGAGUCACACUUAGGGUUUUUCUUUCUUAUUUUGUUUACCCUUUAAAAAUAAAACAAAAAUAAAUGGUGACUCCAAGUCAUUUUUGAAUAAAUAAAAUCAUUUUUUCAAAAUAAUAAAUCGAGCUCGCCAUCGAGUGGGAAAUACAUGAGCCGAAAUGUGGGGUCCACAGUGUAAAAACCAUCUCCAAGGUUUGUUUCUUUCCUAUCUCUUUUACUCCUUCUAGGUUCAAAUUCAGAAGGUUCAAUAGACUUGUCUCUACUUGUUUUCUAAACUUAUUGUUCACCAUUUAAUUUCAUAGGAAAGAUGUUUUCAAAUAAAUUUGCAUUCUUUGUUUCUAUUAUAGUAUUGACAUCUACAAGACUGUUUUAUGACUUAGUAACAAGAAACCUAUAUGUCGCACUAUUCUCAGCAUAGCCAAUGAACAUUGCAUCAAAGGUUUUAGGACCUAGUUUUCAUUUUUUAGGUUCAGAUAGAAGAACUUUAGCUAAACACCCCCACACUUUCAGGUAUGCUAUAUUAGGUGCAUAACCCUUCCACAACUCAUAAGGAGUUUUAUCAGUUUUCUUGUAAGGUAUUCUAUUUUGAAUAUGACAUGCAGAUAAGAUAGCUUCCCCCAACAAGUUCAAGGGUGCUCCUGAACUUACCAACAUUGCAUUCAUCAUGUCUUUUAACAUCCCAUUUUUCCUUUCUCUUACUCCAUUAGACUAAGGGGAAUAAGGAGGAGUAGUUUCAUGAAUGAUCUCAUGAUCUUCACAAAAAGAAUUAAAGGGGUUGGACUCAUACUUUCCUCUCCUAUCAGUUCUAAGCCUUUAAAUUUUCUUACUUAGUUGAUUUUCCACUUCAUUUUUGUAAUUGAUGAAAGCAUAUCUUGCUUCAUCUUUGUUUCUCAAAAGAUAUACCCUUAUAUACCUUGAGUAGUCAUCUAUGAAAGUUAUGUAGAAUCGUUUACCACCUCUAGUCAUUGUAUUUUUUAAGUCUCCUAAGUCAUUGUGUAUUAAACUUAGUAGAUCUAAUUCUCUUUCAACUGAUUUGCAAGAUUUCUUUGUGGUUUUAGAUUCUACACAAGAUUCACAUUUUCCAUGGUUUUCUAAGGACGGAUUAGGGAUUAAACUCAAUUCAACCAUUUUCUUCAUAUAUGAAAGUUCACAUGCCCUAGUUUACCAUGCCAAAUAUCACAAGAAUCAACUAUGUAAGCAGAAGAAGAAGAUGCAUUAUUAUUGAUAAUAUCAUAAACAUUCAACAUAAAUAAACCCUGAUUAGAAUAGCCAUUUCCCAAAAAUGCAUUAUUCUUGGUUAAAACUAUUUUAUCAGAGUCAAAUAAGAUCUUCACUCUUUGUUUUUCCAAGCAAAGAUACUGACACCAAGUUCCAGUGGAUAUCUGGCACAUGAAGAACAUCAAUGAGGGCAAGCAAUUUUCUAGAGGUUAGCUUGAGAAGAACUUUCCCUUUGCCAAUCAUUGAAGUAAAUCUAGAAUCACCCAUGACUACUCGUUCCUCUCCUUCCUUUAGAGUGCUAUAGGAAGUAAAUGUACUUUUAUUUCCACAGAUGUGCCUGAUAGCCCCAGAGUCUACAACCUAGUCCUUCAUAUUGGUGACCAUGCUCACCUCAGAGGAGAUUACUGCUGUGAUCACCUCUGUCUCUGCCAUAUUUGCCUUUGAAUUAGACUUCUCAGUUCUCUUCUUAUGGCGACAUUGAGUUGCAUGGUGUUUAGACUUGCCACAAACAAAGCAAUUACCCCGUUUUUUAAUAGUUGGGUUUUGGACCUUGUUUGAUGCAUUGGACUUGGUCUUAGAGAUUUGCUUUCUAGACCUUUUUUUUUUUUUUGGGUUUAGGUUUUUCUUUUACUACAUUAGCCUUAGAAGACAAUUCCUUAGCUUUUUCAACAUUGUCCCUAUUUCGGUUUUGUUCCUCAUUCCUAAUAUAGAUUAUGACAUCCUCUAGGGACAUCUAUUUCCUUUUAUGUUUCAUGUUAUUUUUGUAGUCUUUCCAAGACUUUGGAAGAGUCUCUACUAUAUAACUAACCACAAAAGGUUUGGGUAAUUUAAUGUCUUCAAUAACUAAGGCAUUAAUCAACAAGUAGUAGUCGUGGAUUUGAGAUGAUACAUCUCUAUCCUUGGUCAUUUGGAAAUUUCUAAAAUUCCCUAUGGCAUAUUUCUGAGUCCUACAUCUUCCAAAAUAUAUUUUUUAUUCAUUGCAUCCCAAAUUUCUUUUGCAACUUUAAAUUGACAAUAAAUAUAAAAAAUUUCAUUAGAAAGGGUACUCAGAAUAGCAUGCCUAACUUGUUUAUUUCCAGUUUCCUAGGUUGGUAACAGAUGAGAAACAUCUUCUGGUUUUGGGUCACUCAAAAUGUGUCCCAAGUUCACUACAUCAAUUGUAGAGAAAACCCUUUACUGUCAUCUCUUAAAGAAUGUCCUUUUGAAGGGAACAAUUUUUGAGAUGUUAGGACAAGUGUGAACUAGGGAAGCUUCCAUUUGGAUUUAUUUCAAGAUUGUUGGUUUAAGGGUAUGGAAACAAAUGACUAGCCCAAAAGACACAAAUAAAGAACUGAAUGAAUAAUAAGAAAAACUUAUCGGCUGAAGCGUGACAAACACUGUCCUUGAAAUAGAUCCACCCUCCUUGAAGAUGAACUCGGUGCACUAGGGUACCAGUGGUCUACCUCUAGGAUUCAACAGCCAAAUCUCUCAUUUGGUGCACUCUAUAAACGAGACGUGUACAACUCAGUUCUGAAAAAAUUCCUCCAGAAAGAUGUAUGAAAGAUUAUCUGAAAAACUCUUUGAAAAAUUAGUAUUCAUAUUUAGAGAGUGAGGGGUGACCUGCUUUUAUAGGCCACUAACACAGUCCCAAUGGGACUCUACUUGUAAUUAGAACAGAACUCAAAGAGAAUGGGAUUCUACUUAUAAGUGGAAUGGGACUCCACUAGCACAAUCCCAAUAGGACUCUUCCCAAAAAUAUAAGACUAAUAGAAUAAAAUAAAAUAAAAUAAAAUAAAAAUUAUUUUAAAUUUUUGUAAAAAUUAGCUGAGAAAAUGCUAAAACACUUUUUCAGAUUUACACUCUUCCUACAGGUGGUGGUGAUGGUGGUGGCAGUGGUGAAGACAAUUGUGGUGGUUGUUUUUCUCUUUUUUGUGGAGAUGGUGGAUGUUUCGACUGUUUUUGAGUAGAUGGUUAUGGUGAUGGUGGAUAACCAUCACGUUCUCAGCGGCAACAACUGCACCGAUUGAAUCCCACCAAAAUCAUCACUACAUACUUUAUUUAGUUUUGGUUUAGAAUAUCAAGGUACUACCAGUAUAAAAGACGUUAUCAAUAAUAGAAAGAUUUAUUCAUCUUCAUAAUUGAAACCACUUUCACCAAGAAAAUUUUCUUUAUGAGAUUUGUUUAAUAGCAUUUCAAAGUGACCAUGUUUUCUUAAAUUUGUUUUUAAGAAAUUGUGAAAAAUGACUCCAAUCUAUCUAUCAUGUAAAGUCUCUACAAACUCGUCUCCAUUUAAUAACUUUUUCCUCUUAUGAUAUAAUAUAUUUAUAGAAAUAUUUUUUUAUAGUUUUCCUUAUUAUAUAAGGAAAUAUAAUAUUACAAUAACAUAUCAAUGAAAAUACUCUAUACAUUAUUUUUAUAAAAAUGAAUUUAUAUCAAUUAGAAAUUUGAAACAAUUUUCGACGAUCUUCACCUUGGAUCAAUUUUCAUUAAGUCAAUGUUUCAUCUUUCCAUGACACAUGUUUUUUGUAUUACAUCCCUAUCAGAGAACAAUCAAUUCCACCUUCAACUAAAAUUCCCUUUAUUGUCCUCUUAUGUGCAUUAUUCUUUUUAACUCUUCCAAAAAUAUUUAAUUCAGGUUGCGAUACCAAUUAUUGUAUUAGUGAAAUUUAAUAUAGAUAUGUUCGUUUAAUAAUACAAAGAUAAAAUAAUUCACAUGAAGGGAAAUAAGGUUUUAACAUGAUUUGACCAACUAUGUCUACAUCUAUGUAUAAGAGAAAAUUAUUCUACCAUACUAUAGAAAAUAUUAUAGAGAAGAGAAACCAGAUACAACUAUUGAGUUUUGAAACAUUCCCAUUUUUCCCAUCUACUUGUAUCUACACUUUGAACCACAAACCCUUUCACUCCACAAAGUGUCUCUCAUUCUUCCUUGCAUUCUUCACAAGCAUAUCUCCAACUUAUAACAUUUUAAUCUUAAUAGUUUUACUUAUUUUAUGAGGAAAUCUAAUAUUACAAUAACAUAUUAACUUAAGAAAUAUUAUUUAAAAUAUUCUUUAUAAAAAAGAAUUUAUACCCGCUAUUUGGCAGAUCAUGAAAACACUGAGAUAAAAGCAAUAUCGUUGCCAAUGAGCAUCUAUGUGCAAAACCAGAAAUUGCAUUGCGAUAGACAAAUGAUUGAUUAAGAUUAAAUCAUAAUAAAUUAUUGAAUGAUUAUAAUUUAAGUAUAAAAUCAUGUCUUAAGUGGAAUUUUGGCAUUAAAUGGAGGGAUAAAAUCACUGGUGAAGCCGAUAGAUGCCCAAAUAGGUUUGAAACCAUUGUUUCAAGUGAGAUUUGAACUCAAACUAUAAGAUUUAAGGUCUAUUUGAUAACUGUUUUUUAAAACAAUUUUCUAUUCUUUAGGAAAAAAACAUAUGUAAUAACCCAAAAAUAAAAAAUAGUUUUUUGUUCUUAAAAACAAAAAAGGGUAAAUUUUUUAAUAACAUCUUUUAAUGUCCAAACAAGUUUGAAAUCAUUGUUUUGAGUUAGAUUUGAACAUAAAUUAUAAGAUUUAGGGUAUGUUUGAUAACUGUUUUUUAAAACAAUUUUCUAUUUUUUAGAACAAAAAAAAAAAAAACAAGAGAACAUAUUUAAUAAUCAAAAAACAAAAAAUAGUUUUUUAUUUUUAAAACCAAAAAACUGCAUAUUUUGAAAUAACAUCUUUUAAUUAUUUUAAGUUGUUUUCACUUAUUUUUGAAUGACUAUUGUUUUAAAAAAAUAAUUAUAUAAAUAUAGAGAAUAAUUAAAAAUAAAACACUACAUAAAAAAUUAUUUUCUAAAAAAUAUUAAAAAGCAUUAAAAAACUUUGCAACUUCCAAAAAGACAUUUAUUCCACGGAAGAUUAAAGAAAAGUUUUCAAAAACUAGUUUUUACAAUUGUUUUUUCAAAACGGUUAUGAAAUAAAUUUGUUAUAUUUUGCUCACCUGCCUCACAUUUUUGGCUCCGUCACCGGAUAAAAUCCUUGCCGCCAACCUAAGAAAGCUCACCGCCAGAAAUGGUGCCAUCUUCCUUUAGAACCUGAAAUUCCCAUGCGCCACUCGUUUUGUCUAUCUCCCCAUUCCCCGUGGGAUCUUCAUUUCCCAUAAGAUUAAAUUUUUAAUAUUGUUUAAUUAUUGUUCUUUGGAAAUAAUUUUUAAAAAUAAAAUGGACUAGAAAGUAAUUUUUAAAAAAUUAAUAGGAUUUGGUUUCAUUUAUUUUUUUUAAAAAAAAAAUAAGUCUAUUUCAUCAUAUUUUUUAAAACUUAUUUUUAAAAAUGAUUUUUAAGUGAAGGGAAUAAAAAACAGUUCUCAAGAGAAAACAUGAACAAACCAGUCCUAAAUUUUUUUUCGCAAGUUCUUUUGACAACCACAUGGAUGGACUUCCUAGCAAUUUAACAAACCUUCAUCCCAAAGUAUAUAGACAAGAAGAUCAAGACCACAGAUUUUUUGUUCCUUAUCGUGAAAAGUCUACUCCUUUAUGAAAAUAUCAUGAGAAGUCAGCAUCAAUGGCCAUUGUUUCUCAUCAACUUGCUAACCUGUUAAACUUGAGAUAGAAAAUUCAGCCCACGCAGGGCCCCGCCUUGAAAAUUUCUUUGAAGCUUCAGAUUAACAAGAUUUCUUGAGGACAAAGAAAAACCAUUCAAACGAUAAGGUUGUGUGAGCCACACGGAUUGGAGUUGAGAAAACUCAUCAAAUUUUUUAAAAUUACACCAAGCCUGACCUUGGCCUAUAAAUAUGUCCAAUCUUCUACAACUAUAGUAUAGAUUAGAAAGAAACGAUGACAAGAGGUUUGAUGGCACUAGGUGGUGGCGGAGAGCAAGUAGGCAUGGUGGCUUCAAGCUCUGGGGCGCUGCUCUUGCUUUGCAUGAUCAUCAUGUCUCUCUCUAUUAUAUCCAUGGUCAUAUUUGCUUGUGGGGAUUCUUCUACUUCACGUCGUGGAGGUGGUGGUGGCGGUGGUGGUGGCGGUGGUUGUGGAAGUGGUGGCGGUGGUUGUGGCGGUGGUUGUGGAGGUGGUGGCGGUGGUUGUGGAGGUGGUGGCGGUGGUAGUGGUGGUGGAGGUUGCUGAAGAAAAAACAAAAUAGUUUUUACUCAAAGUGUCCUAUAAAGGUCAUAGAAAAUAAACCUCAAAAUUCUUUAUCGUAUGCAAAAAAAAGUUUCCCAUAUUCAUCUUGAUUCGAUGUUAGAAUCCAUGUGAGCAAGCCCUAAUCGAGGUUGUUGUAUUUGUUGAUAUUUUCUUUGUAUUGAAGCUCAGAAAUGAAUGUAAUAGAGAUUUCAUCGUUAAAAUAUAUAUAUAUUUUUAUUUUUUAUUUUAUUAGAAAAAAAUCAAAUAUUAUUAAAUACACUUUUAAAAUAUUUAAUUCUUAUAUAGUGAAACUCAAAUAUAUAAAAUAAUAUAUAAAAAUAAUUUAUUGAUUUUAAAUUCAUCUUUUAUUUUUUAUCACAAUUUUUUUUUUAUUUCUCUUUUAACUUUUCCUUCAAAUUCUUAGGAAUCCAACGAUUUAAGAAACUUGAUUUUAGAUGUUUAAUAGAUCACGUGUCAUUCCAUGUUAUUUUCAAUUUUUUUCUUUAAUAUAAAAUUUUCACAAAUAUUUUCGACAACCACAUGUUCCAAUACCAUUAACAAAUCUUCAUCCCAAAUUAGUUCUUACGUUCAGAAAGUAUUUAAACAAGAAGAUCAAGACCUGAGAUUUUUUGUUCCUUAUCAUGAAAAGUCUACUCCUUUAUGAAUAUAUAUAUAUAUAUGUAUAUAUAUAUAGAGCUUGAAAAAUAAGCUCACGCAGGGCUUUGAAAAUUUCUUUGAAGCUUCAUAUUAGCAAGGUUUCUAAAGAGAACAGAGAAAACCUAUUCAAACUAUAAGCUUGAAUGAGCCACACGGCUUUGAGUUGAAAAAAACGAUCAAAAUUUUGAAAAUUACACCAAGCCUGGACCUCACCUAUAAAUAUAUGUCCCAUCUUCUACAUUUGUAGUAUAGAUUAGGAAGAAAUGAGAAGAAUUGAGCUUUCAGAGCAGUUGGCAUAAUAAGAGGCCCACGUCCUCCUGUGACCCGCAUUAAUCACAAGAUUAUAAGGAUAUGAAAUAGUAAAUUACUUACUACAUCAAAUGUCCUACCUAAUAAAUUGUACUAACUCAUCAUGUGAUGAUUAUGGGACCCAUUAUUUUUAUCUUUAUCCACUCUUCAUAUAUCAUUUUCAGCAAAUUAAAUUUUUAUUGUUUUUUAAAACUCUUUUUAUAAAUAAUUAAAAAUCAACAUUUUUUCUAUUUUUAAAUUAUAAAUAAACAAAAAAAUAUAUUAAUGAUUCAAAAACUAUUUUAAAAAAUACUUUCUAAAAAAAAUUUAAUUUAAAUAAAUAAAAACUAUCUUUUACAUUUUAGAAGUAAAUAAUUUAAUGAUUAAAAUACUAUUUAAAAUAAAUAUAUUUACUAUUUUCUUUUCUUUUAUACUAAAAAGCAUUUUAAGUUUUUUUUUUUUUCUUUUACUAUUCUAAACUAAAAGGUUUAAAUUUUCUUUUAAUCUUCUUCUUUUCUUAUUUUAAUAACUUUUGAACAUGACUUUUGGUAAUAAGUUAAAUAAAAUAUUUCAAAGAUUUUUCUUAAUUAUAUGAAUAUAUUCAAAUUCCACUUAAGGAAUUACUAUAGUGCCACAAAUUUCAUAAUUGCAUAUUUUUUGCAUUAUCCGAGGGGACACAUUGUCUCAAUCACAUAAGAUAUUAUAAUGUCUCUAUUCAGAAUACUCAUUGCCACCAGCCUCCAUAAAUAAUAACACAAUUCAUAGGAAUAUAUGACUAUUUUAAGAUCUCACUCAUAGUUCAAAGUCUCCUAUUAAUUUUAACAUAGAUUUAAUAUCAUCUUAAGGUUUAGAGUUCAUGCAGUAUAGUAGUUUGGUGAAUUAUAACAAUUGAUAGUCUUGCGUCAUAAUUCACUAUAGGUCUUAUCCAGUAUACAUCACAUGCACUAAUGCUUUUUUCAUCAAAAACUUAUCCUAACAACCAUGACAAGUCAUCCUUCUAAUUAACAGGUGAUGCACUAUAAUCUUUAUUAGAUGACCUAAAUCCAUGAACUAAUAUGGACAACUUAUCUACUUAUAAGGAACUCAUGACUUGUAUAUUUUGUACAACUCCUAAUACACAUAAGUCAUAUACAAUAUAAAAGACAUAAGUUGAAUGCUCAAAUUAAUGUUAAUACACUAAAGGGAUAACAAGGAGACAAUUAAGUCUAACUUUGUUACAUUAUGUUUUGCUUUUAAGGGUUCAAUUCCAAUAAACUUUCAUUAGCCCCAAAAACAAAUUGGGCACAUAGAAAUAUUCUACUUCAAAAUCAAAUCAUCUCCCCCUAUUAUCUCACAAUAAGGUAACACUUCCUUUUAUGUGUUUCCUCUUCUAGUGGUACUUCAGUUCUUUAUAUUACACCACUGUCCCACUAUUAUCACAUAACAAGAUCUUAGAUAAUAUAGCUAAGAGAACUACCCGUAAGCCAAAAUGCUUCCUUUGAUUCUAUAGAAGCAACAAAAACCACUUAGAGUGUACACAUGCCUAGAUGUAAACCUGUGAGAAUCCUUAUCAAACUAAAAGUCCAAUUCUCAAUACAAAAGGAGUACCAACUCAUCUCAAGGACUUACAAACAUAUAAUCUAUCAUUCUCUAAAAAUACAUGAGUAUAUGUUUGAUAUUCGCUCAAAGCUCUAAUAAGGAAAUGGACUAACAUCUACUCAUUAUUCAUAAAGCAAAGAAAAUAUUUGGUCUAGCACAUAACAUUGCAUACUUAAAGCUACCCCUUAUAGAAGCAUAGGAUAUUACCUUAAUGAAAUCUCUCCCCACAAAUGUCCAAGGAUAUUGAUCUUGAGAAAAACAACUCUAAAUCCAAAAGGUAACUAACCUUCUUGAAGUUUUACAUCAUUUACUUGACCAAAUGCUCAUCAAAGUAGGUGAUUUGAUGCAAUUUUCCUAUUCUUGCAGUCCCAAAAUACCUUAACCCAAGAAUAUAUCAUGUUUCUUUCUAGAUUUUCAUCUAGAACUAGGUAGACUACUAGAUUUUGAUUGAUGACAAUAUCCCUACAUCAUCUCUAAUGAGUAGAUUAUCAUUGACUUAUAAGAUCUUAGAGCAUCACCAUGCUUCCCAAUACUUUCUUAUACACACAAGGCCUUUUGCUAUGAAGAUGUUUGCUUGUUGUAUCUCAUAAAUGAGACACACUGCGAUAAAUAAGAGUAAUUUGAUAUAGUUGAGUCUGACUAUUAUUGAAAAGGUUUUCUAUAGUUGAAACAAAGUUUCAAACUAUAACCUUUAGUUAUAGUCUUAACCACAUAAGUCUCAAUCUAUCCAUCUACUCUACAUUCUUCUUGUACACUAACUUACACCUAUGAGUUUUAUUCACUUUACCUAAUGAUUAUUCUGAAAAUACUUUGGGAAUUAUAUUUUUUUUCAUGAGGAAUUUUUUUUUUUUUUGAAAAAAUAAUUUGGAAAUAAAUUUUUUUCUAGUAAGGAUUUUUUUUAAAUUCAUUUUUGGGAAUAUAUAUUUGACUUUGACUUCAACAGUAAGUUGAGGAUGAAGCUAAAGUGUUAAUUUUUAACAAAUAAUAUUGGUAUAUAAAAAGUUUUAUUAAAUAUAAAAAUACUUUUUGAGUAAGUCAAAGUAGAGUUUCUACUAGAAGCAAUAUUUUUUUGGCUUUUAUGUUAAGUUCCUUUAAACAAAAUUACCCAAAUAGACAUAGAACCUAUUAUUGAGCUUAAAAAAAAAAAGGUUUUUGACUUCCCAUAAAUUGAUCAAAAUAGGGCCUAAGAGUGAUAGAAUAAUGGAUUUUGAAUUACAUCUCUAGCUAUGUUUGAUUGAUAACAAGUUUAAGAGAAAGAAAAAAGAUUAAAAAAAAAUUAUAAUUUAUUUUCCUUAUAGUAAAACCUUUAUAAAAUAAUACUCUUAAGGCGAAAAGAAAUUAUUCUUUUAGUGGGUUAUUAUAUGAUCGACAUAUAUAUAAUUUUUUAAUUUAUCAAUAAAUACAUAUUUAUUAAUUUAUAAAGAAUAUAUAUGUGUUUACUGAUUAAUACUUAUACAUGUAUAACUUAUAAAUCUAAAAACAAUGGAUAUGACAAAUGGUUAACACAUUAGAAGCCUAAGAAAGUAAAAAAUAGAAAAAAUGGUUGUUAAUUGCAAAAGAUUGAAAGACUCCUAAAAAUGGAAAUGUGAUAUCAAAACUUAGUAUCUUCAAAGAUAAAAGAGGUUUUAAGUAUGGAAUGAUUUGAGAAUUAGUGAAUUGAGAAAAAUGAAAGUUAUAAAAGUUACUAUAUAUAUAUAUAUAUAAUUAUUAAUUUAUAUUUUUUUGGGUCCUUGAGGACUUCUCAAAAUUGUAUUAUUUUAUACAUUUAGUGAGGUCUAUUAAUUUAAUAAAUUGACCUAUGUUAGGAUUAGAGGAUUUUAUUAUCUAAACAAGGUUAUUAAUUUAUAGAACACUCAUUUAACAAGGUCUUAUUACAUUCAAUUGUCCAUAAAAAAGUUAAGCAAAAGAAAAUAAAUUUUUGAACAAUGCACUUUACUCUUUAUUUCAUGGUAUAAAAAUAUAAGAAAAUUUUCUUUAUAAUUUUUUCCUUGGGACUUUGCAAGAACCAAAUAUCGCAUAUAGGUUUUAUAUUUUUAAUUUUAUUUUUCUAAUUUUUAUUUUUAUAUCUUUCCAUUAAUAAUCAUAGUUUUAAUUUUAUUUUUAUUGUUGAUGGUCUAUGAAUUUUAAAACUAUAAUUUUUUCGUUUAUAAAAAAAAUUAAAAAUUAUUUAAAAAUUAUCUCAAAGAAAACUAAUAUUUGAAAUGUAUUUAUAUAAGAUUUAUUUAAAUUUAUUUAAAGAAAAAAUUUUAAAAAUUAUUGUAGACCCUUAUUUUUUGGUCAAGUUUGUUUAUUAUUUUUGAGCACUUUGUUGGCAACAUGUUUUAGAGUGGGGGAUGGCUUCUAUGGUUUCCACGUGAGCUACAUGCAUGGGACAUGUGCCAAUGACACCACCACCUUGCCAUGGUGGUAGUUGAGAUGGGGACUCCUUCUGAACAGAUGAUAGAGGAGUGGGUCGUGAGCAGUAAAACUGGUGAUGGGUUGGAGGGGAAGAAAAAAUCGAGCUGGGAAAGUAGAAGAAGGGGGGAAGAAAGCUAGACGAGGGGAAGAUUUCGGGAAAGAAAACAGAGCAUGAAGGAUAAGGUUUUUCAGCAGGGUUUUUUUGGAAGAAAAACGUGUAGCAGCUUGAGAGAGGGGUUGGGAGCAGAGAAGGAGUGAACAAGACUGUAAGAGAGAGCUGCAAUAAGAGAGUAGCACAGGUAUGUUUUCUAUAACUUGCCUAUUAUUUCUUUUUCACAUGGUUCCAUUAUUUUUUUGUACAUAUUAGGAUUCUAUUUUGGUGCCUGAAUAUGAACUUUAGAAAAUUUUACAUAUUCUUGUUGGAUUUGAGUUUGUUUGCAUGCAUUUUUAUGCUUGAUUUCUAAUCUAUUUCCUUGGCCCUGUUUUGAGAUCCUAUAUAAAAUGCUUGCAAGAUUUCCAUUUGAACUUCAUUUUGGCUCUCUCCCCAUUUUACAGCAGUAACAAAGCUACCAUUUCCCAUCAACCCAUUUAUCUUUCCAUCGUUGCCACUCUCUCACCCAAGCUUUGCACCCCCACCCAUCAUUUUCUAGCAUUCAGCUACAACUAGUGGACGUCUAGGCCAUACCAAAAGUGAAAUAUAGAAAAUGGAGAAGGACAGCCCAAGCCAAGCAACAAUUUUCUUCCUCACAUACCUCAUCGGAGUUGUCUUCAAGUUUGGAGAUGCUGUUUCAAUCCCGAGCGCUUCUCUCUACACUACCAACGAUAACCAGCAUACCAUCUUCUUUUACUUUUCUCACGAAGUGAUCGACAACGCCAUUGAUGAGAACUCCAAGUUGAUCUCUCUUUGAAAGGGCUUGAGUUGCGUUUGGUUCAAAACUUGCAUUUCAAGCUUUGAAAGCUCCAUUUCUAGCUCUACAUGUUUUGAUGUAGCUAGAGAAAUAGGUUUGCAGCUGGAAGUUUGCAUCUUUUUGCAUUUUGCAUGAGAGUUGGCAGCCCCCACCAUGCUUUUCUCACCAACUCAUUUCCGUUCUUUUCCAUGUACACGCCAUUCGCAUGCAUGGCCACCUUAGCGUAUGUGACCAAUUGCCUUCUAGACACCCAGCUUGCUGCUAAGUCUUCACGGGAUCAAAUGCUACUGGACACCUUGCUGGUACCAUUUCUAAUGAGUACUUUUUUUAUGACAACACUAUGCACUAUGCACGACUAGAAAUAAUGUUAAUAGCCACUAGUGUCGCAUAGAAUAUUAUGUUUCAUGGAAUAGGACAAGUUUAAGGAGAUCCAUAAAGGUUGAGAAGGCUGUUUAGAAUCCCACUUUCGUGAAAAGUCAUGCGAAAAUUUGGUCCAAUGGAUUUUUCAGCAUAUAAAAAGGAAAUAUGAUUACCUCAAAUUGAUUACUUGCAGCCAUCUAUUGGAAAUAGUCUUCAGGACCAUCAUAGCAGCUCCUACAUAUGUCCACAUUGGCGGGCUCAAGCUUGUGGAUCAAAGCAGCCACUUUCCAUCCUGAGCCCACACUUUGCAUGGCCACCUUUGGCAUGCAAUCUCACCACCACAUUUCAUCCUUUUAAUUCUUCAUAUUUUAAUACCAAAGUUUAAUUUUCCAAAUUUUCAAUUUUUAAAUAUAAUUUCCAAAACUUCUAUUUUCAAAUAGUUGUCCAAAAUUUUGAUUUUCAAAUAUUUUUUGAAACUUCAAUUCCUUAAUUUGAUAUUUAAAACUCUAAUUUUCAAAACUUCAAUUUCUUUCAAAUUUAAUUUCCAACUCCAAUUCCUAAAUUUAAUUUUCAAAACUCUAAUUCUCAAAUAAUUUUUAAAAUUCUAAUUUCUUUCAAAUUUAAUUUCCAAAACUUCAAUUCUUAAAACUAAUUUUCCAAACUCCAAUUUUCAAAUAAUUUUCAAAAUUCCAAUUUCUUUCAAAUUUAAUUUCCAAAACUCCAAUUCCUAAAUUAAUUUUCAAAACUCCAAUUCUCAAAUAAUUUUCAAAAUUCCAAUUUCUUUCAAAUUUAAUUUCCAAAACUCCAAUUCCUAAAUUAAUUUUCAAAACUCCAAUUCUCAAAUAAUUUUCAAAAUUCCAAUUUCUUUCAAAUUUAAUUUCCAAAACUCCAAUUCUUAAAUUUAACUUUCAAAACUCCAAUUCUCAAAUAAUUUUCAAAAUUUCAAUUUCUUUCAAAUUUAAUUUCCAAAAUUACAGUUCUCAAAUUUAAUUUUCAAAACUACAAUUUUCAAAUAAUUUUCGAGACUUCAAUUUUCGGAUAAAUUUCAAAACUCUAGUAUUCUUUCAAAUAAUUUUAAUUUCACUCUAGUUUUCAAAUAUUUUUUAAUUCUAUCACUUUUCAUCCUUCAUUAGGGUUUUAAGUCACUAAGAAUCCCAUUUUUUAAAAAAUAAACUUGCUCCCUUUCCUUUCAGGUAAGCAUUUUUCUCAAAGUUUCUUUGAUUUUAAAAUAAUUUUUCGUUUUCCUUUAUUUUUAAUAAGUAUGAAUGAAUUUUCGUAACUCCAAAAAUAAUGGAAUUUAUGAUAUUAAUUCAUGCAAAAUCUAUUGGGCUUUGGUGGGAGCCCUACAUAUGAGCUUCCUCUUUCAAGUGUCAAUUGUUAUGCUUAAUGAAUAUUGUUUGAUCUUUGUUCUUGCUCUUAAAUAUGUAUGCGACAAUUUUGUAUUUGAGCUAACCUUAUUUUCAUGAUAGCGCUUUAUUACCUACUGCCAAGGUAUGUUCUCACUCUCACUUUGUUUAUUUAUUCGUUAUCAUGACUUGAUUUUGAUCUAUGAUCAUUUUGGUAUACAUCAAUCUCCUAGUUAAUUGUCAUGUUUGCAUCACUUUAUUUAGUAGAAACUUGUUUUUAAGGGGCUUAAAGGGGUGCUAUGGUCUUUACCAUACCUUCCCAAUAAGUAACCUAACUCUCGAACCCAGGUUUAGUUUUUCACAGACCGUCUUUUUCAAAUAAGGAGUCACACUUGGGUUUUCUUUCUUAUUUUGUUUUUCCUUUAAAAAUAAAACAAAAAUUAGUGGGUACUCCAAGUCAUUUUCUAAAAGAAUAAAUCAUUUUCAAAUAAAAAACAAGUUCUACCAUCGAAUGGGAACGCAUUGUGCGAAAUAUGGGGUUCACAAUUAUAUAUGUCCUAACAUUAUCAUUGGAAAAAAAAAAGUAUUCAUACAAGAUUUAUUUAAAAAUUAUCUUAAAGGAAACAAUUUUUUUUUGUGAAAAAAUAUAUCUCAUAAUAUGGUGACUAAUAUAGGUAAAAUGGAAUUAUAUAAUAUUUAUUUAGUAUAAAAUUUAUAUUGUUUAACUUGCAAUAAAAAAAUAUAAAAUUUCACUCCCAAAAAUUGAUAUUUCACUCUGAAUAUAUCCAAGUCCGCUUCCAAUAGUUGAAUAACAUUUUAAAUGAGAUGCCAAAUACUCCCAUAACCAACUAAAGAUGUUGAAUCAUAAAUGGAAUAGUAUUUUGAAUUUUUAAUCAUUAGUGUAGUUAAAUAGUUUUUUAUCUUUGGAUUACUUAUAAAAUUAUAUAUUACUACAAUCUAAAAAAUAUUAAUUAUAUGUUAUUUUAAUUUUACUCUUAUUUAGUAUAUUAUAACCAUAUUGUCUUCUAUAAAUGAAUUCAUAGUAUAUGUUCUUGUUAGCACUGGAACUUGUUAAAUACUUCCAUUUUGAAGAUAUAACUCAAUCUUACUCAACUUAAAUCAUAGCAUUGUGAUAAAAUAAUGAUGAUAUAAACAAUGUCAUAAUUCUGUCCAAGCAAUAUUCAAAUUCUGCCCUCUAAUGUGUUGUUAAAUUUCUAUAUAAUAAUAAUGAAUUAUUAUAUUUAAUGUGAAAAAAAAAUCAAAUAUAAUUCAAAAUUUUAAUUUUUUUUUUACAUAUUUUUAUAUUAUUUAAUCUUUAUAUAACAAAAAAAAAAGUGAAAUAAGUUUAAAGAAGUAUGUAAAAAAUUAUUUAUUUACUUUAAAUUUAUUUUCUAUUUUCCUUCAUUUUUUUCUCUCCUUUUAUUUUUUCUCACCAUUUUCUGUCUCACAUUUUUCUUCAAAUUUUUCAAAAACAUAGCAUAGCCUUAGGCUAUGUUUGGUUGUUGGAAAAUUUGAAAAAAAAAAUGUGAGAGAAAGAAAAUAGAAAGGAAAAGUGAAAGAAAAAAGUUAAGGAAAAUAAAAAAUAUAUUUAAAUUUAAUAAAUUAUUUUAACAUGUUUUUUCAAUUUCAUUUAUUUUUCUCAAAGAUUAAAUCAUUUUAAAAUAUAUAAAAUUUUAAUUAAUUUUAAUUAUAUUUGAUUUUUUCAUAUUUUUUAUAGUAAAACUAAAAUAAAAAAAUCAUUUUCUUUAUGUUAUGUUUGGUUCAUAAAAAAACACUAAGGAAAAGAAAAAAAAUGUUAAAAAAAUUAUUUUCUCAUAAUUGUAUUAUGAAAAAAGAAUUAAAGAAAAUCAAAUAUAACUAAAAUUAGUAAAAAAAAAAAACUUAUAUAUUUUAAAAUUAUUUAAUAUUUAUAUAGAAAAGUUCAAAUAUAUGAAUUGAGUUUGGAAUAGUAAAUAAAAGUAAUUUAUUGAUUUUAAACCUAAUUUUUAUUUUCUUCUACUUUUUUACUUUGAAGAAGCAAGUAUAAUCAUAAAAGAUUUUGUAAUAUUCCUUUCUCAAAUUUAUUUCUUACACCAUUUAUAUUUUCCUAAUAGUAUAUUAAUCAAGAAGAAAAAAAAUGUUACUUUUCAUAUUGGUGGAAAGUCUUGAAACACAAAGUGAGAAAACAAAAAAAUUGAAGAAGCUUGGAUGUAAAACAUUUUAAGAGUAACUUUAAUAAAUAUUUUUAAAAAAAUUAAUGUGGAAUUUUGACAAAUUUUUUGUACUCCACGUGGUCUAAUACCAUUAAAAGUUUGUACCAUGUUGGUACGAUGGAUGUACCUUUUCCCUUUGAAAAUUGAUUAGAGACUUCCCUUCCUCCAAUCAUGAAGCAAAUUCUUUGAAGCUUCAGGCCAAGAAAAGAUCGUUCAAAGAAUACGUUUGACUAAGCUAGACGGCUUGGAAUUGAUCAGACUCAUCAGAAUUUUGGAAAGUACACAAAAGCGUAGCCUCCUAUAAAUGUGUCCAACCCUCUAUGGUUGUAUCACAGAUUAGAAAGAAAAGAUGGUAAGAGAUUCGAUGGCAUUUGGUGUUGGCAGUGGCAGCUUCGAUGGUCAUGGUGGUGGUGGUGGAGAGCAAGUGGGCAAGGUGGCUCUGACCCGUAAGUCGAUGUUCUUCCUCUGCAUGUCAGUUACACUGUUGGUGCUAGUGGUGGCAAUAGUGGUGGCGUUGAUGAUUUGAGGGAGGAUGGUGGUGGUGGUGGUGGCAGCGGCUGUGACGGUGGAAUGUAUAAUCAUUCUUUUUGUAUUGAAGUUUAUAAAUAGCAUGGAUGUAUACGUAUUCUUUGCAUUUUUUUUUUUCUUUUCAUAAAAAACAUGUUAGAAGUUUUUUAGCUUUCAUACCAAAAUAAAAAGAGGUUAGGGCAUGUUUGUUAAUUGUGUUAGAUAUUUUAGUUCAAAAAUAUAAAGAAACAUAUUUGAUAACCGUAAAAUAUUUUCCAUUCUUAAAAAUGAAAAACACCGAAAAACAUGAUAUUUCUGAUAACAUGUUUGAGUCAUUUUCACUUUUUUUAAAAAUAAUAAGAUAAAUUUGAAGUUUGGAGAUUAUUUUAAAAAAUAAUCAAAUAGAAAGAGAUGAAGAGGAAUUGAAAUGGAAGGAGACAAGUAGUUUUCAAUCCUUAUAUACCCAAGAAAACAAGAUAAUAAUGUAAAACCUUCUUUUAGAUUUAAUGAGUAUUUGGUAAAUCAAUUUAAUAAUUUAAAGCAACUUAAUAACCUUAAAUAAAAUAUGUUUGAUAAAAUAACUUUAUUAUAUGACUUAAAAUAAAAAAUAACUUUAAGUAAUAAGUAAAUAUUUAUAUCUUCAUUUUAUCUUUUUACUUUAUCUAUCCUAAUUAUCUCCACAAUCUUCUUUACUACUUUACAACCUUCAUUAUUACUUAACCUCAUUUACCUUAAUUAUAAUUUAUGAGAAUAAAUAUAUCCAUUUAAUGAUUUAAAAUAAAUUUAAAAUUAUUUUUAUUAUAUAAUCUUAAUAUUUAACAUAAGAAUUAGUUAAUAAAUUUUAAAUUAACAACUUAAAUAUAAUUUAAUUUAAAGUCAACUUAAGUGAUUAAGUAAUAAGUACAAACUCCCUUUUAAUAUCUUAUUCUAACUUAUUUACAUCUAUAUAUGAAGACACGUAUUCUGAAUCCUCGUGUAUCCAAGAAAAGAGUCAAUUAUCCAUUCUUCAUUAAUUCAAAAACGUAGAAUAAAAUACAAAAAAUUAACUGAAAUAUUCCUCAACAAAAACAAGUUUAUCAGACAUCCAUGGCUGGAGUAUGUUAAAACUAGGGUUUUUUUUUUUUAAUUAGAGUAACUUAUUGUAGUUUAAAAGAGUGGUCAAAGCAGGCACAAAGUGAGAUUAAAUACUAAUUGUGAUUUGGAGGUGCUUUCAAAAAAUGAAAGAGUAUUAAAAUGUCAUAAAAUUAGGGAAAAAAAAUAUACAUAUACACCAAGCAUGAGUUCAUGAGAUGUUGUAUUGGCUUCCAAACAUGUACAAUCUUCCACAUUAGAAAGAAAUCGACCAUUUUUAACUUUAAGUUGUGGUAUUAAAUUAUUUUAAUAAAUAUGUUUAACCUAUUUAACUAUUUAAAUUAAGUUAUUAAGUCAUUAAAUUCUUUUACCAAACAUCUUCUUACCCAACCUCAAAAUAUACUUUUGUCAUAGCACACCAUAUUUGAAUCUUUGGAACUUCUUUGAAACUUCCAAAUAGGUUGAAAAGAAUUGAGAUUGUUAAUACAAGGAAAGAUUAUUCAAGGUUUGAUGAAGCAACAUGGCUUAAAAUUCAAAUCAAGAAAAUUAUAUGAAAAUAAUGAAGUAUAAAACAAAAUAAAUAGAAGUUUUUGAAUUAUAAUUAUUUUAAAACAAAGGGGAAAAAAAGUGAAGAAGCUUGAUUGUGAAAUAUUUCAACAGAUAAUUUUUAAUUAAAUAAUUUUUAAAACUUAAAUUUUUAAUAUAAAAAUCUUACAUUAAAAUUUUUUCUUCCUCGUGGUCUAAUAUCAUAUCAAAAGGUUGUACCAUACUGGUACGAUGGAUGUACUUUCUCCCAUUGAAAAUUGAUCUAAUUGAAGAAGAUAGAGACACGAGACUCUGUUCCUUCAAUAUCAUGAAAAGUCUCCUCUCUCUCUCUCUCUCUCUCUCUCUAAUUGAUGAGGUUUUUCUCACGACAAGAAAUGUCAACGACACCUACACGGCUUGGAAUUGAUCAAGCCCAUCAAAAUUUUGAUAAUGACGCUAAGCAUGUGACCAAUCUUCUACGGUUGUAGCAUAGAAUAUUAGAAAGAAAAGAUGGCAAGAGGUUUGAUGGCACUAGAUGGUGGUGGUGGUGGUGGAGAGCAUUUUGGCACUGUGGCUUCAAGCUCUAGGGCGGCCCCUGUUCUUGCUUUGCACGAUCAUUAUGUCCCUCUCUAUUAUAUCCAUAUAUGGUCAUAUUUGGUGGUGUUAGUAAGGCUUCUACUUCAGCUCGCAAGGAAAAAGAGGCGGUGAUGAGGAUGGUUCGAGAUGGUCAGUGUGGUGAGGGUAGUGAUGGCGGUGAGGGUGGUGAUGAGGGUGGUGGCGAUGGUGAAGAAAAUUGUGGUGGUUGUUUUUCUCUUUGUUGUGGAGAUGGUGGAUGUUUUGACUGUUGUUGAGCAAAUGGUUGUGGUGAUGGCGGAUAACCAUCACAUUCUCAGCAAUGGCAGCAACUGCACCGACUGAAUCCCACCAGAAUCAUCAUUGCAUACGUUAUUUAGUUGGGAGAAUUGUGUUUUGGGCUCAGCUGAGCCCAAAAAUUAAGUUUUGGUCCAUGUAACUAAACUAUUUAAGCUGAAAACCUAUAGGAAGUGUCAAAUUUGAAAAGAAGGAUAUGUACUUUUAUUAUUUCCAAAAAUAACCUUUGCUGAUUAUGAAAAAAAAAAAAUUAAACCAGAAUAUCCAAGUUGGAAUUUUGCCCUAAUUUUGCUCUUUCUUCAGCAUUUCAGCCCUAGACAGCCGUUGUUUUUCUCUUCCUCCUGAUUUUCUCCAUUGCUUGCAUCUCAUCUCUAUGCCCCUUUCAUUUUUUCUCGCAUUCGUCUCUCCCGAAAAUUUGAUUUAAGGCCAAAUAUAUUGUCUUAAUCAAUCUCUUGAUUUCAGUUGGGUGUCUCUUGUUCCAUCAUCGAUCCGCAUCAGUGUUGUCAUUCGUGUCAAGUGUCGUUGGCUAUUUGAGGUUAGUAGGUUCUCCAAUUUCAUUUUCUCUCGAUUUCGUCUUUGCCAAGCAUUUGAUUUCAACUCAAAAUACAUUGAUGUAAUCUCUCUCUCAAUUUUAGUUCGGCGUGUUCAUCUUGGUGCAGACCUUGUUGCAUAUUUGAGGUUAGUAGGUUGCCUAAAUCUUGGCCUAGAUUUUCUUGGUCCUAUAUUUUGUUUAAUCCUUGUUGGUAUUAGGAGAAGGAUUCUUGUUUUCUACUAACCUUCAGUUUACAAAGUGAAUGUUGAGUGUUAUUUUAAGGACAUUAAAUGAACAGUUGAGGCAAAGUAAGUGAUUUGGAAUUCCUUGCUGUAGAAAUCUCUUGGAAAGGGGUUUCCAUACUUCCUAAUUCUAAAUAAGACAUUGUAGAUUUGUUGUAAUGUUUUAAAAGAGCAAAUUUUUCUUUUGGAGCAUUGCUAAUUUGAAAAAUAUUUUGGUUGGAAAUACUUCAAAAUCUUGAUGGAAUAGCAGCACAAAAUUGGAAUUAACUCUUUGAUUUUGAUAGAUCUCGUCUCAAAUGCCCAAAGUUGGUAGUCAGACAGUUUGAGUUAUUCUAAGUUGUGCAAGUCCAUUUAGAAGUUCUAUACUAGUAGGAGGAAGUAUGCCUUUGUUUCUAGCUUAUGCUAGAGUUAUCAAGGGAAAGAGUUAUAAAGUUGAAACUUUUGAAAUUAUACAAGUCACUUUAUACUGCAUGGUCAAGGAAUCUGAUUAAACCUAAAUUUUCUUAUGGUGCAUUGGCUCACUACUACAAAAAUAGUUUAUGGUGUCACUAUUUACAGUGUCACUUUUAAAAUAAUGACACCAUAGGGUUUAUAAUUAAUAAAUGUGACACAUCAUAUAAAAAAUCUUCAAUUGAGGUAGUUAGAUGAUAUUAAUUUUAUAUUUAUAGUGUCAUUUUUUGGGAAGUGACAUCAUAUAAAAUAAAUUUUUUUAAGUAUUAUAACUUAAUGAGCCCACUUUUAGAAUUAAUAAUGAUGGAUACUAUAUAAAAAUCCCAUUGUUUCCAUAUCUCACCCACAAUCCAAAAAAUCUCAAUGUAUAAAUCCUAUAUAUAAAAUCAUGAUCUUCUUCAACCUUUUCUCUCACCCAUCCAUAGUCAACAGGCUCAAAACCGACAUUCUUUACUUUGUGGACUCCCAGGUAACCCAAAAUCUCUUGGAUCUAUCAUUUUUUUUCUUUUAUUAAUGUCAUUAUAUUAAUUGUUUCAACAUCUUUGUAUUAUGGUUUUUGUGAAUUGUGUUUUCUUGAGUUGUAGGGAAGAAAAAUUUAGGUUUAAUCUUCUAGCAUGGAAGAAAAAACUAUAGAUUAAUUGAUUUUUUUAAUCUAAACCAAACACAUGAUCAAGUCCUUAAAAAAAAAAUGAAAAACAGGAAAAAAUGAAUGAUUUUUAAUAUGUAUUUAUGUGAGAAUGACAGGUACAAAAUUUUUUUAAGAUAUACUAUCACAUAAUCUUCAUCCUUUCUAAAAAACGAGAGAGGAAAAAAAAAAGAAUGAUUUUUCUGUUUGUAUCUAAGUGGGAAUGAGAUAUAGAAUUUCGUUGAGAGUAUCCAACCCCAAAAGGACCAAUCCGGGAAGGCAUGUGUGGUAUUGACGGGAAAUGAUAAGAUGGAAAUCAUAACCAUAGCCAUGUUCUCUCUGUGUCUUUCUAUCCUCUUCAAUUAAUUCAUGGGCAUAGAUAUUUUAUUUAGUUUUUAUAUUUAGUUUAUUUAUAGUUUAUUUAGUUUCUAAAUCCAAUUAGUUAGAUAUUUUAUUUGAUUUUGUUUUUAUAUUUAAGUAUUUGAGUUUUGGAAAGUUUUUAUAUUUUUUUAAUAGAAAUAGAAAUUUUUAUAUUUUUUAUUAUUAGGAAUUUCUAUUUUCUUAAAUUGUAAAUAUCUAUCUCAAUAAGAGAUUAUUAAUAUUCAAAUGAAAGUGAUGAAAGAGAGUAAAUAUUUUAAUGCUCAAUUAUAUUUUAAUGUUAUUUUUUUUUUUACAUAGCGUUUAUUUAUGUUUUCAAUUUUGAAGUUCCCUUUCCAGUCCAGCACCAAAGUAUGUCCAACCUUAAAUGGGNNNNNNNNNNNNNNNNNNNNNNNNNNNNNNNNNNNNNNNNNNNNNNNNNNNNNNNNNNNNNNNNNNNNNNNNNNNNNNNNNNNNNNNNNNNNNNNNNNNNNNNNNNNNNNNNNNNNNNNNNNNNNNNNNNNNNNNNNNNNNNNNNNNNNNNNNNNNNNNNNNNNNNNNNNNNNNNNNNNNNNNNNNNNNNNAAAGUGAUGAAAGAGAGUAAAUAUUUUAAUGCUCAAUUAUAUUUUAAUGUUAUUUUUUUUUACAUAAGGGUUUAUUUAUGUUUUCAAUUUUGAAGUUCCCUUUCCAAGUCCAGCAACAAAAGUAGUGUCCAACCUUAAAAUGGGCAUGUGUGGUAUUGACAGGAAAUGAUAAGAUGGAAAUCAUAACCAUAGCCAUGUUCUCUCUGUGUCUUUCUAUCCUCUUCAAUUAAUUCAUGGGCAUAGAUAUUUUAUUUAGUUUUUAUAUUUAGUUUAUUUAUAGUUUAUUUAGUUUCUAAAAUCCAAUUAGCUAGAUAUUUUAUUUGAUUUUGUUUUUAUAUUUAAGUAGUUGAGUUUUGGAAAGUUUUUAUAUUUUGUUAAUAGAAAUAGAUAUGAGGACUUAAAGGGUUUAUAUUUAGGUAGUGCUUGAGCCAAUGAAAAUGAUAGUCCACUAUCUUGACCCUAUGCAUCACAAACCAUGUGAGGACUUAAAGGAUAUCGUAAACAUGUAAGUUCUUUCUAUUAUUUUUCAUAGUAUUAUUUUUAAAUAAAAAAAAAUACAUUCACCUCAAACACAUUUUUUUUUAUUAUUUAUAUAUAUUAAAACAUAUAACAUUUAUCUAUUUUAAAAAUGUACCCAUUGAACUUAUUUACAUAGGGCUCUUCGAAUAUCUGCAAAGAAAACAUCUAAGAGGGAAUCAUCUUAGCAACUAGUGCAGGUGACAUCCAAAAAUUUUUCUUUACACAUUAGCUUAUGCAUUUGCACCAUUUAUAUAUGUGAGUACUAAUGUUAUUUUAUAAUUGAUCGAUUAGUGUCCAAGACAAGAAGGAGGGUUCGAAUGUGGCUACUUUGUUAUGAGAUUCAUUAAAGAGAUAAUUUUUGAUCCUACAAUUAUUGCUUCAAAGGUAUUACUUAUUUAAUGAAUUGUACAUAGUUUUAGGCUUCCAAAUGUUAUGCAUUUUAAUGUUAUCUUCUUAUUUGAUUUCAGUUUGGUAAUAAAAAAAACAUAUUCUCAAGUAGAAUUCGAUGAAAUAGAGGAGAAUGGGCUACUUUUGUGCUACAACUAAUCAUGAAUCAUGUUGAUGCAUCAUGAUCACCAUGAAUGGUGAGUCCCUUAGCUACUACAUGAAUUUUUCCAUAGGUAUUGUAUAGUAAUGCUUAUUCUUUGAAUAAUGUUUCUAUUUGAAAAAAAAAAUUAAUUCUUAAAUUUGUUCAUUUAUGAUAACAUAGAUCCAUGUUUAUUUUCUUCAAUAAAAAUCUCUAAAACUCAUUAAAUAUUGAAAUGCAGGUAUACACUCUUGGGAGGGUGAAAUGGAGAAUAUAAAGAAAGAAGAAGGCAACAAGAUUUUGGGUUUUUAAAUGCAACUCUUAUGUCAUACGUUGUAGGACAUAAACGUUACUUUAAUUGCAACUGAGAAAUUUAGAUUUUUAGAUGGGACUUCUAUGUCAUUUUAUGGUUAGCCGGUUUUAUGCUUAUGAAAUGGAGGUAUACAUGAAUCUUGGGAUCUUUAACAUUUCUAAAUCAUGUUUUGGUAUGUAUUCACUCUUCUUUUUUAGUUUUGAUGGGUUUGAUAUGUUGGACGUACUAUCCUUUUGUGAACAUUUGAUAUACAAAUAUUAUUGAUGAUCAAUGUAUUAUGAGUUAUUCCAGAAACAUUAUAGAAAAAUGAGUUAAAUAUAAUAUGAUUGUUAUAUUUAUGGACAAAAUAUAAACAGGUUAAUCUUAUUAAUUCAUAAGCAUUACAAAAAUCAACAACUAAAACCAAUCAUAUAUUCUACAAUAAUUUACAAUGAUGUGAUACCAUAACUCAAAGGUGAUGCAUUUAAUGUGACAUCAUAACUCAAAGAUGAUGUAUUUAAUGUGACACCCUAUCAUCACUAGAAAUAUAUGGUGUCACUUCUGAAUGGGUCACCAUUUAUCUACUUUGGUGUCACUUCCAAAUACGUCACCAAUUGGUACCCUCUAUGGUGUCAGUGGAGAAGGUGACGCUAUGUUGUAGUGACACCUUAUGUUUAUGGUGACUCGUUAUAAAUGUCACCAUAUACCUUUUUCCUUGUAGUGGCUUGAGAUGUAGGCACAAGUAACAGAUUUAUCUCCUUUUAUCUAUUAGUUUUUCUCACCCUUAAAUGUGUUAAACUAUUGUUUAUGGUAUUGUAUGAAUCAUCUAAAGUAGGGCAUGAUAGUUUAGAAGAGAAUUCUAUAUUUGUUGCAUUUUUCAGGCUAUUAUCUCUUCAUAUUAUUUUGCAAAGCAAUGCUUUAUAAUUAAUAUUUAAAUCUCUCCAUUCUCUUUGAAUAGGUUUGUAGGCAUGUCUGAUAUAAUAGUACCAAUAGAAAUUGUCAAAGGGUUUGAGUGAGAAUGAGAAUUUCUUUUCUGCCUAGUCCAAGUAUAGCUCAAAGCUUAAUAAAACAUGGGGGAUUAAUAAAAUGUGUGGCUUUGUUGAACACUUGACCUUUUAUUUUUGAAUUCUGUUUACUUACUUUGCAGAUCACCCCGAGGAUCGAAUAAAAUUUAAAUAGUUGAUAAUAGUUAAAGCCCAUUUGCACAAUGUUUUUUCCUUUAUUUAGAAUUUCUUUUGAAAAUGGGUUAUUUUCAAGUUUUUAUGAAAUAUUCUUAACAAUAAUUGAAAAUAUAAAAAAUAUUUUUGAAUUUUUUGGGGAUAGUAUAGUUUAUAAUAUCUUCAUAGAAAAUAAGCUAAGAAAAAUACUUUAUAGACAAGAUUUUAUCUCUAAAAAUAAUUAAAAAACUGUUAUCAAAUUUUCAAAUAAGCCAAACUAGUUGUUGGUUUGUUCUGGAUCAUAUUGACCAGGGGUCAUCUGUUACUAGAAUUUCUAAGAGAAAAAGAACAAGCACAACCAAUCCUAACCCUUUUUCCUGAAUUCUUCCCUUUGUUAUUUCUAUUCUUAGAUUUUGAUUGGUAGUGUUUUUAAAAAGUAAUUUUAUUCUAACAAGUUUUUUUAUUUUAUUUUUAUUUUUUAAAUUAGGUAUUUGAUAAAAUUUUUAAAACAUUUUUAAAAAUUAAAAUUUUAUUUAUAGUGUUUUUCUCCCAAAAGUAGUUUUAUUUCCAUUAAGAAUAGUUUGAAAAGAAACAUAUCCUAAAAUAUUUCUAUAGAUAACAUCUCCACUAAAAUUGCUUAGACCAUGGCCUUAAAAUUCUUUUUGAAAAUAAUUUUUAUAAACUUAUUAAAGAAACCUUCAAUUUGAAUUUGUCAAAACAUGAAUUUAAAAAUUGAUAAUGCUAAAAUUUACUUUACUCUGCAUAGAUAUAAUAUUUGAGAAAAAUAAAAUCAUUACCCCUUUGAAUAGAUUUAAAAAUUGUUCGUUUUCAAAUGAAAAUGAAUUAAAAGGAGACUAGAAACCAUUAAUAGCUUGUUGUUACAACCUUGUCUUAGAUCUUCUUGCAGUAUCCAGUUAGGGAGUUAGCUUUUUAACUGCUCAGUAUGUUUAUAUUGAUUUUAUGAAGGUUGUAAUGUAUGUUAAUUGGUUGGUGUUGAACAAUAGCCAGAGUAGAAAAAGAUAAAAAGAAGCAACCCCAAGGACUAGAUGGAACUUCAGCAUAACACGGUUGAACCAAGUAGGUUUUGGAUCAUCAACCAACAAUUUAAAAGCCCUUCCAGCACCCACAAACACUGGGUUUUUAGUUAGCUUGAAUUUAUCAAGUGUCCUCAAAGGUUUCAUAUUUUUGCAGGAAGAAAUAUUAUUCUUUUCAUCUUUUUUACUGUUGGUGAUUGCAUGAAAAACAAAUUUUAGGUUUCAUUUUCAUUUUUUUACUUUAUUUUUAUUUUUUGCUUUUUCUUUGUCCAAUUGAAUGUACCAAAAAAAUAAAAGAUAAUCUUAUUUAUUUCUUUUCUUAUUUGAUAGGAUAAAAUUAAAGAAACGUUGAGGUUGUUAAAUCACAUAUGAAAAUAAAUAUAUGAAGCAAUGGAGUUGUGAUAGCAACCUUUUUAAAAAAAUUAGAAACAAACAUUUUCAUUUAUCAAUCAAUUAACAAAUGGGGGAUUAUCCAAAUCCAUUGAUGUGGUAUGUAGAUACAUGAAAGUAUUAUAACAACAUUGAUAUAAAAUUAGCAUAACAUGGCCAAAUUAAUUAACAUUUGCUUAUAUGUCUUUUAAACUUGGAUGAAUGCAGGGCAAGUUGAAGAAAUAUAGAUUGAAGAUAAUGGGCAGAUUGCUGUUUUCCACACAUAAUGCACAUCGACAUCGAUUUAUGGUGGAAUGAUGGGGACUGUUAAAUUGGAUGUGACGAGGAUAAUUUCAAAUUGAUUUUGGAUAUAAUCAUAGUUGAAAAGUUGUAUAAUAGAAGUAUAUUAUAUAUUGCUACCUCAGCUAUAGGUGUAGAAGUUGACAGUGUCAUCUAUUAGGCAAAGCUAAUGUUCAAAAAUGAAUGUAAUUGUAUGACAAUUGUAUAGGGACUUUGGUUGAACUGUAUUUUUUUAAAAAGUAAAUUGAUUGUAUAAGGGAGUAUUGUCAUUUUAAUUAUGUAUGAAAUUUAAUUAAUGUUGCUUUUAUAAUUGAUAAGAAGGUAUUGGGUGGUGGGUGUCUAAUUGAAUUAAUUUUCUGCUUGUAGUAAUAUAUUAUGUCUACCAUAUUACAAACAACAUAUUUUAUGCCCAAGUAUGUUGGGUUUAUUUCUAUACUUCUAGUGGGGGCAGUACAUAGGUAAAUGGAUGUACCUUGGGGAUUAAAUAUCUCCAUUAAAAUGAGGUAUUACUUCCAGGUAAUAGGUAAAGAAUUGUAAUGAAAACCCAUAAACUCCUUUAAAUGCUAGUUACAUGGCAAAAAUUAUAUUGUUCAAACUAUAUAAAUGUUAUAACCUCAAUUUUAACACCAUUGCCUGGUUCAAAGCACCGUGUAAAGAACCUUGAUUCCAAACGGAUAACAACCAUAUUGUUCAAUUAUGUGUGAACACAUAAAUUUUAUAUUUCAUUUAUUCUUCAAAAUUAUUUAAAAUCCUUGAAGAGAGUCUGCCUUGUACAGUUAGCACACAUACCUUGUACACUUAGUGUAAAUGAAUUGUACACCUGCACAAUUUACAUACAACUAUAAUGCAAUGUGUGCAUAUGGAUGGGUUAACUAUGAUUCCAUUAUCAUUACUUAGGAAAAGAGGUAAAAAAAAAAAAAAAAUCAAACCCAACCAUGUAUACCUAAUCAUCAUUUAUGAAUACAAGGUGAUGGAAUGAACAUAUAUGAGGUCAAAUAAAUGGAAGGGCUGCAUGGGAUCAAUCAAUAUGUGCGAGAAAUGUUUUUUAUCCUCAAAUGAGGGAAAUGAGCAAGCUAGUUCGUCAAAAUCAUUUAAAAAACUUCGAGACAUAUACCCUUAUAUACCCUUAUACAGUUAGCAUAUUUGUUUUGUACACUUAGUGUAUCAAUAUGUGCGAGAAAUGUUUUUCAUUCUCGAAUGAGGGAAAUGAGCAAGCUAGUUCGCCAAAAUCAUUUAAAAAACUUCAAGACAUAUACUCUUAUACACCCUUGUACAGUUAGCAUAUUUGUUUUGUACACUUAGUGUAAAUGCCUUGUACAGUGAUAGAAAUUUCAUACAGCUAUAACACAUGAAUCCAUACGGGUGGGUGAACGAUGUUCCAAUUCCAUGAGUUAACAAAAUAUCAAAAAAUUGCUGCCAAAUUACAUUCCUCUUCAUCAUUACUGUGGUAAGUAAUAUGAUGAACAUGUAUGAACUCACAAAAAUGAAUGGGUUGAGUGUGUAAGCAAGUAAUGUGUGUGAAGAAUGUCCUUCAUCAUUGGAAAAUGGAAAUGAGCUAGCAAGUUCUUUAUAUGCCUUUGAAAUCCUGCUGGAUAGAUACCUUGGACAACUUGUACAGUUAGCACAUGUACCUUGUACACUUAGUGUAAAUGUCUUGUACACUUGCACAUUUACAUACACCUUUAAUGCGAUGUGUGCAUGUGGGUUGUUUAACUAUGAUUCCAUUGUCAAGCCUCAGGAAAAGAGGUAAAAAAGUUCUAAUCGAACCCAACCAUGUAUCUCUAAUCAUCAUUUAUGAAUACAAUGUGCUAAAAUUAACAUGUAUGAGGUUAAAGAAAUGCAUAAGUUGCACUUAAUCAACCAAUAUAUGUGACGAAUGUCUCUCAUUCGUUGAAAAGGGAUAUGAGCGACUCAUUUCCACAAAAUCAAUUGAAAUCCUUCAAGACAGGUAUCCUAAUACACCCUUAUACAAUUAGCAUAUUUUCCUUGUACGCUUAUUAUAAAUGCCAUGUAUAGUGGCAGAAAUUCGACAUAGCUAGAAUUGAAUGUCCCCAAUCCUUACAAAAGGGAAAUGAGCAAGCCAAUUUUUAAUUAAAAAAAAAAAAUUAAUCCUUCAACAUAGGUACCCUUGUACACCCUUGUAUAGUUACCAUAUUUCUCUUGUACACUUAGUGUAAAUAGCUUGUACAGUGCCAUAAAUUGAACAUAGCAACACCUGAACGUCUGCUCAUACACGGGUUAAUCAUAUUUGUGAUGUUUUGGUUAAUCAAAUGGGUAAAAACUAAAGUCUAAAUUUGUUUCCCAACUACUAGUCAUCAUAUUAUUGAAAAACAACUACUAGUCCACAAGUCUUACACAAUAAUCAUACAAACAGAUCAGUGAAUGAUGCACAUGAAAAACCCUUCUAUUGACUUCCUACAUGCAAAACAUUUAAUAUUCACAAACAAUUUUCCCUAUUAUUAUUGUCCUACUCAAACAUAAAGGAGUUUCAAUCAUAUAAUUAAUGGGGUCCCAAACAUAAAGAAUUUUAACAAAGAUGGAUGUGACAAUUCAUCCCUAAACCUAAUAAAAACACUCUCAAUCCUCCACAAACUUGGGUUUCAAUUCCAUAAACUAUACUAACCCGAAAACUAUUUCAACAGGUGGAAUAAAUUUUCAUGUUCAAAUGAGGUCAUUGGGCAUAUACCCCACUACCAAUACUACAACGACUUUAGAUAUUCAAGGGAAUUAUUGCUUUUCAGAUCCGUUUGACCUGAAGGAAUUGUUGAGGCAUUUCAUGAACUUCACUCAGUCUUCUUCCCUAAACUUCACACUCUCUUUAUAUGAACCAUACUCAAAUCCUCUUUGAAUUUAUUAUAUUGGACAAUAGACCUAGGUCAUAGCCACAUACACAUUUUAAAGAUAUCUAACACGGCAACUUCAAUUGACCACAUUUGAAACCUAAAAUUUACAAACAUCUGGUAUGGAAAUUUGAAGGGUAUAUUUGUUUAUUGAUAUUUUAUAUCAUCUCUCUUAAUUAUGCAACUUAUAUGGACCAAAGGUUAAUUUUUCAUUAGAAAUAAGCAUGCGAGUUCUUAAAAAGCAUUUGAAAACCUUCAAGAUAGGUAGGCUUGUACACCCUUGUACAGUUAGCAUAUUUGUCUUGUACACUUAGUGUAAAUGCCUUGUACAAUCACAGAAAUUCCAUAUAGGUACAACUAAACGAGUGCUUAAGACUAGGUAAACAAUGUUUCCAUUCUCAUGGAUUAGGGGAAAUGAGGAAAAAGUUGACCCUAAUUUCGAUUCAUAUUCAUGAUUAGUGGAGGAGCUAAUAAAAUGAAUGAACAUGGUGGAUGUCAAAUAAAAUGCAUGCAAUGGGUGUGUGGUCAAGCAAUGUGUCUGAGAAAUGUCCCCCAUGAUUGGAAAUAAUAAAUGAGUAAGUUUUUCAAAAUCAUUUCAAAUCCCUUAAGAUAGACAUCCUUAUACACUCUUGUACAGUUAGUAUAUGUGCCUUAUAGACUUUGUGUAAAUGCCUUGUACAGUGGCAAACAUUUGACAUAGCUACAACAAAAUGAAUGCAUAUGGGUGGGCUAACCAUGUUCCAAUGUGAUGCCUAAGGGAAAAGGGGGAAAUGAAACCCAAUAUAGGUUCCUAUUCAUCAUUAAUGUGGGAAGUCAUCUAAUGAACAUGUAUGAAGUAAUAAUAUUGAAUGGGAUGAGUGAGUGAUCAAGAAAUGGGUCUGAUGAAUGUCCCUCAUCCUUACAAAAUUGAAAUGAUUUUAAAUGGAUUUGAAAUCCUUUAAUAUAAGGUACCUUUGUACACCCUUGUACAGUUAGCACAUUUACCUUGUACACUUAGUGUAAAUGUCUUGUACUGAGGAAGAAAUUCCAUACUACUACUAAAUAUCUACUCAUACAUCGGUUAAUCAUGUUUGCAAUGUUUUGGUUCAUAAAAUAAGGAAAAAUUGAAGUAUUAAUUUCUUCCUCAACUACUAGUCAUAAUAUUAUUAAUUUUCUACUCAUAUAUAAAGGAGUUUCAAUCCUACAAUUAAUGGGGUUGUGCUUUGGAUCAUAGUAGAAUAAUUUUCACAAAUAUGAAUGUCACAAUUCAUCCCUAAACCUAAUAAAAACACACUCAAUCCUCCAUAAACCUAGGUUGGAAUUCCAAAAAAUAUACUAACCCCACAUAUCUACUCCAAAAGGCCAUAUACGCUAUUUAGCAUAUUUUCAUCUUCAUAAGCUGUUGCUGGGUCACUGCUAUCAUCACGACCACACUUGUAACCACUUUAGAUCUUCAUCAGAGUUCUUCAUUUUCUUCGUUUCGUGUGGUGGACCAACCUCACAAUCAUGACAACCAUCUUCUAUGCUUUCAAGAUACGUUUGAUCUUAAGGAUAGCUAUUCUGGAGGAAUUACAUCAUCAUCAGAGAAUCUUCUGCCCUAAGCUCAUCAUUGCUCUCCGUCAACCAUACCCGUUUGUUCUCUCUAGACGAUUGAUCCAACAAGCAGAUUCUAAAGUCGGAUUUUUGAGACAGAUAACAUGCCAUUUUUUAGGAGAUCUUCUCCAUUUCUGAGUUGCUUACAAUCCUUGACUGUUGAAGGAAUAGAUUGGGAGACAUCGAAGUCGAAGAAGAGAAAGGGGUAGAAAGUGGUGACUGACCUUUAUUUCAGAUUUUAAAUACUAGUGACAUGGCAUUUUUUAUUUAACAAAUAUGAAACCCAUUAAUUUAAAAGCAUUUGAGUUGGAAAUUUGAAGGGUCUAUUGGUCUUUUCAUAUCUUAUAUCCUUCCCAUCAAUUAUGAAACUUAUAUGGACUAAAGCUUAAUUUUUGAGCCCAAUUGGGCCCAAAACACAAUUCUCCCUAUUUAGUUUUGGUUUAGAAUGUCAAGGUACUACCCAUAUAAAGGACGAUUCAACUUAUUCCCUAAAAAUUAUUCACUAUUUAACUUUAUUUUAAAAAAUUAUUUUCAAAAAAUAACAAUUAAAUAAUAUUAUAAAUUUUUAAAUAUAUAAAAUCAUUUUUAAAUCAGACAAUGACUUUAAUUUUAUUAAAUUAUUUUUACUUAAAAAAAUGUGAAAAACAAUCUCUAAUGAAUUUUGUUUGUAGAACUUUCUAAUCAAACAAGAAAUGAUUUUGUUGAACAAGAAUUUUAAUGGUAACCACAUGAAACAAAGAAAAAUUAUUUUUUAAAUAUUUUAUAAUUUCUCACGUGAUUUCAAUUUUCUUCAACAAAAGAAAAAAGGUUUUUUAUAAUAAAAAAAAUCCAAUUUGAAUUUUCAAAUUUAAUGUUAUGUCAAUGUUUAAAUUUUUUUUUUUAUGUAGCUGCUUUAAAUUGAUUAUUGGAAGUGAAUAAAAAAAUGUAUUUUUCUCUUAUCGUUUAAUCUUUUUAUAACUAUUAAGAAUGGGAUUUGCUAAAUAAUUGUCAAAUACCUAAGAAAUGGAAAAUAAAAUAAAAUAUCUCUUGUCUAAGUAUCAUUUUUUCAUUACAUGAGCCUACUUUUGAAUUAGAGGUUCAUUUAGAUUUAUUAUUUUUAUUUGUCUAAUUUUAAUUAUAUUUGAUUUAAUUUUAUAAUACUUUAUAGCAAAACCAAAUACAAGAAUAUUUUUUUUAUAUAAUUUUACUUUUUCUUUCUUUAGAUAUACUUUCUAGAAUCAGAAAUAACGAUAUGUGUGAAAAAAAAUGAAGAAUUUUGAUUAAAAGUUUCUUUAAUAUAAGAUUCGGUUUAGUCAUGUGAUUUAAAAACAAUUUUUUGUUUUUUAAAAAAAUUAUUUUUAAAAAUUUUUAACAAUGUUUUACCAUUAUUUUCUAAAAAUAAUUUUUAAUGAAUAAGUAUGAGUUAUUUUUAUCCGUUUUUAAAAAACAAAAGAAAAAUAUGGGUUCAUUUAAUUAUAUUUUUUAAAAUUUGUUUUUAAAAAUUAUUUUUAAGUUAAAAAAUAAAAAAUAAAAACAAUUUUUAAAAGAGAAAACAUGUACAAACCAGCAGUAGAAUUUUCACGAGUACGAUUCCAUUAAAAAUUGUAGCGGCUUGGUAAGAUGGAUGGACUUCCUAGUUUUGAAAACUAACCAAUUUAACAAACCUUCAUCCCACGUAUAUGGACAAGAAGUCAGCCCCAAUGGCCAUUGUUUCGUCAUCCACUUGCUAACCUAUUAAACUCGAGAUAGAAAAUUCAGCCCACGCAGGGCCCCGCCUUGAAAAUUUCUUUGAAGCUUCAGAUUAACAAGAUCUCUUGAGGACAAAGAAAAACCAUUCAAACGAUAAGGUUGAGUGAGCCACAGUGAUUGGACUUGAGAAAACUCAUCAAAUUUUUUAAAAUUACACCAAGACUGACCUUGGCCUAUAAAUAUGUCCAAUCUUCUACAACUAUAGUAUAGAUUAGAAAGAAACGAUGGCAAGAAGUUUGAUGGCACUAGGUGGUGGUGGUGGCGGCGGUGGCGGAGAGCAAGUAGGCAUGGUGGCAUCAAGCUCUGGGGCGCUGCUCUUGCUUUGCAUGAUCAUCAUGUCUCUCUCUAUUAUAUCCAUGGUCAUAUUUGCUUGUGGGGAUUCUUCUACUUCACCUCGCAAGAAAAAAAGGAAGGACGCAGGCGAUUGUGGCGAUUGUGAUUGUUAUUCUCUUUGUUGUGGAGAUGGUUGUGUUGGAGGUGGUGGCGGUUGUUGUGUUGGAGAUGGUGGCGGUGGUUGUGGAGGUGGUGAUGGUGGUGGUGGUUGUGGAGGUGGCGGUGGUGGUGGUGGUUGUGGAGGUGGCGGUGGUGGUGGUGGUGGUUGUGGAGGUGGAGGUGGAGGUGGAGGUGGAGGUGGAGGUUGCUGAAGAAAAAACAAAAUAGUUUUUACUCAAAAGUUUCCCAUAUUCAUCUUGAUUCGAUGUUAGAAUCCAUGUGAGCAAGCCUUAGUCGAGGUUGUUGUACUUGAUAUUUUCUUUGUUUUGAAGCUCAUAAAUGAAUGUAAUAGAGAUUUCAUUGUUAUAUAUAUAUAAUUUAUUGAUUUUAAAUUCAUAUUUUAGUUUUUAUCACUUUUUUUUUAUAUAAUUUCCUUCAAAUUCUUAGGAAUAUAUAUAUAUAUAACUUAUUGAUUUUAAAUUCAUAUUUUAGUUUUUAUCACUUUUUUUUUUAUAUAAUUUCCUUCAAAUUCUUAGGAAUCCAAGGAUCUAAUUUUUUUUUUAAGAAACUUGAUUUUAAAAUGUUUAAUAGAACACGUGUCAUUCAAUGUUAUUUUUAAUUUUUUUCUUUAAUAUAAAAUUUUCACAAAUAUUUUUGACAACCACAUGGUCCAUACCAUUAACAAAUCUUCAUCCCAAAUUAAUUCUUACGUUCAGAAAGUAUACAAACAAGUAGAUCAAGACCUGAGAUUUUUUGUUCCUUAUCAUGAAAAGUCUACUCCUUUAUGUAUAUAUAUUAUUGAUCAUGAAAAGUCAGCAUCAACCGCCAUUGUUGCUUCGUCAACUUGCCAACCUCUCAACUUGAGCUUGAAAAAUAAGCUCACGCAGGGCUUUGAAAAUUUCUUUGAAGCUUCAUACUAGCAAGAUUUCUUAAGGUUAUGUUUGUUCCACCAAAAUUUUAAGGAAAGAAAAAAAAUACGAAGGAAAAUGAUUUUUUCAUGUUUGAUUGUCCUAUAAAAAAUAUAAAAGAAAAUCAAAUAUAAUUAAAACUAAUUAAAAACUUAUGUAUUUUUAAAUUAUUUGAUUUUUAUAUUGCUGAAUUAAAAUAAAUAAAAUGAAUUUGAAGUAACAAAAAAAAUAAUUUAUUGAUUUUUAAUCUAUUUUUUAUUUUCCUUCACUUUUUCUUUGUAUUUUCUUUCUCUUACAUUUUCCCUCAAAUUUUCUAAGAAUCAAACAUAAUAUAAGAGAACAAAGAAAACCUAUUCAAACUAUAAGCUUGAGUGAGCCCACACGGCUUCGAGUUGAGAAAAAUGAUCAAAAUUUUGAAAAUUAUACUAAGCUUGGACCUAACCUAUAAAUAUGUUCCAUUUUCUACAUAUGUAGUAUAGAUUAGGAAGAAAUGCGAAGAAUUGUGCUUUCAACCAGUUGACAUAAUAAGAGGCCCAAGUCCUCCUAUCACCCGUAUUUGAUUACAAGAUUAUAAGGAUAUGAAAUAGUAAUGGACAAAAAUACUCAUUUUACUUAUCACAUUAAAUAUCCCAAAUAAUAGUAAUGGACCUUCCACAUGCUUCAUUCAUUUUUCAAUUUAGUUGUUGACCCUUGCGAGUCACAUGCUGAGGCAUACCCUCCUUCCCCGAGAGCACCAAACCUUCCACAGGUUUCAUUCACUUUUAAUCUAGUUGUUGACCCCCACGAGUUGCACACUAUGGCAUGCCCUUCUUCCCUAGGAUCAUCGGACCUUUCAGAGGCUUCGUUAUCUUUCGACCUAGUUGUCGAUCCUCAUGAGUUGUCAUACUGGGGCAUAUCCCCUCCAACCGAGUUUGCUUGCAUCAUCAUCUUAGUUAUCCUUUGGCUUUGGGUCACUUGAUCAGGUCUUUCAUUCUGUCAGUAUCAGUUUGAGUUUCAAGACCGCACUUAUAUCGAUCGAUCAUCAUCUUAUUAGUUUUAGUUUGAGUUUUGGGGCUGCACCCAUAUUGAUCAGUCAUAUUCCUGUCAGUUUGUGUUUAGUUUGAGUCGGGACCGCACCUAUAUCUAUCGGUCACCAUCUUGUCAGUUUGAGUUUGGAUUUUGGGGCCGCACCCAUAGCGAUCGUCCAUAUUCCUAUUAGUUUGUGUUCAGUUUGAGUUGGGACCGCACCUAUAUCGAUCGUUCAUCAUCUUGUCAGUUUAAGUUUGCGUUUUGGGACACACCCAUAUCGAUUGGUCAUAUUCCUAUCAGUUUGUGUUUAGUUUGAGUUGAGACCGCACCUAUUUCAAUCGGUCAUCAUUUUGUCAGUUUGAGUUUGUGUUUUGGGGCUGCACUCAUAUCGAUCAGCCAUAUUCCUAUCAGUUUGUGUUCAGUUUGAGUUGGGACUUCACCUAUAUCGAUCGGUCAUCAUCUUGUCAGUUUGAGUUUGAGUUUCGGGACCUCACUUAUAUCGAUAGGUUAUUUUCUUGUCUAUUUGAGUUCAGUUUGAGUUUCAAGACCGCACCUAUAUCGAUCGGUCAUUCAUCUUGUCAGUUUGAGUUUUGAGUUUGAAUUUCGGGAUCGCACCUACAUCGACCAGUCAUAUUCCUAUCAGUUUUGUGUUCAGCUUGAGUUGGGACCGCACCUAUAUCGAUCGGUCGUUGCUUUGUCUGAUUGAGUUGAGUCUUGUUCAUCUUCGAGUCAUGCCUACGUAGUUAAGUCUUGUUCGAUCUUGAGUCACAUCCCCUUAUUCGGAUUCAUUCUUUUUAGAGAUCGAUAAUUCCUUAUCUUGCUUAUCAUUAAGCCAUUCAUCGUGCCAUAGUCUGGUGUUACACCCAUCACUUUGGUUGUAUCUUUGGCUAGAGUCUCACCUCCCUAGUAUGUGCCCUUAAUCUUGAGUUUUUCGUGUUAUUGUGUUUAGACCAAAAUUUGGGAUCUUUUCUAUUCUUCGGUAUAGUUUACUUCACUCCAUUCAUUUUCCAGGUAUCCAUGAUUCAUUCAUUACACUCGUGAUCUCACUGAAGAGGGGCAUAUUUGUAGACCCUCGUUUUGGCCUAUGAGUUUUUAAGAUAUUUUGAGAGCAUAGUUUCACCACUUUGGGGAGCUUUUGGUAGCUGGUAUGAGAGAGUGGCAUGGGAGGAGUGAUAUUUUAGGUAGGCAACCAGAGGGUGAAACGAGGCAUGAGAAUAUUCUGGCCAUUAGAGGAUAUAUUUUUUGUAGCUUGGGGAGCAAGUUGGAGUGGAGCAGGUAGAAAGGGGAAGGAAGGUGAAAAGGAAAAAAAUGGGAGGAUAGCUGGUGAGGGACCAUAGGGAGCUCAGUUAGAAAACCAUGGAAGACAGCCUGUAGAGAGUGAACUUUAGGGCGAAACUUAGAGAGGGUUUUGAUUACUGGUCACAGAUAGAGGGGAGAAGGAGUUGUUGUCUAAAACAGGAAAAAGAUAGCUGAGGAGAAAUAUAGGAAGGUCGUGUUGUGGACCUCCAGUUAAGGCCACCUUGAGCUAUGUGUAUUUCCAUUUCUUAAUGUCAUGCUUCAUUCUCUGCUAAUCUAUGAAUAUCGUUUCGUGGUUUACUAUGGACAUCAAGGGUCACAGGGUUGUUUUGGUUGAACAUGAUUAUAUGCAUAUACUUGCUCUGUUUUAUUCUCUCUCAUAUUCUUGAUCUUUUCCCCUGUAUAUGUGUAGACCCUCAAUUUUGUCCCUUUAGCAUAUGUCUUUAAAUUCAUUUUUUAUGCUCCAUAGUAACUCCUUGGUGGCCCAUUAUUACUCAUAUAGCUUACCUUUUUUCUAAGCCACCUCGGAGAUUCUGGUUGAGGGAUUAUCUGACCCCUUAUUGUGAUCAUUGGCAACCCUAAUUUAGACUCAAGCUUUUCAUUCACUUUUAGGAUAGUUUUAGAUACACUUGGCCCAACCUUAGGCUUAUUUAGGUUCACCUAAGCCCUUUUAGACGCACUUGGCCCAUUAAGACCUUUUUUAGUAUGACUUGUAUGACUUGCAUGACCCGCAUAGGAUUAACUGUUUUAUUUCAUUUCAUUUUAUUAUGUUUUACCUUAUUUAUUUUUAUUUUAUUUUAAUCUUUAAUAGGUUGUAAGAUUGCUAACUUUUUUUUAUUUUUAUUCUGUCUAUUUUCGUUUUUUUAUUGUUUGGUAAGAGAAUGGGGGCUACUAUUCAACUCUUACUAAGGUAUGUGCACUCAAAAAGGUAAGAAAACUAUUUUGUGAGGGAAAAAGGAAUUAAUGUGGCGGCAUACAUAUGGAAAUAAAAUAUCCUCAUUCUGAUUUUCGAAAAAGGAAAGGAAAUAGAAGAAAGGAAAGUGGAUUUUCUUUAGCAUAUUUGGUUUGAGAGGCUGAUACAAAUAUAAGUGGAAAAGGAAAAGAAAGAGGGGCACGCAAAAGAGGAUUCUGAGGAUUUUUGGGGGGUUUUUCAAGGAGAAAACGAGAAAAGGGGAACGCAGGGAGAGAUAGAGAAAGCAGGGAAGAAUAAAGAAAAAGAGAAAGAAAAAGAAGACUUAUUCUGAUUCUAGAUAAUUUUCUUCAGAAAAAAAGGUAUGAUCACUGUCAUUUUUUAGAUUCUCAAUCUGCUUUAUCACUUUGCUUUAUUUUCUGUUGAUUUUCUGGACUUUAACUUGUUGAUUGGCAUGGACUUUAAUGUUCAAAUUGUGAUUUUCCUGAGUUUGAUUUUGUUUUCAUAUCUAUUAUGUUUCGGUUCUUUUACGCUCUCUUUGACUUCUCCCGAAGGAAAAAGAUGUAUGGUUUGAUUUUGAGCUUGAUAUUUGAUCCAUCAUAUCAUUGCUCUCUACUUGUCCCACCCAACCCUUAACCUUUGAAAACUAUCUGGUAGUUUUGGGAUAAUGGUGAUAAAAAAAAUGUUUGUCAUUAACUUCAAGUGGUUUCUGGGUUUGAUGGACUUGGAAAUCAAAAGUUUAAGUUACUGGUCUGGUCUUUGUUGCUGCCGAAACGGUUGGGUGAUUUGGCUUUAGUGAGGCUCCUCAAGAUUUCUCUUUGAGUGCUCUGAUGCUGUUCAACAAUGUUGAUCGCUUAAAGAACCAGAAAGGGCUUCAGGUUUUCACUUUCAAGCAGCUACAUUCUGUGACUGGUGGUUUUGGCGAAUCUAAUGUGGUCGGUCAUGGUAGGAUUGGGUGGUUUGGUUGCUUGCCAUUGGGUGUCUUCAUCAAUUUGUGAGCCAAAUUUGGUGUGUCAGACGGCAAUGGUCAGUGCAUGUGCCAAGGUGGGAGAUUUUGCUUUUAAGCUGUUUGAUAAAAUGCCCCACAAGGACCCUAUUGCAUAGAAUACAAGGUGGGAUGAUUUAUUUGAGUCUUCAGGGAAUUCUAUCACUGAGUGUGCAAAGCCGUCCUCAACGCAUGCUGGCUCUCCUGUGUGCAGUGGUUCUGGGAACAUGAAUGAUUAGACAUCGUAUGUUUCAAGACGGGAAAUUUGCUGCAAGGAGAGGAGUGAGACUUCUCGAGAUGCUCUGUCACACAACAAAGUUCGUAAUCUAAUAUGAAGUACCUGAUUGUGGCACUACGUUUAGUUUUGCUGCAGGAAACUCUUUUGGUGCAACACCUGCAAGCUGAAGUUUAAGGUGUUCUUCUUCCAUUUGCUUCAUCAGAUGAAAAUUCUGAUAUAGAAAUACACGGAUAUAGUUCUGCAAGUAUUGAUGAGAAUGAUGUGGUUGAGGUCAUGUUGCCUAGAACUUCAGACAAUAAACACAUUGUUGGAUCUUUCAAAAGAAAAUUCGACUCGCUCCCAACUCCAAUUCAUAUCCUCUUGAAAGAAUGAAGUCCUCUAUGGGCAAGACAUGUCGAGUUGCUCAGAAAGUGCUUCUGUCAUUUAUAUUUUAUUGCGUCAACUCGGGAACGAACAGGUGAACUUCGCUUGAGGUGAGAUGCAGAGAACCAAGGUCCUCGAUUAUUCAAAGCCAAAAUGAAAUCACAUCAAAUGCCUAAACAGAAUGUUUUCUGGAAGUGGAUUACCCUAAAGAUGCUGAGCAUAGUCAUGUAGACUUCAGUAUAUCAUUGAUCAAUCGAAGGUGAUUCAGGGCCUGUAAAAAUGUUUGAGAGAACUAUUAAUUUGGUAAACGAUCGGAUAAUUAACUAUCGAUUUGAUCCGUCUGAAAAGUGGUUGGUUUCGAUUGGAAUUGCUCCGGGUUCACUUGAGAAACCACAGUUUAUCAAAGGGAAUAUGCAGCUUUUCUCUGUUGAACAGCAUCGUAGUCAAGCUCUUGAAACUCAGGCUACAUCAUUCGCCACAUGUAAAGUUCUAUAGAAUGAUCAAUCCUGUGCACUUAUUGGUUUUGCCACAAUAUCCUUUAAUGCUAGACAGAAUGGCUUUCCAGCUACAAUGCAGAUAUCAUUGAGUCUCUUACUGCUGCUGGCGGGAAGUUCAUCUUUGUGCAAAAGCUUCGUGACUUUGUUUCUGUUACAUGUGACGUGUUGCAGCAUAAGGCUUUUCUUUUUAUUGAGGGACUUGAAGAGCAAAUACAGAAUCUUCAUGAGGAGAGUGUAUCAGCUGUCUUAGAAAGAAGAACUACUGAUAAUGAUGAGAUGAUUGAAACACAAGCGUCCAUUGACGAUGCAAUGUCGGUUUUCACUAAAAAUGGUUCUAAAAAGGCAACAGUUGCUGCUGCUGUUCUUCUGAGAGAACCGAACUGAGUAGCACACCAGCAUAUUGUUACGGCCCAUGAGCAUCAAAAGAACCAUAGCAGGGGAGCCAAAUAACCGGGUGGAGACUACCAGAAAUCAUGCUUAAGAUGACGUUGCUCAAUCCUAUGCCAGCGGAGCUGUUUCUAAUGUCCCAAAACCAUUGUGUUAGAUGACACUAGUCCAGCCACUCUAAAGAUCAAAAAAAGCCUAUCGAGGGAGUUGCCUCAUCAGGAAAUGGGUAAAGGAGAUUUAAUUUCUAUUGAUGUUCUUAGUAUCAGGAACUCUUCAUCCUUGAGCGCCAAAAGUUGUAAGUCUAAAAUUUGGAAAGCCAGCUAUUUCUUCUGAACUGCAUGUGUCUCUUAGUACCAUAGGUCAGCUGACCUCAAACGUGAAAUCUAGAAAAGUUGACACUGCUUGCACAGUGGUAGCUAGCUUCUCCUUCAUGCUGAACAAAUUUACAAGGAUUCACGAUCAGUUGAAGCAUCCACAAUUUUUGGUGCUGAAGAUGCUGCCCAUUUUUGCGAGUGAUGAAGCGCUACCUGGAGUCAUUCUGUUUAGAUUUGAGAUUUCAUACAAUUACUAGUGUACAAUCAAACAAGGACAGGGUUUCAUUACUUCUCAAGGAUAGCUUUAUUGAUUCCUUUCCCAAUAGAGACAAACCAUUUAUCAAGCUAUUUGUAGAUACAUAACUAUUCAUUGUUCUAUCAGAUUAUCAUCUGUUAUGCUUUGAGAACGAGCAUGCCUAAACUGUACCAAAUACAUCAGUUCACAACUUAAAGAUGGAAGCCCAGAAACUCAAUGGAGAAAGCAGCAGUGAAAAACAGAGUGCAGAUUGGGCCACUGAUGGAGGACGACUUCGACAUGAAUGGCGAUAGAUCUGUCCAGCUUCUUUGCCGCUGCACAUGCUGCUAAUAAUGCUCAAGCCGUCAUUAUGGCUCUUUGGGAGGAGUAUGAGAACAUUCUUGAUGAUGACAAUCUACACAGAUGCUUUAUUUCAACAGAUUCACGGAUUGAAAAACAGCGGGAAUGAAGAUUCAGCAGAUGAUGAAAAUAUAGAUAUGCAUGAGCAGAAGUGACCUAUUGAGAUUGCUUGUUUUGAUAUCAAGAACCGACUUCCAUCAGAAACAAUGCAUGCUAUCCUACAGUUGUAUUCUAUUCUUACCAGAACUCAUUCCAUCCUUUUUUUUAUUUUUCUCAAUGAAUGAGGAUUGCUCAUGCUUCCACCUUUGCCAACAAGUACUCCUCUUUCUGGGUUUGACAAUGUUGCUGCUAAUAUAAUCCGGUAUAUCCCUGAAGUUCCACGGUACAAAGAUCACCAAAGAAGCUGAUAUGGGUGUGAAGAUAAAAGCCUACAGGUUUAUACAAAGCUGAAAACACUUAUUCAAUGACCUGUGGCAGUGGAUAUUUUCUUCAGAACAUGAUACAUUGGAUUUUAUAUUAAAUGAAGGCAAAAUAAAAGAAUCAACUCCGUGGUUGUUUGAAAAGGUGAAGAAGUAGAUAAUUACAGGAGCCUGAACUAUUCUGGAAGUGUUACUCAGAAUAAGAAGCCGUCCCAUUUCCAGCUAUAUUCAUCAGUAGAAAAUAAUGAAGCAUCCGAUUAUUUGUAGAAACGUGCCACUGUUUAUGGGCAUUCUGAAUACGGUGUGCGGUUGAGUUGAUAAUUCGUCAUCUGAUAGCACUAUCCCUAAAAGUCCUAUAAACCAAACAGCAUCUAAGGUAAUGUUGACCCGAAUGAUUAGGCUCAUAUUCAGAAAAAAACAGAAUUUGAUCCAGACUUUAUUUCCUCUGGUUUUGCUACAAAUAAAGAAGCUGAAUUUCCGAAUUGCACAAGGACCUCUUAGUUCUGAUUUUUCGAUAGGUGCCAAUCUUACCACAACGGAAGAUGUCUAGAAUAGUUUUAAUGCAACACAACCUAGUCUUUGUGGAGGGCUAAGCAAUGUCGGGGGCUAUAUAAUACUGAUCAUCUUCCCAAGCGUUAUUUUCUAUGGCUGAGUUGUUUUCUGAAGCUGAAACAUAAAGACCUUCUCAAUAAGGCCGCCUCUGUGAAUCUUGCCCAGCAUGCUCAAGAGUAAUUUUGGUGAAUUAUUGUAUUAUGCUAGCAACCAGAAUAUAGAUUUCCAAUGCGCCCGAAAAGAGAAGAAUACGGUUCAAAGAAGCAUAAAAAUGAUUUCUGAGUAAUAUUCAUUCUUUGAGGGGAAGUUAUAUCCAAAGAAGAUAAAAACAUUGAAAAUGAAGUAGAAUUUCAGAUUGCAGAAUGAUUUUCAAACUCUGGGAAUCCAAAAAAAACAGAGGAACCCCAUCAAGCAUUCACUUGACAAGCAAGGAAAGCCCCUGACUAGAGUAUUUGUAGAAACUUAACUGAGCUGCUCAGACACGGACCCAAGACUUAAAUCUUAUGACUCAUGGUAUAAAAUCUGGUUUCGAGCAGAUAGUAGUGAUGGCUCAUGAUUGGGACGUGUUGCAUGAGAAUACGUUUGAUGACCUGCCCGAAGAUAUUGACUUAAGCGAACCAACGCUUUCUUCAUAUUUCAUUUCUCGGUGUGGUGAUGGAAAAUACUUUGUGACACUGGGGCACUGCACACUCCUUCCUCACACAAGAAGCUUAAGGUUUGAGAAAGAGAUGCAGGGGUGCUGCAUGCUGCUUUAGAAUCAAAGGCUCCCAUGAGAACAGUUGUGGAUUGGAUGCCUAGUGGAGCUAAAAUCGCUUUGGUUUAUGACAAGAAAGCUGAAAAUGGAUAUUUGUCUGUUGUAGAGCUUCCUCCUCUUGAUAUUUGGGAAGAACUAGAAGAGAAAGAAUUAAGUUUUGAUGCCUCAUCUUCUGAAAUAAUAUAUGGGUCAUUUGUAGAUCUCAUGUGGAUGGAUGCACACAUACUUCUUGGUGUUUCUCCUUUCGGGCUCAGUCACAGCAGUCACUUUUCACAAUCUCCGUCCAACAAGGAUAUGCUUCACGGGUAUUAUUUGCAGGAUAUUGAGCUUUGGUAUUCUGAGGAUCAUGUCCCAAGUUUGAGAUUCUGCUCACGUUGGCAUGCAGAGAUCGCCAAUCAAAUACCUCUAGAUGGAAUCUCAUUUGGGCCUUGCUCCUAAUCCCACAAAAGGGUGUUCAACAUUUAUUCAGUUUGAUGGUGGCAGAGUCUUUGAAAUAUAUACCAAAUUUAGGCAUCAUGGGAGAAAAGCCUGGAAUUCUCAAGAAAAUGCUUACGGGCUCUGUUAUUUAAAAUUCGAUCCUUUGUGUGAAAUGGCCAAGAUACAAGGCUUGUUAUCAGAUUGAUUUGAUCAUGAAAGAUGCAGUGCUGCACUCACUAGCUUGAUUGAUUGGCACCAAUGCUGGCGAGUUUCGGAGCAUUCCUAUCAGCUUUAAAGAGCCUAUGAAACGGUAUAUUGUAGAUGGAGACUUGGAGUCAGUUCUUCAUGCAUGAAACAAUGAUGGCAAUAUUAUGCAGCAGUGGCUCAGGACCCAGAACUUGUUCCAAUGCUGUGUUUAAUGGGUGCAGAAUUUAACUUACAGGCCACAUGAAUCGAACUCUAUUAUGGCAGAUUGAGGAAAAAGUUGAAAGGCUUAAUCAAUUGAAAACUAGCAGAAUACAGAAAACCUCUCAAUGCAGAAAACUGGAAAUUUUGAACCUUCUAUUCAGUAUUUGGCUUAUGUUGAGGAGAAUCCAGUUGAGUUUACAAAUCAAGAUGUCUCUUAAGUUGAAGCAUUUGACAGUUGAACACUUUUGUAGUGAAUUGGUCCCUUCUAUCCAGAAUCUCUCGGCUUCACUUCAUGGCAACCUUGCUAUACACACCUUCUCCUCUAUUCACUUCUUUGAUUGGGAACUUACUGUUUUAAAUAGAAUUUUCGAACCAUUGUUCAACUAAACAUUCUCGGCUUUGAAAAAUUCAUCUUAGGUCUUCUCUAGGUAUAAAAUCCAUAUUCUAACACACUCUUGCUGCCAUUCUCCUUCCGGCAUGCAUUUUCACUAUUUUAUUCAAUUUUCAACUGAUUUUCUUGAUUUUUCUCAAUUUUCUCAAGCAUGAACAAACUCCAUAAUUCCAAGUCAUGGAAUUUAUGGAAUCAACUCAUGCGAAAUUAAUUAGGGCUUUGGUGGGGGCCCGACAUUCAUGAUACCUUCUUCAAUAUUGUUUGCUUGAUAUGUUGAUUUUUGAUUCUUCUUGAUGAAAUAUUUGAAUUCACUUAAUAUUUAUUGUUGAGAUACCCUUGUUCCCAUAAGACGUGUGGAUGUUCGCUAAUCAGGUAUGCUCUUCUCACCUUACAACUCUAAAAUUCUAUGAAUGUGUACGUUAUCAUGAGCUAUGAUCCUGUUUGAUGGCAUGAUUGAUUGCCUUGAUGCUUGUUUGAUCAUCUUUGACAAAACACAUAUUAUGUGUCAUAUUUCCAAACUAAUCUCUGAUGUUUUGUGAUAGCGCUUGAGAGGCAGUCCAGGUACGCAUCCUAACCUUCUUUUAUUAUGAUUUGGUCUUGUUUGGCAUGCUAUUUUAUUUGGAAUCACCUAGCCUGCUUAGGUACUUAUAAUUAAUCAAUUAAUUGUCACAUUUCCCUCAACUUAAUUAGUAGAGACCUUUUUAGGGCUUAGAGGGGUGUUACCUUUUAAAGGUACCUUCCCAAUAGGUAACCUGAUCCCCGGACUUAGACUCGGGUUUUUCAAAGACAUGCUUUUUCCAAAAAUUAUGGAGUCACAUUUUAGGGUUUUUCUUUCUUGUUUUAUUUUCCCUUUAAAAUAAAAAUAAAAUAAGUGGUGGCUCCAACUUUUUUCCAAAAAUUAAUUUUUCACAAAUAGAAAGCGAGUCUCGCCAAUCGAGUGGGGGCGCACAUGAAAAAUGCGGGUCCACAAUAUGGUUGGAUUCUUCUUUGGGUUUGAUGUUUGAUAGUUAUAUUGAGAACUUCCAGUUUAUCCCACCUGUUUUGAGCCCAUGGGUCGAUCUUGAAAAUGUGGCUCCAUUGGGUUUCUAUUUUUCAUGGUUGUUAUCUUUCUUCAUUCUCUAUUCUUCUUUCACUAUUUGUUUUGAUCAAAGAGACACUCCAGUUUCCUGGUAACUGCUUCACCAAUGCUUUGUAUGAAUUGAGAUUUUCGAGAUGACAAAAAUGGGUGAGCUUUAUGCUAGAGGAAGUUCACAGGAAAUGUCAAAUGAAAAGAACAUAAAAUAGGAUGAUUGAUGCUUUGAUUAUGAAAGUGCUUCCAGAGGAGAGAAGUUGAAUGAAAUUUGAAAAGUAAAAGGAGAAAUCCAAUUUGAAUAAAGAGAAUGACUUUUUUUUAGUGGUUGUGAUAUAGAAAAGGGGUCACUAAGUGCUCAAACAGAUGCAUAUUCGAGCACGAUUGGCUAUUUCAUUGGUGACAUAUGCAAGUCUUGGUUUGAAGGAUCCCCUAAAACACCAGAAAUCAUACUUCGUGUUAUCCCACUGUAUUCCAAUAAUAUUAAUUCCAUCUCUCCAUGCACGUCAGAAUUGUCGCCUUCAUUCUCUCUUUCUCACAAAUGCUACCCUAUCACCCAUAUCUAUUGUACUUUAUUUCUUGUGCAUAAUAAACCAUCUCCAAUGAUAAAAUAUGACAUUCCGUUACCCCCUGCCCCUUGGAAUGUUUGAGAUUUUUCCCAUCCUAUUCCCACUUGCGCAUAGAGAUACAUGACCAUUUUGUGUGUGUUAUUUUCAAAGCCUUGGUUGCUGAAGGAGUUCAUGAAAAUCUGGUUGAUUCAAUAAUAGGGUUUGUUGAAACGGAAGAAGCACUAAUGUCUUCAGUUAACAAGAUCACAUUUGUUGAAUCACCAAAUGUGCUUCAAAAGCCAUUAGGUACUACCUUAAUAGCCCUUAGGUACUACAUUAAGGGGCCUUAGGUACUACCUUAGCUAAAGUUGGGGUCUACCUUUCCCAAGCCUCGGGUCUUCCUUUGUAAGCCUUAAACUAUGCCAUUAUGUGGUUCUCUUGUGUGCUCAAGUGGUUCACCUUUGGUUUUUUGGGACUGUACCUUAGGUACUACCUUAAUAGCCCUUAGGUAUUACCUUAAGGGACAUUAGGUACUACCUUAGCUAAAGUUUGGGUCUACCUUUCCCAAGCCUCGGGCCUUCCUUUGUGACCCCUAAAUACAUCAAUGUCGGCACCGAAAGCAAACUGAAUUAGGAACUCAUGAGCCACAUCCUUCCAGUUGCAAAGUCUCGAAGGCUCAAUUGAGGCAAACCAUCUCUAAGCAGCCCCACUAAGUGACAAGGGGAAAAGGGCCACCAACUAUGCAUCAUCUAUCCCAUGUGCUCUCAUGACUAUGCUGUAUAAUCUUAAGUGGAUCUUGGGACAACCAAUCCCACUAUAACUCUCAAUGUCUGGCAUGCGAAACUUGGUGGGCAAGCUAGCCGCUGGUAUGUCAUCCCUAUCAUUAUAAGUCAAACCUUCAUCAUGUGAUUUGAUUUGCCUCAUCCUGGACUCAAGCCUCUCAACCCUGGCUUCAAGCCUCUCAACCCUGGCUUCCUGCUCGACUAAUCUAUUAUCAUCAUUAAUAGUAACAAUAGGAGGCAACAUUAUGACAUCAUAUGGUGGAGUAGUCUCACAAUGAUCUGAUAGAUGGAAUGGAACGCCAUGUGAAGUCCCAAGUGGAAGAACCUGCGCUGUCUGAGAUGCAUGGGGAACUGUCUCGUAAGUGCUAAUGCCGACUGGAUGAUGAUCCUGGCAAUAGCUCUCUAUCUGAUCCAAGCGUCUACUGACUCCUACCAUGAACUCCUGAAUAGAAGCAAGUGUGGAAGCUAGCUCGUCUGACAUCUCAACUGAAUUAUCUGAACUUUUAUGUGAAUCUACUAUGAUCAAUCGACCUCCAACUUUCCUCCAAGAAUAUGACUCCAGACUCAACCAACUCCUAAAAUGACUCCCUAGAUGGCUAUAAAUGCGACUAGAGAAUUUGCGUCAAUAAUCCAAGAUGAAAGAGGUGUGAGAAGCAUACUAUCAUGAGAUCGAUACUCCAUCUAUAACCACAUAUCCUUAACUCAACCUUCAACUCGAGCUCCAUAAAGAGAACAAAUGAUAAGGUGAUCAAGGCAAAUCUCUUGAAAAAAGUGUAAAUGCGGAAAACUUGCCUUUCACCUUUCUAUAAUGAAAAUAUGAGCAUCAAGUCGAAAAUCGAAUCAAGAAUCAAACAAAGAAUAAGGUACUGGGCUCGUGAUAGGUAUACAAUGUAAAAAAAUGAUCAUGAUCAAAGAACAUAUCCCAAAGCAUCAAGCAAAUGACAACCAACUAAAAAGGUGUGCCAAGCCAAAAAAAAAAGACGAAAACGCUAGGGAGAAAACAUGUCAAACUUAAUAAGUGAAAAGAAUAAUCUAAUGCAACACAAUGAAGGAUAGUCCAAACUGAUACACAAACUCGCACCAAUCUCUAAGCAAGCUCAAUUGGAAACCAAAAGAUGGAGUAUUGGAUUUGAACUGUAACUAAAGAGGCUUUGAAGGCCCUCAGAUGCACCCACAUAUAAAAAAUAAGUCCUAGUCGAAAGAUCUAAGGUUCAACCCAUAAGGUCAAGAAGGCUCUAAAAAGAAAAAUGGACUUUAAAAAAUCCUUAGCAGAAGCAAUCGUACCCUUCGAUGGUACGCAACCCUUUGCACACCUCUGAAGAGACGGGGCACUUCCAUGCAAGGUGGUCAUCACCUCCACAUAUGCACUACCUCAACAUCCCAGGGAGACUCUUAUGGUGAGGGCUCUCCUAAUGGCUAGCGUAUCUCACAACUCUGACCACUCAUCGACGAUCUAAAGUGCACAGUGAGUGGUGUGGGUGCAUCCAAAAAUCCUAUGGAACUAAAGGAAAACACACUGACCACACAAAUAUCCUGAAAUCUAGCUUUGGGUUAUACAAGUCUUCAAAGGUCGGACUACAAUCAACAUCAAUGUGUCGGCCACCUCUAGAAUGCUCCCAAACAUAGAUAUAGCCCAUUGCUAGACUCUAUUCCUAAUCACUACCUCAGUCGAAGAGCAAACAAAGCAACAAGUCUCAUAUCAAAUACGAGAUCAAGGAAAACAAAGUCAACCAAGACUGAAGACUUGGAGAUGAAGAGAUAUAUGUGUGUCCCACAUAGACAAACAACUCAUGCAAUCACACAAAAUGAGAGAAGUCAUGCAACAUACAGUCAUGCAAAUAACAGGUAUAUCACUCAUAUCUACACACAAGUUAGGCAAGAGUAUGAUAAUUGAGAUGAAUAUCUAGCAAGGAUAGCAUGCUCCAUGAUAAUCAAGAUAAUAUACAACCAAGAGAAUCAAUCAUGCCAAGAUGAAUGAGAUAAGCAACAAAAAGAAUGUACAUGUCAAGGUGAAUAGAGUAAUCAAACAGCUAAGAGAGUCAAUAUGUGAGGAUAGUUGAAAGGAUCAAUCAAUAAAAUCAACAUGCAAAUGCCUCAAACAAAUACAAUAACCAAGCAUGCAUCAAGGAUAAUGAUACCAAGAGCUCUUAAUGUGCAAUCAACAAUCAAGCAAACACACGCGCAAAGAAAGGUGGGUACCCACUGAUCGACCAAUCAAACGCCACAUUUGUCUCAACCUAAGUUCGAGCUUGACCCUUAAAAAUCCCCAGUAGAGUCGGUAUUUUGUGGACCCCGCAUUUUCGCUCGAUGUGUUCCCACUUGAUGGCACAACUCGCUUUUUAUUUAUUCGGUGAAAAUAUAAUUUUUAGAAAAAAACUUGGAGUCGCCAUUUAUUUUUGUUUUAUUUUUUUUUAAGGGAAAACAAAAUAAGAAAGAAAACCCUAAGUGUGACUCCUUAUUUGGAAAAGAGAGUCUAUGAAAAACCAAAGUCAAGUUCGAGGGUUAAGUUACUUAUCAAGAAGGUACGGUGAAAAAUUGAAGCACCCUUCUAAGUCCCUAAAAACGGGUCUCUACUAAAUAAGGUGAGGCAAGUAUGACAAUUAACUAGGAAAUCAAUGGAUACCAAAAUGAUCAUAGGUCAAAAGCAAGUCAUAAUAAUGAAUAAAUAAACAAAGUGAGAGUGACAGCGUACCUUGACAGCAGGUAAUAAAGCAAUAUCAUGAAACAUAGUUAGUGCAUGAUAAUGAAUACAAAAUAUAUCACAUGCAUAUCAAAGAGCAAGACAAAAAUCAAGCAAUAUUUGUUAAGCAUAGCAGUUGACAAUCAGAAGAGAAAGCUCAUUUGUAGGGCUCCCACCAAAGCUCAAUUGAUUUUGCAUGAAUUAAUCUCAUAAGUUCUAUUGUUUUUGGAGUUACGAAAAUUCAUUCAUGAUUAUUAAAAAUCAAGGAAAAAGAAAAAAUAUUUUAAAAUCAAAGAAAAUUUGAGAAAUGUGCUUACUUGAAAGCAGGUUUAUUUAAAAACGAAAUUUUUAGCAACUUAAAACCCUAAUGAAUGAUGAAAAAUGGUAGAAUUAAGAAAAUAUUUGAAAAUUGGAGUAGAAUUAAAAUUAUUCGAAAGAAAAACUAGAGUUUUGAAAUUUAUUUGAAAAUUGAAGUCUCGAAAAUUAUUUGAAAAUUGAAGUUAUGAAAAUUAAAUUUAAGAAUUGGAAUUUUGGGAAUCAAAUUUGAAAGAAAUUGGAAUUUUGAAAAUUAUUUGAGAAUUGGAGUUUUGAAAAUUGAAUUUAAAAAUAAUUAAAGUUUGGAAAUUUAAAUUUUUUAAAAUUAAAUUUAAGAAUAGGAAUUUUGGAAAUUAAAUUAAAAAUUGGAGUUUCGAAAAUUAUUUGAAAAUGGAAAAAUUAAAUUUGGAAAAUUAUUUGAAAAUAAAAGUUUUGAAAAUUAAAUUUAAAAAAUUAGAAUUUUGAAGAAUUAUUCAAAAAUAGAAGUUUUGAGAAUUAAAUUUUAAAAUAAUUAAAGUUUGGAAAGUUAAAGUUUUUAAAAAUUAAACUUAAAAAAUUGGUGUUUUGAAAAAUUAAAUUAAAAAUUGGAGUUUUGGAAAUUUAUUUGAAGAUGGAAUCUUUAAAAAAUUAAAUUUGGAAAUUGGAACUUUGAAAAAUUAUUUGAAAAUGGAAGUUUUGAAAAUUAAAUUUGAAAAAUUGGAAUUUUUAAGAAUUAUUCGAAAAUGAAAGUUUUGAGAAUUAAAUUUGAAAAUAACUAAGAUUUGGAAAAUUAAUGUUUUGAAAAUUAAACUUAAAAAAUUGGAGUUUUGAAAAAUUAAAUUAAAAAUUGGAGUUUUGAAAAUGGAAUCUUUUAAAAAAAUUAAAUUUAAAAAAAAAUAGAAAUUUUGAAGAAUUAUUUGAAAAUGGAAAUUUUGAAAUUAUUUGAGAAUUGGAACUAUGAAAGACUAUUCGAAAAUGAAAGUUUUGAAUUAUUGGAACUAUGAAAGGUAUUUGAAAAACUAGAGUUAGAAAAGUUAUUAAAAUAUCAAAAAAUAAGAAAGGAACAAGUGCCUAUUGGACCGUGUGCCAAAGUGACCAUGCAAAAUGGGAGGUGAGGGGCCUUUAAAUAAUGUUCAUGGGCCUUACGCAUCCUGGUAGCACUAAAAAAUAAAGCAUUCACACGUGUGCUCCAUACUUGCAUGAGCCAGUCCGCAUGUAGUAGGGGCCCUCUUUCUCUGUUUCAUCACCAAAGAGAUCAAGGUCAUCGUCAUCAUCUCCGGCAGGAGCAACCUCCUUCACUUCAUUGGGAGUAGCUUCAACAGGAGUAGCUUGGCAGCCUACUCUCACCCCAAUAGCUUUUCUGGGGAAUUCUUUGGGCAAGAUGCGAAGAAACACUACUGUACCGCUUGUUUGCAUUUGGGAAGUGACUUCCAGACUUUUCCGGAACCACGGCGUAAACAUUUACAUCAUCCUUCGUUAGAUGAUCCCUAGCGAUGUAGGCUUUUCCAUAGAGGAAUUCGUUUAGAGACUGGAGACCAAUCCCAGCGUGUAGACCUGAGAAGGUGAUGGCCACUGAGUUCAACGAAGAUGUGAGAGAGAGAGAGAAAGAAAGAAAGAGAAAGGGGUCGGAACACCGGAGCUUAACCACUAGAAAGGAAGACAUUAAAGGUUGUGGGCAAAUAAGAAAUGAACGGUGACUCGAAUGUAGAGAGAAGCUCUAAAAAAAAUGAAAAGAGGUUGGCCAUACCCAUGCAGUCCAGCAACUCCAUGUAACAGCUCUUAAAGAAGGUGUUCAAUAAUGGCUCCCAAAAUAGUGGACGAUGUACCCAGGAAGUGUGAUGAAAGUUCUCCAUUUCUCCACUUACAUAAAUGGACUGGCCUACUUCCUCAUUAAUCAUCCAUCGGAACAAACAUGUAGUGCCCAACCCUUACUCUCGGUCAACACAAUAAUGUUAAAAAAAAGUCAACAAAAAAUAGAGCAAAAUAGUGAAGAAAAUAAGAAAAGAAAAAAAAAAAAAAAAACGUUGUGGCCAUACCUGAUAGGUCUCUUCUUGAGCCCAGCUUCCAACUCCCUUUCUCAAGCUCUCUCCCCAAAAGUCUCUAUUCAGCUCUCAAAAUCUUACCCCUCCAGAAUCUGCCGACCCGCCCGGUUCUCCCCUUCUCCCAGUUUUUUUUCUUGUCUACGUUUCUACCUCUUCCACUGCUCCUCUACUCCUUGCUCAGAAAUGUCUCUAUCCCUCAACCACCACCAUGGCAAGGUGGUGAUCCUUGCCACACGUGCCAUGCAUGCAGUUUAGUCUUUGAAGAAGCCGACCCCCACUCCUCCAAGACGCUGCCAGCUCUUCCCGGGAUGGUAAAAAAAAGAAAACAAAAAACCCUUCUCCACAAAGGGGUGUAUUGAACAACUUAAAUUAAGUUAUUAAGUCAUUUUAAAUCAUUAAAUUAAUUUACUAACCACUCUCUUAUCCAACCUCCAAAUAGACUUUUGUCAUAGCACAUGGAAUCUGAAUCUUUGAAACUUCUUUGAAACUUUCAAAUAUGUUGAAAAGAAUUGAGGUUGCUAAUAGAAGGAAAGAUUAUUCAAGUGAAGGUUUAAGGGAGGAACAUGACUUAAAAUUCAAAUCAAGAAAAUUAUAUGAAAAUAAUGAAGUAUAAAACACAAUAAAUAGAAGUUUUUGAAUUAUAAUUAUUUGAAAACAAAGGGAUAAAGGUGAAGAAGCUUGAUUGUAAAAAUUUCAACAGAAUUUUUUAAUUAAAUAAUUUUAAAACUUAAUUUUUUAAUAUAAAAAUGUUACAUUAAAAUUUUUUAUUCCUCGUGGUCUAAUACCAUAUCAAAAGGUUGGCUCUGAACACCAAUCUAAAAAUACGGCUCUAAAAGCUAAACUGUAGAUAUAGCUCUGAAUACCGAAUUGAAAUCAUAGCUUUAAACGCCAAACUGAAAUCAUGGCUCUAAACGUCAAAUUGAAGAUAUGGCUAUAAACGCCAAACUAAAGGAGAUAUGAUGGCUCUGAAUGCUGAACUAAAAAUAAGCAACGACUCUAAACCCCAAACUAAAGAUGCGACUCUAAACACCAAACACUGAGAUAAAAGCAAUAUCAUUGUCCGCGAUCAUUUAUGCACAAAACCAAAAACUGCAUUGCGAUAGACAAGAGAUUGAUUAAAAUUAAAUCAUAAUAAAUUAUUGAAUGAUUAUAAUUAAGAAUAAAAUCACGUCUUAAGUGGAAUUUUGCCAUUAAAUGGAGGGAUAAAAUCACUGGUGAAGCCAAUAUAUGCCUAAGUAGGUUUGAAACCAUUGUUUCGAGUUGGAUUUAAACCCAAACUAUAAGAUUUAGGGCCUAUUUUAUAACUGUUUUUUAAAACAAUUUUCUAUUCUUUAGAAAUAAAAUAAAAUAAAAAACAUAUUUAAUAACCCAAAAACAAAAAAUAGUUUUUUGUUCUUAAAAAAAAAAAAACGGUAUAUUUUUUAAUAACAUCUUUUAAUGUCCAAACAGGUUUAAAAUCAUUGUUUUGAGUUGGAUUUAAACAUAAACUACAAGAUUUAGAGUCUGUUUAAUAACUAUCUUUUUAAAAAAAAAUUCUAUUAUUUAAAACAAAAAAAAACAUAUUUAAUAAUUAAAAAACAAAAAAUAGUUUUUUGUUUUUAAAAAUAGGAAACUAUGUAUUUUCGAAUAACAUCUUUUAAUUGUUUUAAGUUAUUUUCACUUAUUUUUGGAUGACUACUAUUUUAAAAAAUAAUUAUAUAAAUAUAGAGAAUAAUUAAAAAUAAAGUACUACAUAACAAAUUAUUUUUUAAAAACAUAUUAAAAAGCAUUAAAAAAAAGUUGAAAAUAUUUCAAAUCCCAAAAGGACCUUUAUUCCACAGAAGAUUAAAGUAAAGUUUUCAAAAACUAGUUUUUAUAAACGGUUAUGAAAUAAAUUUGUUAUAUUUUGCUCACCUGCCUCACAUUUCUGGCUCUGUCACCGGAUAAAAUCCUUGCCGCCAACCUAAGAAAGCUCACCGCCAGAAAUGGUGCCAUCUUCCUUUAGAACCUGGAAUUCCCAUGCGCCACUCGUUUUGUCUAUCUCCUCAUUCACCGUGGGAUCUUGAUUUACCUUUAGAUUAAAUUUUUAAUAUUAUUGUUUAUCUGCUGUCUUUUAAAAAUAAAAUAAAUUAGAAAAUAAUUUUGUAAAAAUUUAUAUUAGUUGUUUUAAUUUGAUUUUAAAAAUAAAAGAAAAAUAUGAGUCUACUGGAUCAUAAUUUUUAAAAAUUUAUUUUUAAGUUAAAAGGAAUAAAAAACCGUUAACAUGAACAAACGAGUCCUAAAAUUUUCGCAAGUAGUUUUGACAACCACGUGGUCCAAUUCCAUUAAAAAUUGUAGCAGCUUGAUAAGUGGGUGGACUUCCUAUCAAUUCAACAAACCUUUGUCCCAAGUAUACAGACAAGAAGACCAAGCCCACAGAUUUUUUCUUCCUUAUCAUGAAUAGUCUACUCCUUUAUGAAAAAUAUCAUGAGAAGUCAGCAUCGAUGGCCAUUGUUUCGUCAUCAACUUGCUAACCUCUUAAAGUUGAGAUUAAAAAAUUCAGCUCACGCAGGACAAAGAAAAACCAUUCAAACGAUAAGGUUGACUGAGCCACACGGAUUGGAGUUGAGAAAAACCAUGGUAUAGAUAUGUCCAACGAUAAGAAAAACCAUUAAAAUUACACCAAGCCUGACCUUGGCCUAUAAAUAUGUCCAAUCUUCUACAACUAUAGUAUAGAUUAGAAAGAAACGAUGGCAAGAAGUUUGAUGGCACUAGGUGGUGGUGGUGGCGGCGGUGGCGGAGAGCAAGUAGGCAUGGUGGCUUCAAGCUCUGGGGCGCUGCUCUUGCUAUGCAUGAUCAUCAUGUCUGUCUCUAUUAUAUCCAUGGUCAUAUUUGCUUGUGGGGAUACUUCUACUUCACCUCGCAAGAAACAAAGGAAGGAUUUCAAAUGUGACGAUUGUGAUUGUUUUUCUCUUUGUUUUGGGGAUGGUGAUGGUGGUGGUGACGGUGGUGGUGAUGGUGGUGGUGGUCAUGGUGGUGAUGGUGGUGGUGGUCAUCAUGGUGGUGGUGGUCAUCAUGGUGGUGAUGGUGGUGGUGGUCAUCAUGGUGGUGGUGGUCAUCAUGGUGGUGGUGGUCAUCAUGGUGGUGAUGGUGGUGGUGGUCAUCAUGGUGGUGGUGGUCAUGGAGGUGGUCAUGGAGGUGGUCAUGGUGGUGGUCAUGGUGGUGGUCAUGGUGGUCAUGGUGGUGAUGGUGGUGGUGGUGGUGGUGGUGGAGGUUGCUGAAGAAAAAACAANAAUAGUUUUUAUUCNNNNNNNNNNNNNNNNNNNNNNNNNNNNNNNNNNNNNNNNNNNNNNNNNNNNNNNNNNNNNNNNNNNNNNNNNNNNNNNNNNNNNNNNNNNNNNNNNNNNGGUGGUGGUGGUGGUGGAGGUUGCUGAAGAAAAAACAAAAUAGUUUUUAUUCAAAGUCUCCUAUAAAUGUCAUAGAAAAUAAAUCUCAAAAUUCUUCUUUAUCGUAUGUUAAAAAAAGUUUCUCAUAUUCAUCUUGAUUCGAUGUUAGAAUCCAUGUGAGCAAGCCCUCUAAUCGAGGUUGUUGUAUUUGUUGAUAUUUUCUAAUCGAGGUUGUUGUAUUUGUUGAUAUUUUCUUGGUAAUUGAAGCCCAUAAAUGAAUGUAAUAGAGAUUUCAUCUUUAAAAUAUAUAUAUAUUAAAAAAAAUUUAUUAAAAAAAAAUCAAAUAUUACUAAAUACACUUUUAAAAUAUUUAACACUUUGUAGACCCUCAUUUUUGCUUUGUUUAGCACACGGAGGAAUGGCUGGGGGGGGGGGGGGGGGGGGGGGGGAAAAUUUUUUAAAAAAGAUUCUUAAAAAAACCGGGGGGGUGGAGGGGGAGGACCCCCCCCCUGGGGGGGGUUUGGACACCCCCCCCUGAGGGGUUUAAAAAAAAAAAAGCGCCCCCGGGUUGGGGGGGGUUUUUUUAUAAAAGGGGGGUAGGGGGGGAAAAAAAGAAGGGGUUCUUGUGGAAAAAAAAAAAAAANNNNNNNNNNNNNNNNNNNNNNNNNNNNNNNNNNNNNNNNNNNNNNNNNNNNNNNNNNNNNNNNNNNNNNNNNNNNNNNNNNNNNNNNNNNNNNNNNNNNUCAAUCGGAAAUAUGAAUCAUAAGAUGAUUGUAAAAAUGCACUUUUAAUUUUGCUUAUCCCAAUGGUGUAAGUGCAUUAUCCUAUAAUGUUUGAAGGCUAAGGUGGUGUUUAUUUUUUUGGCUUUUUACUAAAAGCAAUUUAUUUUCAGAAUUUAGGUUGUUUGUUUUUCUAUUUUUUCAUGACUUAUUAUAAACUUUUUACUAAAUAGAAAAAACCAAAAUAUGUAACUUUUUCUAAAUAGAAAAAAUAAUAUAUUGGUGGCGACCCCGCAUUUCGACUCAUCUCAAUGCGUUUCCCACUCGAUGGCGAGCUCGAAUUUUAUUUGAAAAAAAAAUGAGUGGGGGGGAACAGUUUCUAAGGAUGAGCUGCUAGAGACGCGUGGCUGGCUGAGGGAGCUGACCAUCACCAUGGUGGUGGUUGGGACGGCGACGGGCUGAGGGUUGAACAUGAGAGCAGGUCCGUGGCUUGCGGAGGAGUUUUUGACUAAUGGAGGUUGAAGGAGGAGAACAGGAGAGGGAUCUUGCAGGAAAAAAAAAAAAAGAGCUAGAGGGGGCUCUCGAAAGGCUGUUUUUCGGAGAUACUUAUAGAGGGUGAAGAUUUCAUUGCCGAGGGGGGAAGAACUCUUCUAGUUGUUACAGAGAUAUUGAAGGGAGAGGUUUUAACUGAGCUGAGGGGAUCGAGGAAGAGGAAAGCUUAUUGAUCUUUGGAGAUUCAGGUAUGAUUUCUUUGCGUACUCCUUACUCCUACUUCCUCAUUGUUUUGGCCUUGAUUGUUUCACCUCGCUGUUUGAUUAUUGUCAUUUGUUUUAUGACGCUUGGAGUUGCAUGAAAUCUGAGUUUCUUUGCUUGCUCUGUUUCGUCCCUUCUUGGUUUCUUGAACUCCUUUGAUCAACGACUACCAUGUCGAUUUGUUUUGUUUUAUUUAGCUCGUUUUUCUAGUCAUGUUAUCUUUAUUUUUUUUAUGUUUCUUCCACCUAUUCCGGAUCCUUGGAUUAAUAUAUGGAGUGGGGUCUGGUUCAAAAGCCUACAGGUUUUCCUAUAGUUGUGCUCUGUUUUUUUUUUUGUUUGUUUGUUUUCUUUACUCUGUGCCUGAAUGAUACAUGGUCCAAACUCUCUCCAUUUCCUUUCCGUCUUCAUGAUCCUUUGGUGACUCUGUUGAGGGCGCUUCAAAAUCAGCAUUUACUGGCGCGUCAUUUUGUUGCGUUUAUUGGACUGUUAUUGGCUUGGUUCAAAGCAGUUGGAUCUAGCUCAGAGCCUCGAGAAAUUAUUAUGGUCAUGUCUCCAGGGAUGUUCUUUAGUCUUGCAUUGGUUCACGAUGGUCUAAGACUGUAUUGUGUGCAAAUACCAGUGGUUUUUUUUUCUCUUGGAUCAUCAUGAACUUCAUGUAGCUGGGAAAGAAGGGAUUUAUUAAAAUGUUCUGCUAUCUCUAAGCUCUCAAAUGGAUUUGGGAAGGUAAAGGAUGUCAGUUCAGUGGCUUGUGUUUAGAGAGGUUGGAUGAAUGUCGAUAUUGGUGAGACUAUUUGUAAAUCAUGUUGAGCACAUUUAAGUUUCAUCCCUUGACCAUCAGAGGCACUUGUUGAAGUUGGUAACGCUGGCGAAGCUUUUGGUAAGUGACUGGACACUGAGCAUGAAAUCAACAGUCCAUAGAGAUGGGAUAUUCGCCUACAUUUCCUCAUCACCAUGCCUAUCUCACUCACCUAUCACCUAACCCUCUCUUCAAAUCUCAUUCACGUGUCUAGCCUAUUACCCCACACAUAUCUAUUUCAUCUCAUACCCAUGCAUGCUAGCCAUCACACUUUCUCUCUCUUCACCACAGUGUCUCUCCUCCAUAUCCAUUUCACGCCCACUUACACCGUCUGUUCCAUCACCCUCUCAAGUGCCUAUAUGCCCGUCACCACACCAAACCCGUUUAUUUACCACCUUUGCAUGGCCAUGCAUGGCUGCAUCACGCUCACUUCGUGCCUCCCAAACACCAUAUCUAUAUUUCAUUCUUCACCCGUUCAUCAUACCCAUUUCCUGUCCACUCCCUCACAUCAUUCUCUACAUAUAUUCAUCACCUUUCAAACCCCAUACCUCGACUUACCCAUAACCCUUUCCAUCACGCCACUUUAUACCCACAUUUCAUACCCUCCGUGCACUUUGAUUUCCCAUUAGUUUAUAUCACUCCAUACCCCUCAUUCCACACAUACGCUCAUCCCUUCGUUUUCUCUCUCUACACCACCACCCAAAGCCAUUGGAACUCCUCAUCACUUAAGCCCACACUCCUAUUCAGCUUCUUCACACCCAUCUACCCGCAAACCCCAUCCAUAUUAUCCACAUCUCCAUCCUUUAACACCCCUCAAACCCAUCUCUCUCCUUCUAAGCCUUCAUCUUGUCAUGCCAUACUCUCCACAGUCAAUCUAUCCUAUGACAUCACACCCACCACCGGCUGUUGAUUCCUUCAUCAUGCCAUUUCUUCCACUCUUCAUACCCCACGUCCUCAUGCAUAUACCCCUUCUCAUACCCCAUGUAAUAUGCCCGUUUCCUCACCACCUUUUCUCUCUCUACACCACACUUCUUUCAUGCAUCCCGUUUUCUCAUUAAUCUAUACCAUCCCAUGCCCCCACCCAAUGCAUACCAUCACCCUCACAUAUAUCCACUCACCCGGUUUCUCUCUCUACACUCCAUACCUUUCAUGCAUAUCCAUUUCUUGUUCAUCUACACCAUCCUUCCCACUAGUCCCAUAUCCUCUUUUUCCUACCAUCCACACACCCCAUACAUUUCAUGUCCAUACCCACUGCCCUAUUCUUCAUUAACCUCUUCUUUCUAUUCACUUUCUAUGUCUACACCACCACCCAAACCCACUCAAACUCAUCAUCGCUCAUGCUCGUGCUUCCGCUCUUCUCACUACCAUGUAGCACCCCUUUCUCUCUCUAACAAUUUCAUCGAACCCACUUCCCGUCAUCACCUUCCACUACCCCUUAUAUCAUUCUUUAGUCACCCAUUUGCUCCCUCUCCUCUCCUGCGCGUGGAACUUCAAGCAUCCAUACCCAUCUCUCACCCUCUUCACCACCACUUCCAGGCCCAUUUUUGAAGUCUAAGGCCUAUUAAUCCCAGUUUGCAUGGUAUCACUUCCAGGCCCGUUUUUGAGGUCCAGGGCCCAUUUUUAAGUCCCUAUUAUUAUUGCAUGGGUAUCACUUCCAGGCCCAUUUUUGAAAUCCAUAUUAUUAUUAUUACAAGGCCCAUUUUUGAAGCCCAAGGCCUAUUAUUAUUAUUAUUAUUAUUAUUAAUUCAACUUUUAAAAUAUUAUUAUUAUUAUUAUUAUUAUUAUUAAUUCAACCUUCAAAAUCUUAUUAUUAUUAUUAUUUUUAUUAAUUCAACUUUUAAAAUAUUAUUAUUAUUAUUAUUAUUAUUAUCAUUUCAAAAUCUUAUUUAUAUUAUUAUUAUUAAUUCAACUUUUAAAAUCUUAUUAUUAUUAUUAUUAUUAAUUCAACUUUUAAAAUAUUAUUCUUAUUAUUAUUAUUAAUUCAACUUUCAAAAUCUUGUUAUCAUUGUUAUUAUUAUUAUUAUUUCAAAACCUUAUUAUUAUUGUUAUUAUUAUUAUUAUUAUUAUCAUUAUUAUUAUCACCCUAGGCCCUUCUAAUUCCAAAGCCUAAUUCGUUUCUAAUAUCCCAAGCCCAUUUCCAAAGCCCUUCUCACCCUAAGCCCUUCUAAUUCCGAAGCCCAAUUCGUGUAUCCUUUUUCCUGAGCCCAUUUCCAUAGCCCUUCUCACCCUAGGCCCUUCUAAUUCCAAAGCCCUUUUAAUCCCUUUUGUUUAUCCAUAUUAUUAUUAUCAUUUAUUGUUAUUAUUAUUAUUAUUAUUAUUAUUAUUAUUAUCAUUAUUAUUAUUGUUAUUAUUAAAAAUCUAUACUCUCUCUAAGUUCAAUUUCCUAAUAUUAUUAUUAUCAUUAUUAUUAUUGUUAUUAUUAAAAAUUUGUAUCAUCGCAAUUUAAUUUCCUAAAGUUCAUUCCUUAUUAUUAUUAUUAUUACAAAUUCAACUUUCAAAACCCAUAUUUUCGCAGAUCAAUUUCCUAAAGUUCAUUUCUCAUCUUCUUUGGCAAAUUUCAUUUUAAUUAUCAAUGCCCUAAUAUUUUAAAUUUAAUUCCCAAUACUCCAAUCUUCAAGUAAAUUCCAAAAAUCCAGUUUUCACUCGAAUAGUUUUAAUUCCAUUCCGGUUCUUAAAUAAUCUUCUGAUCUUCGUGAUUCUACAUAAGCAAUAAUGAAUUCUUCAUAAUUCUAAAACACGGAAUUUGUGAGACUAGUUCAUGAGUAAUAAAUUGGGCUUUGGUGGGGGCCCUAUGUUUGAUCUUUUUUUUAUUAUCAAUUGUUGUGCUUAAUGUAUUUUGUUUGAUCUUCGUUUUGCACUCCGAUAUGCACGAACUAUAUUUUGUAUUCAUUAAUUGUGUACUAACCCCGUUUCUUGAUAGCACAUUAUGGCUAGAGGCCCAGGUAUGCACCCACUCUCGUUUUGAUCAUUCCAUAUGCAUAUUUCGAUUCACCUAUUGUACAUGAUUAAGGCGAGUAUCCAUUGACUUUCUCAUGGAUUGCCACAUCAGCUUUAUUUUUAUCAGUAGAGACCCGACUUUAGGGACUUAGAGGGGUGAUGUCGUCCGUACCGUACCUUCCCGAUAAGUAACUUGACCCCGAUCCCGAUCCGGUUUCUCAUAGACCACCUUUUCCAAAAUAAGGAGUCACACUUAAAGUUUUUCUUUCUUAUUUUGUUUACCCUUUAAUUAAAAAUAAAACAAAAAUAAGUGGCGACUCCAAGUCAGUUUUUUUUUUUUAAUGAAUAAAAAUCAUUAUCAAAUAAAAAUUGAGCUCGUCAUUGAGUGAAAGUGCAUGAGCCGAAAUGCGGGGUCCACACUCUUAUAUAGUGAAACUCAAAUAUAUAAAAUAAAUUUAAAAUAAUUUAUUAGUUUUAAAUUCAUAUUUUAUUUUUUAUCACAAAUUUUUUUAAUUUCUCUUUUGUCUUUUCGUUCAAAUUCUUAGGAAUCCAACAUUGUAAAAAAAUAUUUAAGAAACUUGAUUUUAAAAUGUUUAAUAUAACACGUGUUUAUUUUCAAUUUUUUUCUUUAAUAUAAAAUUUUCACAAAUAUUUUUGACACCCACAUGGUCCAAAACCAUUAACAAAUCUUCAUCCCAAAUUAGAUCUUACAUUCAGAAAGUAUAUAAAUAAGUAGAUCAAGACCUGAGAUUUUUUGUUCCUUCUCAUGAAAAGUAUACUCCUUUAUGAAUAUAUAUAUCAUUGACCAUGAAAAGUUAGCAUCAACCGCCAUUGUUUCUACAUCAACUUGCCAACCUCUCAACUUGAGCUUGAAAAAUAAGCUCACGCAGGGCUUUGAAAAUUUCUUUGAAGCUUCGUAUUAGCAAUAUUUCUUAAGAGAACAAAGAAAACCUAUUCAAACUAUAAGCUUGAGUGAGCCCACACGGCUUCGAGUUGAGAAAAAUGAUCAAAAUUUUGAAAAUUACACUAAGUUUCGACCUCACCUAUAAAUAUGUCCCAUCUUCUACAUAUUUAGUAUAGAUUAGGAAGAAAUGCGAAGAAUUGUGCUUUCACCUCAGUUAGCAUAAUAAGAGGCCCAAGUCCUCUUAUUACUCAUAUUUGAUUACAAGAUUAUAAGGAUAUGAGAUAAUAAUUGAUACAAAUACUCAUUUUACUUAUCACAUCAAAUAUCCCAAAUAGUAAAUUGUACUAGCUUAUGUAGUUGUGGACCCUGCAUUUCUGCUCAUGCGUUUCCACUUGAUGGCGAAUUCGAUUUUAUUUGAAAAAUAAUUUUAUUUAUUAGAAAAUGACUUGGAGUCGUCACUUAUUUUUGUUUUAUUUUUAAAAUAGUAAACAAAAUAAGAAAGAAAACCCUAAGUGUGACUCCUUAUUUUGGAAAAGGUAGUUCGUGAAAAAUCGGAUCAAGCUCGGGGGUCAGGUUACUUAUCGGAAAGGAACAGUAAAGACCGUAGCCCCCCUCUAAAUCCCUAAAGUCGGGUCUUUACUAAUAAAAUGAAGUUGACAUGGCAAUUAAUGAGUAAAUCAAUGAACACCCAGAACGAUCAUGCACAUAUGAAAAUCAAAACAUGCAGAGAGGAUGACCAGGAUGCGAGUAGAUACGUACCUGGGCAAUAAGCCAAAAUGAGCUAUCAAGAAAUGAGGUUAGUGCAUAAAUAAUGGACAUAAAACAUAGCUCACGUGCCACUAAAUCGAGUACGAAGUCAUCACAUGUCACAACUCAAUCAAAUUGAUUUUUAAAGGAAACAUCCAAUAAUGUUGGGCCCCCACCCAAAACCCGUUUUAUUUUUGCAUGAAUUAAUUCCGUAAAUUCCAUCACUUAGAAUUACGGGAUUUAAUUCACACUUAUUUUUAAAAUCAUGGAAGUUAUGAAAAUUGCAUGCCAAAGAAAAUGGUGGCAAAAUUUUAUUAAAAAUGUGAUUUUUGGGACUUGAAAACUCUAAGGAUGAAGAAUAUGGAAAAUUAUGCGAAGAAUGAUAUUUGGAAAAAUUAUUUUCAAAACCAAGAAUGGUGAAUUGAGAGAAAUAAAAGGAAGUGACACGUGGCAUAAGGGUGGCCAUGCAGUCCAUGCAUAAGUGGAAGAGAUGGGGAAUGACGACCAUGGAGAUGAGGACAAAGAAGACGUUGGCAGCAUCCCAUGAGCUUGUUGAAGCCACUUUGCUAAGCGCAGAAUUGACUAAAGCGAUAUCUGAAGGUACCCAGUCACAGCUAAUAGAAUAUUGCCCAGAUCCAUGCCAUGGGUUCCCAUCAAUUGGAUACCAGAAUGCCACUGAAAUCUUGCUUGUUUGACCAAUGGUGAAUUGAACAUCUUGUUGAAGACGAUCUAUUGUUCUCAAAGGCCUCAAAAAUUCAAAAUAGCAUGUACCCUUUUGACCUAAUGAUGCAUAAGGGUUGUCUUCUCCCACAAAACCUGAAUGCAUUGUGAGACUAUCAUGCCACCAUGCCCCCUUCCAAUUAUUAUGUGCACUGGUAUCAUUUCCAAAAGGGCCAAGUCCAUCAAGGUGUCAACAAUGUGGAUUCUAGACAUACGGAUCAACCAAAUGACCGAAUCUGUCACCUCCAUUCUCCUCUCAAUUGAGCUACUAUCUGAAUCAAAACUAUCACUUGACCUUUCUUCUUUUCUUGGAGACCACAAAUCCAUUCUUAGCAGACUAAGCAGUGGCUGGAUUUUAUAACCUUGUGAUGAUCUUUUUUCAUGAAAACACUCUUGCUAAGCUCGGUCAAGAACUGCUUAUUGCCAAAUCUUUCCCUUUCAUCAUUCAUGGCUUUCUUUUUAAUCACCGCAAACGCUUAGCACUCAUCAAUUUGGUUAUGACAUUCCUAUUUCAACGUCGUCAACGAGCUUCAGGAAAACUGAUGUUAAAGUAUAUUAUGUUAUGGGCUUUAGGCCCAGUUAGGUUACUUGUAUAGUACACUUUACUUGUACCGCACACAUAGUACUUGUACCGCACACAUAUGCCUCAUAUAUAAAGACACUGAUGUAUAUUCUUUAAUCAGGAAAUAGAAUACAAUUAUUCUAUAUUUCUAACAUAGUAUCAGAGCCACUGCUCUGACCUUUUCUUAGCAGUCUUGUCUUCAUUAGUGUGACUUCCUUUCUUUCAAACGCUUCCGCCAUCACAACUGCCGACGCAGCCUCUUGCCGUUGAACCUUCGACGUCAUCCAGCCGUCGUCCUUGGGUUCCGGACCUGCAGCCGCCAUCGUUAAGGAGUUUCACACUGCACAGACCACUGCUCUUUGCAUCACCGUUGUGAAUAUUGCUCCAAUUUCAUUUUUGAAGGUACCACUGAGAUCGUCCAGCGCCAAUCUACACAUUCGUGGAACCCUCGCCACCAUUGGAGACCGCACGCGCUCCCACGCGCCACUCAAAGAUUCUAUGACGCUGCCACACGCCUUCACGCGUUGCCACACGCCUUCACGCGCUACCACGCGCUCUCACACGUUGCCACGCGCUCUCACGCACCAGGCCUGGUCUGCUGACGUCAUCUUCAUCCGUUGACCAGUCGUGAUCGUUGACCGUUGACUUUGAUAGUUGACUUUUUCCAGUUGACUUUUUAUGUCUAGGUUCUCCUUACCCAGUUUUUCGUGUAGAUUUCAUUUUUGCAGUCGGUUUUUGCAUAUUGUGUCUCUAAAUGGAUAAAAAGGAUGUUUUUCUUCCUCACCCCAUUAAUACUGUAUUGGAAGGGAAUAAAAAUUACUUAUCCUGGUCUCAAGCUAUGCGCAGUUUUCUUAAGAGUCGCAUGCUCUAGCAUUAUUGUAUUGGUGCAAUGACUAUUCCUGUCAAGGGAGCAAGUGAAGAAGAUGCUGUCUUUCUUAGUCGCAUGAUUGAAUGGGAUAGUCAAAACCACAUGAUCCUCACAUGGAUCCAGAACACUUCCAUUCCCUCUAUUUCCAAUCUAUUAGGCAGCUUUGACGAUGCAAAAUCUGCAUGGGAUAUGUUGACCAAAAGGUACUCCACUACUCAUGGAUCCAUGCAAUAUCAGUUAGUGGUUGAAUUGCAUUAACUCAGGCAAGAACCGGGGCAAUCCAUUAAUGACUAUUAUGACCAGCUUCGCUUCAUUUGGGACCAAAUUGACAUUUCUGAUCCAACUUGGGCAUGCUCAAAAGAUGCUCAGCAAUAUGCUUCCAUCAGAGAUGAAUUUCGCCUCUAUGAAUUCUUGAUGUCACUUCACAAAGACUUUGAGCCCAUUCGUGGUCAGCUGCUAAAUCGUAGUCCUGCUCCCUCUCUUGAUAGUACUGUGAAUGAGUUGGUUAGAGAAGAAGCUCGUCUUGCAACCCUUCAAGCCUAGAAUAAGCUCAAUGUUUUGGCUAUUACUCCAUUUACUCCACUCAUAGAGCAACCUCAGCAAUUAGGUGAUUUUUCUGGCUCUAGCAAUCGUCGCAAGCAGACCAACAAGAAGUUCUGCAACUAUUGCAAGCGUUCUGGCCACACCAUUGAGACUUGUUACCGUUGUAACAAAUCUACUACUGCUGUUGCUAAUACUGAGCCUACUCCGCCAACGACUUCCACCUCAGCUGAGUCCCAGUUUUCUGGAUCUACUAUCAACCUCUCCUCCACUGAACUACAGGAGAUCAUAGCUCAAGCUGUUCGUAUGGCUGGUAAUGCAUCUCUUUCCACUGCCUUAUCUGUUCUACCUGGUAAGUCUCAAACUUGGCUUUUUGAUUCUGCCUGCUGCAAUCACAUGACACCUCACUCAUCCCUGUUCUCCAACCUUGACCCUGCACCACAUCCUCUAAAUAUUCAUAUAGCUGAUGGUUCCACCAUGCAUGGAAAUCGUCUAGGUUUUGUUUCAACCUCUAAUCUUUCUGUUCCUGGAGUCUUCCACGUACCUGCCCUAUCCUAUAAUUUGUGUUAUGUGGGACAAUUAGCUGAACUAGGUUAUCGCCUUAUUUUUUACUAUUCUGGGUGUAUUGUGUAGGAUCCGAGGACGGGGCAGGAGCUUGGGACCGGUCCUAGAGUUGGGCGUAUGUUUCCCGUGAGCAAUCUUCAUCUUCCACCUGUUGCUCCUGUUUCUGUUGCUGCUGCAGCGGCUACAGUUUCUUCCUUACCUUCUCUUGCACUUUGGCAUUCUCGUCUUGGUCAUGCACCAUCUUCUCGGGUACAACAGUUAGUGUCUAGGGGUUUGUUGGGUUCUGUGUCUAAAGGCAAUUUUGAUUGCACUUCAUGUCAGUUAGGAAAACAGCCAGCUUUGCCUUUUAAUAACAGUGAAUCCAUUUCUAAUAGUAUUUUUGAGUUAAUUCAUUAUGAUGUUUGGGGACCUUCUCCUGUUGCUAGUAUUGGUGGAUCUCGAUAUUUUGUUAUUUUUAUUGAUGAUUAUUCUCGUUAUAGUUGGAUUUUUCCUAUGAAAUAUCGUUCUGAAAUUUUACCAAUAUAUAGCAAUUUUGCAAAAAUGGUUGAAACUCAAUUCUCCAAACGUAUCAAAACCUUUCGAUCUAAUAAUGCUCUUGAAUAUACUCAAUAUGCAUUUCAAGCUCUGUUACAUUCCUAUGACACUAUACAUCAUCUAACUUGUCCAGGUACCUCUCAGCAAAAUGGUCAAGCCGAAAGAAAACUUCGUCAUAUUCUUGACAUUGUUCGUGCUUUACUUCUUUCUGCCAAAGUUCCUGCCCCAUUUUGGGGUGAAGCUAGUCUUCAUGCUGUUCAUGCAAUUAACAUCAUUCCAAACGUUGUCAUCCAUAAUCAGACUCCGUAUGAGCGUCUCUUUGGGUCACCCCCUAACUAUCAUCACCUUCGCUCCUUUGGAUCUGCUUGUUUCGUUCUUCUUCAGCCUCAUAAGCACAACAAACUUGAGCCUCGAUCUAGACUCUGUUGUUUCCUUGGUUAUGGCGAAACUCAAAAGGGGUAUAAGUGUUAUGAUCUUGUCUCUCAUCGUCUUCGUGUUUCUCGUAAUGUUGUCUUUUGGGAACAUCGAUUGUUUGUUGAACUCUCUCACUUUCGUUCUUCCUUGAUUAACUCCUCUGUUUUAGAAAUCUUUCCAGAUGAGUCUCUUGUUCCUUCUACAAAUACUUUUGAUCCUCCUUUGGACUUCUCUCCAGAUAUCUUUGAUGUUUUUCCUAGACAGGUUGCAGAUGAACAUAUUAAUGACGAGCUACCCCACUUUGAGCCUGGGUCCCCUACUCCUGCUCUGCUUGAAGAUCCUCCACAAGACAUUCCAUCUUGCCACUCAACCCGGGUAAGAUCCAUUCCUCCACACCUCCUUAACUAUCAUUGUUACACUGCCCUUGCUACACUUCACGAGCCUCAAACCUAUCGUGAGGCUUCUACUGACCCUUUAUGGCAGAUUGCAAUGAAAGAGGAACUUGAUGCAUUAACCAAAAACCAUACUUGGGACCUGGUUACUCUCCCUCCUGGACAGUCUGUGGUUGGUUGUAAGUGGAUCUAUAAGAUCAAGACUCGCUCUGAUGGAUCCAUUGAGCGCUACAAGGCUCGUCUUGUUGCCAAAGGUUUUACACAAGAGUAUGGGAUUGAUUAUGAAGAGACUUUUGCUCCAGUUGCUCGUAUCUCAUCUGUCCGUGCUCUCUUAGUUGUUGCUGCUGCUCGUAAAUGGGACCUUUUUCAGAUGGAUGUUAAAAAUGUCUUCCUUAAUGGGGAUCUGAGCGAAGAAGUCUAUAUGCAACCUCCUCCUGGUCUCUCUGUUGAAUCAAACAAGUUUUGUCAUCUUCGACGCGCACUUUAUGGUCUUAAACAAGCCCCACGAGCUUGGUUUGCCAAGUUCAGCUCCACUAUUUUUCGCUUGGGUUACACUGCCAGUACAUAUGAUUCUGCCUUAUUUCUUUGUCGUACUGAUAAAGGCACUAUUUUGCUUCUUCUAUAUGUGGAUGAUAUGAUCAUAACUGGUGAUGACCUUAGUGGCAUUCAAGAACUCAAGGAUUUUCUUAGUCAGCAGUUUGAGAUGAAAGAUCUUGGACAUCUCAACUAUUUCUUAGGUCUUGAAAUUACUCAUUCCACAUAUGGUCUUUAUAUUACUCAAGCCAAGUAUGCUUCUGACCUGUUGUCUCAAGCUGGACUCACUGACAGCAAAACUGUUGACACUCUAGUUGAACUUAAUGCGCAUCUGACACCCUCGGGGGGGAAACCAUUGUCUAAUCCUUCUCUUUACAGACGAUUGGUUGGCAGCUUAGUUUAUCUCACAGUUACUCAUCCAGACAUCUCCUAUGUUGUUCAUCAGGUGAGCCAGUAUUUGUCUGCUCCACGAUCAACUCACUAUGCUGCUGUUCUGCGCAUUCUUCGAUACCUGAAGGGUACCAUUUUUCAUGGCCUUUUCUACUCAGCUCAGUCUCCUUUUGUACUCCGUGCAUUCUCUGAUGCUGAUUGGGCAGGAGAUCCUAUUGAUCGCAGGUCCACUACAGGUUAUUGCUUCCUCAUUGGUUCUUCUUUGAUUUCUUGGAGAAGUAAGAAACAAACUUUUGUGGCCCGCUCCAAUACUGAAGCAGAAUAUCGUGCUCUUGCUGAUACCACAUCUGAGCUCCUUUGGCUAAGAUGGCUUCUUAAGGAUUUGGGUGUGUCCACCUCCUCUGCUACUCCUCUUUAUUGUGACAACUAGAGUGCCAUUCAUAUUGCUCACAAUGAUGUCUUUCAUGAACGGACUAAACACAUCGAGAUUGAUUGUCAUUUUAUCCGUUAUCAUCUUGUCCAUGGUGCUCUUAAGCUUUUCUCCGUCUCCUCCAAAGAUCAACUUGCAGAUAUCUUCACCAAGUCACUUUCUAAGAGACGCACUCGUGAUUUAGUUGACAACCUCAAGUUGGUCUCGCAUCCACCUUGAGUUUGAGGGGGGCUGUUAAAGUAUAUUAUGUUAUGGGCUUUAGGCCCAGUUAGGUUACUUGUAUAGUACACUUUACUUGUACCGCACACAUAGUACUUGUACCACACACAUAUGCCUCCUAUAUAUAGGCAUUGAUGUAUAUUCUUUAAUCAUGAAAUAGAAUACAAUUAUUCUAUAUUUCUAACAACUGGGAUCGCUAAAUACAUGAAACACAGCCGCCCAUGCAAAAGUUGUGGGAAUGGGUCUGAAGGGCAUUCGAAAAAUGGGUUCGUGGUGUGGUGUAGAGAGAAAAAACAUGGGGGGUAUGAGAUGUAAGUGUGAAGGUGAACAUGAGGAUGGAGAGAAAUAGAGCGUGGUGUGGAUGGCUAUGUGCAUGGAACCUUGUUUACAUGGAAAUCAAGCAACAAAUGGAUCAAGAAUGGAAUGGGUGGCGGAUAUCGGUAUGAAUGGUGUCUAAUGGAAUGUAGGUGGUUGGAUGAUAGUAUAAUGGACGUUAGUGUGGCCACGUAUGGCCAUGCAACAGUGGAUGGAAUAGAUUUGAAGUGCACUUAGAAAAUGGGUAUGGGGUGUGGUGAAGAGAGAGAAAGUACGAUGGAUGGAAAACGAAAUGGGUUGAUGGGUAUCGAGAUAUAGCAUGAACUAGUGAUAGUGAACAUGUUGAUGGGUAUGGAAAUGAGGAGAAGAAUGGAUUGGUUCAAGUGGGAUGAGGAAUGAAGAAUCAUUGAAGGAUGGCCACGGGUUCGGGCAAGAUGGGAACAAGUAGGAAUGGUGAGGAGGAAUGGCACAUGGGGUGAAUAGGUGUAGUGGAUAAGGAAAUGAGUAUAGGGAUGGUUUCGGUGUGCAUGGUAUAUGAUGAAUGGUGUAUGGUGUUGGAUAUAUUGGAGUGGUAACGGUGUGGGUGUUAUGGGUAGAUGAUGGGUAUGGUAUUAGAGAUGAACGGAAAGUGGUAUGGAAAAGAAAAAAAAAUUGUAUUAAGAUGUGGAGGCGUGGUGAUGAAAUUGCGCAAGGCAAAUUAUGGGUGGUGUUAGGAAGUGUCCCAAAUUCCUAAUUAGUAUAGAUUCCUUUUUUGUAAAGAAUAUUAUAUAAAAUAUUUCUAGGUUGAUAUAUUAUUGUAAUAUUAGACUUUCUUAUAGAAUAAGGAAGGUUGUUGGAAAUAUCUCUAUAAAUAUUCUAGGUCAUGGGGGGGGGGGAAAGUUAUGAGAUAGAGAUGGACUUGUAGAUACUAUACGAGGUAGAUAGAGAUGUGAGGAAGAAUGGGAGAUACUCGGUGGAGCGAGAGAGCUCAUAGUAGGGUAUGGAUACAAGGAGUGGGGAAACAUGGGAUGUUUCGGGAACCCAAUAGUUGUAUCUGGUUCUUUUCUCUGUAAUAUUCUCUAUUAUAUAGUGGAAUCAUUCUCUCUCAUCCAUGGACGUAGGCAUGGUUGGUUGAACCACGUUAAAACCUCGUGUACCAUGUGUGUGAUUGUUUUAUCUUUGUGUUCUUGAACUAACAUUGUUGGCAUCAAAGCUUUCGUUGUCACUAUAAUUGGUAUCAGAGCUUGGGUUGAAGAUUUUUGGAAGGGUAAAAGAUCACAAAGCACACAAGAUGAAAACAAAAGGAAUUUUCACUGAAUGUGGAGUCGAUUGCUCUUUCAUGGUGAUAUGAUACAAAAAGGUUUGUGUCAUGGAGAGAUUGAAGAUUAACUUCAUGGAAUUUGGUCCAAGGAGGAGAUUGUUAGGAAGUGUCCCAAAUUCCUAAUUAGUAUAGAUUCCUUUUGUGUAAAGAAUAUUAUAUAGAAUAUUUCUAGGUUGAUAUAUUAUUGUAAUAUUAGACUUCCUUAUGGAAUAAAGAAGGUUGUUGGAAAUAUCUCUAUAAAUAUUCUAGUUCAUGAGAGGAAAAAUUAUGAGAUGGAGAUGGACUUGUAGAGACUAUACGAGGUGGAUAGAGAUGUGAGGAAGAACGGGAGAUACUCGGUGGAGCGAGAGAGCUCGUAGUAGGGUAUGGAUACAAGGAGUGGGGAAACAUGGGAUGUUUUGGGAACCCAAUAGUUGUAUCUGGUUUUGUCCUCUAUAAUAUUCUCUAUUGUAUAGUGAAAUCAUUCUCUCUCAUCCGUGGACGUAGGUAUGGUUGGUCGAACCACGUUAAAACCUCGUGUACCAUGUGUGUGAUUGUUUUAUCUUUGUGUUCUUGAACUAACAUUGUUGGUAUCAAAGCUUUCGUUGUCACUACACAAUCCCAUUUGUUUUCCUUGUCCAGAUAUCUCCCAGAAACUAUGAUGUUGAGCUUCUUCAGAAGCACCCCAAACCAGAUUUUCUCCAGCAGCGCCUUACUCUUUCAAGUAGAUAUGGGAAAUAUGAUACUCACUAUGGCAAAGAACAGGGGAUGACAGCAAACAGAGCACAAAUAAUGGGAACCAAAUGAAUCCCUACAAACCUCAUUUCAUGUAUCAAUCCAUGAGCUCAGACGAGAGUGGGCCAAAGCAGAUUUCAAAUAAGUUUUAAAACGAAACCAAGAUGUGAAUGCCAAUAUCUCAUAUGAAAUCUCAAAACAGAGGACAUAAAACAAGUUAGAAAUCAAGCAUAAGGCAAGUGUAAGCAAGCUCAAAUUCCAUAAAAACAAAUUAUAGUCCCCUAUAAACACAUUCAAACACCAAAAUAGAAUCUCAUGAUACCUAAAAAAACACAAUAAAAUGCCAUGAACAUGGAAGAGUCAGCCUCUAGAAAUAAUACCUGAGUCUCCUUUUUUUAAGAUACCACUGCGUGUUUCUUCUUGUCUCUGAUUAGGUCUCCCUUCCAAAAAAAAUCCAGUUGAUCUCCCUUUGCCUAAGCAAUCUUACUCUUCUAGUGACCACACUGCAACUCCUUCCCUCUGUAACCUCACAAGCAACCAAAACAUCUCCUCUCAGACAACAGAAUACCUUGCUCCUCUCCAAGGUGUCCUUCUCACGUUCCUCUCUCCGUCCCUAACUAGCUUGCUCUCCAAGCCAAAGAAAAACCUCUCCCCAAAACUAUCUCUGUAAAGCAACCACCCAGACCUCACUCUGGCAGCUUGCUCCUCAAGCUAAACGAAUACCCUUCAAAACUAAAGAAAACCUCCUCUAUAGAUACAAAAUACGCUCUUUUCUCUCAACUCCCUAACUUGCUCUCCAAGAAACUCCUCAAGCAAAAUAGUCUCCUCCUUGUGGAUGUAGAAUACGCUCAUCCUCCUCCCUUAGCUUGCUGCCCAAGCUAAGGAAAAACCCCCUACAAAAUAUCUCUCCCCAAAACGGUAGCAAAAGCAUCCCCUUCACUCUGCAGCUGGCUACCCUUCUAUAAUAGAAAACACGCUCCCUGGAAUAUUCCUUGACAGGUGUCACAACCCCAUAGCUCCUCAAAAAGCACCAACAAUUCCUUAGCAGCCAAUUAGGAGGUAGCACAUGGCUCUUUAAGAGCCCUCCAUCUGGCAAAAGUGAACUGCAGGAAUAUGAAAAAAAAGGAGCCCCAAAAUGGGGGUCUAUAGUAGUGUUUAUGGGACCCUUCAUUUUUGUCUUUAUUCCAUCACUCUUCAUAUGUCACUUCCUUUAUUUAAACAUAUUUCAAAUUUUAAUUGUUUUUUAAAACUUUUUUUUUUAUAAAUAAUUAAAAAUCAACAUUUUUUUUCUAUUUUAAAUUAUAAAUAAAUAAAUAAAUAACAUAUUAAUAAUUAUGGACCCUGCAUUUCGCUCGAUACAUUCCCACUCAAUGGCGAAACUCGCUUUUUUACUUGUUUGGUGAAAAUUAUGAUUUUUAGAAAAGACUUGGAGUUGCUACUUAUUUUUGUUUUAUUUUUUAAGGGAAAAACAUAUUUGUAAAAAAUCAAGUCUGGGCUUGGGGUCAAGUUACCUAUUGGAAAGGUAUGGUGGUGAGCCGUAACACCCCUCUAAGCCCGUAUAUAUACGGUCUUUACUAAAUAAUUAAGGGAAUUGUGACAAUUAACUAAUUAAUUAUGAUACCAAGAAAAAAUAAUUAAGCAAAUGAGUAUGUACAAGUCAUAGUAAAAUCAAUAUACACAAAAAUAAUGAUGAAAUCUAAUUACAAAAAUACACAAAAUAAAUAAUAAGUGAAUUAUGCAAAAUGAUUUAUUGAACUAAAAAAAUAUUUAAAAAAAUAGUUUUCAAGAAAUUUCAAAGUAUUUUAUUAAAAAUGAUUUUGAAUUAAUGAUUUCAAUUUAUUUAUUUACAAAAAAUAAUCAAUUUAUUUUAUCAAUUUCAUUUGCAUUUAAUUUUCAAAAAGAGUUAUUUACAUAUCAAAAAAAUUUCAUUUGACAACAAAAAUUAUUUUUAUUUGCUUUUAUUGAAAAUGAACGAUUUUUUACAAUUUUAUUUACAAAAGUAUUUCAAUUUGUUUUCAUUUAAGAAAAGUGAUUUAUACAAAUUAUUUAAAAAGACGUAACUUCAUAUGCAAAAUGAAUUUUAAUUCAAAAAAAGAAGAUUUAAAUCAUCUAUUUCUAAAAAAAUACUUUUAAACAAAGAAAUUUUUGGACAAUCAUUAUUCAAAACAAUAUUUCAAAUUCUAUUAAAAACAAUUUUUUUUUGGAUUUUUCUAAAAGCAUUUUUCUGAAUUUUUAUUAAUAAAAAAAACUUUCUUUUAUUUAAAAAAAUAUUUUCUGAACUAUCAUUUUAUUAAAACAUAUGUACUGAAUUAUUCCUCUUACUUAAACAAAAUUUCUAGUUUGUUCAAUGUUAAAUUUUGUACACACUCAAUAAAUAUAUACAAACGAAUAUUUACAAGAACUAAUAAAAAUAAAACCAAAUAAAAGUAGGAAAUAAAAUAUGUACCAAAAUAAACUUACAGCAAGCUUAAUGUCUUCCUACAACUUUUCGAGUUUCACUUUUUUUCAUGAAAUUUCGUGCUCCACGUAUCAUAAAUUUGUACUCAGCCAACGAGAUUACAGAAUGGGUCCAUGCAAAAACAAAAACAACACAAAUGUAAAUAUUCAAAAAUAUGUAGAGUCCAAAAUAAUUAUUCAAGCCCAAAUUCAAACUUCAAAUUAGUCCAAUAAAUUUCACCAAUUAAAAAUGGGUCUAAAUUAACAAACAUAACCCAACAAAAAUAUCCCACAUAUCAUAGACCCUAAUAUAAAAUUUUCAAAUUAAUAGCCAAAAUAUAAGUUCAAUUUAUCAAACCCAAAACAUGAUAAAUUAAGAUAAAUUUCAUUACGUCUAAAUUUAAUAUUCCAUAAUCCAAGCCUAAUUUAAUAUACACCAUAAUUAUCCCAUGUCUAAAUUAAAUAAUUCCAAUUGGCCAAGUCAUACCAAAUAUUCAAAUCACCCAAAAAUCUCACUCACGUUAUGGGCCUAAAAUUCACAUCAAUUAACAAGUCCACAUUAAUAAUAUAUAUAGCCAAAGGAAAUAAUAUUUCAAGUCCAAUCUACUAUGCCCAAACAAAUAACCAGUUAACAAGUCCACAUUAAUAAUAUAUAUAGCCAAAGGAAAUAAUAUAUCAAGCCUAAUCCAAUAAGCUCAAACAAAUAACCAAUUAACAAGCCUACAUUAAUAAUACACAUGGUCAAAGGAAAUAAUAUCUCAAGCUCAAUCCAAUAAGCCCAAACAAAUAACCAAUUAACAAGCCCACAUUAAUAAUAUAUAUAUAGCCAAAAGAAAUAAUAUAACAAACCCAAUCCAAUAAGAUCAAACAAAUAACCAAUUAACAAGCCCACAUUAAUAAUACACAUGACCAAAUGAAAUAAUAUAUCAAGCUCAAUCCAAUAAGCUCAAACAAACAACCAAUUAAAAAGUCCACAUUAAUAAUACACAUGGUCAAAGGAAAUAAUAUCUCAAACUCAAUCCAAUAAGCCCAAACAAAUAAUCAAUUAACAAGCUCACAUUAAUAAUAUAUAUAACCAAAGGAAAUAAUAUAUCAACCCUAAUCCAAUAAGCCCAAACAAAUAACCAAUAAGUAAUAGGCCAAAAUCCAAAUCAAUUGCUAUGCAAACCAAAAAUAAAAAAUAAAAUAAAGCAAAAAAGAAAUUUACCCAUUUUUUAAAAAACACUAUGGAUGGUCGAAUUGCUAGCCGACAAUGGUGGGAGUGGUUGGUCAGUGGUAUGGAGAAAAUGGGGGAAAGAGAAGAGAAAAAUGGAGAGAAUGGGGCGCUUGCCAAUGUGUUGUUGGGGGAGGAAAAUAAAAAAAGAAAAAUGGGGAAGAAAAAGUGGGGGGUCUUGGUGGGGUGUGGUGUUUGGGCAACCAAAAUAAAUAAAUAAAAUAAAAUAAAAUAAAUAAGUCAAGAAGAAUGGGAAAACAAAAAUGGGGGAUCCGACCGUGGUUGUUUGUGGAGUGAAAAAACUGGGAGAAGAGUUGAGAAAUGGAGAGAAGUUGGGGAGAUAGGGGCAGUCGACCACUAUGGGAGUAAGAGAGAAGAAGAAAAAAAAUCGAAGAGAUGAAAAAAAUGGAGAUGGCUCAUUGCUAUGUGGGUGUUUGAGGGGAGAUGUGGGCGUGUUGGAAGAAGAGAAAAUGUUGGAAGAAAAAAAAGAAUAAAGAUGCAAUGGGGGAAAAAUGGGAGUCGACCCACGUGAGAGUUAGGGGAGAGAGAAAAGAGUGGAAGAAUGGGGAAGGAGAAGAAUGGGGGGGCCGACCGGUGGGGAGUGUUGCAAAGAGAAAAGAAAAAAAAUUGGACAAGCUAUGGGGGUUGCCGUCCACCUUGCCUUGGGAAUAGGGGAGAAGAAAUAAAAAAAAUGAAAAAGAAAUGAUGAAGAGUGAAAAUGGAAAGCCUUUGGGCUCAAAAUUAAUGUAAAAAUAAAAUUUGGACAAAUUUUGGGGUCUACAAUAAUGCAAAAACUAUUUUGAAAAAUACUUUCUUAAAAAAUAUAUUAAUUUAAAUGAAUAAAAACUAUCUUUUACAUUUUAAAAGUAAAUAAUUUAAUGAUUAAAAUAAAUAUAUUCACUAUUUUCUUUUCUUUUAUACUAAAAAGCAUUUUAAUUUUUUUUUUUUUUUUUACUAUUCUAAACUAAAAGGUUUAAAUUUUCUUUUAAUCUCCUAUCUUCCUUAUUUUAAUAACUUUUGAACAUGACUUUUGGUAAUAAGUUAUAUAAAAUGUUUCAAGGAUUUUUCUAAAUUAUAUGAAUAUAUUCAAAUUUCACUUAAGGAAUUACUAUAGUGCCACAAAUUUCAUAAUUACAUGUUUUUUGCAUUAUCCGAUGGGACACACUAUCUCAAUCCCAUAAGAUAUCAUGAUGCCUCUAUUAAAAAUACUUGUUACCACCAGCAUCCAUUAAUAGUAACAUAAUCUAUAGGAAUAUAUGACUAUUUUAAGUUCUCACUCAUAUUUUAUACAACUCCUAAUACACCUAAAUCAUAUAUAAUGUAAGAGACAUAAGUUGAAUGCUCAAAUUAAUGUUAAUACACCAAAGAGAUAGCAAAGAGACAAUUAAGUCUAACUUUGUUACAUCAUGUUUUGCUUUUAAGGGUUCAAUUCCAAUAAACUUCCAUUAGCCCCAAAAAUAGACUAGGCAUCAUAGAAAGAUUCUGCUUCAAAAUCAAAUCAUCUUCCUCUAUUAUCUCACAAUAAAGUAACGCUUCUUUUUUAUGUGUUUCCUCUUCUAGUGGUACUUCAAUUCUUUAUAUUACACCACUGUGCCACUAUUAUUACAUAACAGGAUCUUAGAUAAUAUACCUAAGGGAACUACCCAUAAGCUAAAAUGCUUCCUUUGUUUCUAUAGAAGCAACAAAAACUACUUAGAGUGUACACAUGCCUAGAGGUAAACAUGCGAGAAUCCUUAUCAAAUUAAACGUCCAAUUCUCAGUACAAAAGGAGUACCAACUCAUCACAAAGACUCACAAACAUAUAAUAUAUCAUUCUCUAAAAACACAUAAGUAUAUGUUUGAUAUUCGCUCAAAGCUCUAAUAAGGAAAUUGACUAAUAUCCACUCAUUAUUCCUAAAGCAAAGAAAAUAUCUGGUCUAGGACAUAACAUUGCAUACUUAAGGCUACCCAUUGUAGAAGCAUAGGAUAUCACCUUAAUGAAAUAUCUUCCCACAAAUGUCCAAGUAUAUUGAUCUUGAGAAAAACGACUCUAAAUCCAAAAGGUAACAAACCUUCUUGAAGUUUUACAUCAUUUACUUGACCAAAUGCUCAUCAAAGUAGGUGAUUUGAUGCAGUUUUCUCAUUCUUGCAGUCCCAAAAUACCUUAACCUAAGAAUAUAUCACGUUUCUUUCUAGAUUUUCAUCUAGAAAUGGGUAGACUACUAGAUUUUAAUUGAUGAAAACAUCCCUACAUCAUAUCUAAUGAGUAGAUUAUCAUUUACUUACAAGAUCUUAGAGCAUCACCAUGCUUCCCGAUAAAUUCUUAUACACACACACAAGGCCUUUUGCUAUGAAAAUGUUUGAUUGUUGUAUCUCAUAAAUGAGACACACUGCGAUAAAUAAGAGUAAUUUGAUAGAGUUGAGUCUGACUAUUAUUGAAAAGGUUUUUUAUAAUUGAAACAAAGUUUCAAACUAUAACCUUUAGUUACAAUCUUAACCACAUAAGUCUCAAUCUAUCCAUCUACUCUAUGUUCUUCUUGUACACUAACUUACACCUAUGAGUUUUAUUCACUUUACCUAAUGAUUUUUCUAAAAAUACUUUAGGAAUUAUAUUUUUUUUUCAUAAGGAAUUUUUUUUUUUUGAAAAAAUAAUUUGGAAAUAAAAUUUUCUCUAGUAAGGAUUUUUUUUUUAAAUUCUUUUUUGGGAAUAUAUAUUUGAUUUUGACUUUAACGGUAAGUUGAGGAUGAAGCUAAAGUGUUAAUUUUUAACAAAUAAUAUUGGUAUUUAAAAAGUUUUAUUAAAUAUGAAAAUAAUUUUUGAGUAAGUCAAAGUAGAGUUUCCAUUAGAAACAAUAUUUUUUUGGCUUUGAUGUUAAGUUCCUUUAAACAAAAUUACCCAAAUAGACAUAGAACCUAUUAUUGAGCUUAAAAAAAAAAAAAAAAAAGUUUUUGACUUCCCAUAAAUUGAUCAAAAUAGGGCCCAAGAGUGAUAGAACAAUGGGUUUUAAAUUACAUCUCUAGCUAUGUUUGAUUGAUAACAAGUUUAAGAGAAAGAAAAAGAUUAAAAAAAAUUAUAAUUUAUUUUCCUUAUAGCAAAACCUUUAUAAAAUAAUACUCUUAAGAUGAAAAGAAAUUAUUCAUUUAGUGGGUUAUUAUAUGAUCGGCAUAUAUAUAAUUUAUUAAUUUGUCGAUAAAUACAUAUUUAUUAAUUUAUAAAGAGUAUAUAUGCUUUUAUUGAUUAAUACUUAUAAAUAUAAAAACAAUGGAUAUGGCAAAUAGUUAACACAUUAGAAGCCUAAGAAAGUAAAAAAAAAAUGGUUAUUAAUUGCAAAAGAUUGAAAGACUCCUAAAAACGAAAAUGCGAUAUCAAAACUUAGUAUCUUCAAAGAUAAAAGAGGUUUUAAGUAUGGAAUGAUUCGAGAAUUAGAGAAUUGAGAAAAAUGAAAGUUAUAAAAGUUACUAUAUAUAUAUCAUUAUUAAUUUAUAUUUUUUUUUGGGUCCUUGAGGACUUCUCAAAAUAUUAUUAUUUUAUACAUUUAGCGAGGUCUAUUAAUUUAAUAAAUUGACUUAUGUUAGGAUUAGAGGAUUUUAUUAUCUAAACAAGGUUAUUAAUUUAUCAAACAUUCAUUUAACAAGGUUUUAUUGCAUUCAAUUGUCCAUAAAAAAGGUUGAGGAAGAGAAAAUAAAUUUUUGAACAAUGCACUUUACUUUUCUUUCAUGGUAUAAAAAUAUAAGUAAAUUUUCUUUAUAAUUUUUUCCUUAGGACUUUGCAAGAACCAAAUAUCGCAUAGAGGGUAUAUAUUUUUAAUUUUAUUUUUCUAUUUUUUAUUUUUAUAUCUUUCCAUUAAUAAUCGUAGUUUUAAUUUUAUUUUUAUUAUUGAUGGUCUAUGAAUUUUAAAAUAUAAUUUUUUCAUUUAUAAAAAAAUUAAAAAUUAUCUUAAAUAAAACUAAUAUUUGAAACGUAUUUAUAUAAAAUUUAUUUAAAUUUAUUUAAAGAUUUUUUUAAAAAAAAAUUAUUAUAAACCCUCAUUUUUUUGUCAAGUUUUUUUUUAUUAUUUUUGGAGCCCUUUGCUGGUAGUAUGUUUUGGAGUGGGGGACGACUUCUAUGGUUUCCAGGUGAGCUACAUGCAUGGGACAUGUGCCAAGGACACCACCACCACACCAUGGUGGUGGUUGAGAUGGGGACUCCUUCUGAAUAGAUGACAAAGGAGUGGGUGGUGAGCAGUAAAGCUGGUGAAAGGUUGGAGAGGAAGAAAAAACCAAGCUGGGAAGUAAAAGAAGAGAGGAAGAAAGCUGGACGAGGGGAAGAUUUCGGGAAGGAAAACAGAGCAUGAGGGAGAAGGUUUUUCAGUAGGGUUUUUUUGGAAGAAAAAUGUGUAGCAGCUUGAGAGAAGGGUUAGAAGCGGAGAAGGAGUGUACGAGACUGUAAGAGAGAGCUGCAUGAAGGGAGUAGCACAUGUAUGUUUUCUAUAACCUACCUGUUCUUUCUUUUUCACAUGGUCUUGUUGGAUUUGAGUUUGUUUGCAUGCAUUUUUAUGCUUGAUUUCUAAUCUAUUUCCUUGGCCCUGUUUUGAGAUCCUAUAUGAAAUGCUUGCAAGAUUUCCAUUUGAAACCCAUUUGAACUCCAUUUUGGAUCUCUCUCCACUUCACAAUAGUAACAAAGCUACCAUUUCCCAUCAACCUAUUUCUCUUUCCAUCAUUGCCACUCUCUCACCUGAGCUUUGCACCCCCACCCAUCAUUUUCUAGCAUUCAGCUACAAUUAGUGGAUGUUUAGGCCAUGCCAAAAGCGAAAUAUAGAAAACGGAGAAGGACAGCCCAAGCCAAGCAACAAUUUUCUUCCUCACGUACCUCGUCGAAGUUGUCUUCAAGUUAAGAUGAUGUUUCAAUCCCGAGCGCUUCUCUCUACACUGUCGGUGAUAACCAGCACACCAUUUUCUUUUACCUUUCUCACGAAGUGAUCGACAACGCCAUUGAUGAGAACUCCAAGUUGAUCUCUCUUAAUUUGAAAUGGCUUGAGCUGCGUUUGAGAGAAGUUUGGCUCAAAACUUGCAUUUCGAGCUUUGAACCAUUUCGAGCCUUGAAAACUCCAUUUCCAGCUCUACAGGUUUCGGUGUAGCUGGAGAAGCAGGUUUGCAGUUGGAAAUUUGCAUCCUUUUGCGUUUUGCAUGAGCGUUAGCAGCCCUCACCACUGUUUUCUCACCAACUCAUUUCCUUUCUUUCCCAUGUACACGCCAUUCACAUGCAUGGCCACCUUAGCAUAUGUGACCAAUUGCCUUCCAGACUUCCAGCUUGCUGCUAAGUCUUUACAGGAUCAAAUGUUGUUAGACACCUUGCUGGUACCAUUUCUGAUGAGUGCUUUUCUGAUGACAACACUAUGCACGGUUGGAAAUAAUGUUAAUAGCCAUUAGUGCUGCAUAGAAUAUUAUGUUUCAUGGAAUAAGGCAAGUUUAAGGAGAUCCAUAAAGGUUGAAAAGGCUAUUUAGAAUCCCACUUUUGUGAAAAGUCUAGCGGAAAUUUGGUCCAAUGGAUUUUUCGGCAUAUAAAAAUGAAAUAUGAUUACCUCAAAUUGAUUACUUGCAACCAACUAUUGGGUAGUCUUCAGGACCAUCACAGCAGCUCCAACAUAUGUCCACACUGGCAAACUCAAGCUCGUGGAUCAAAGCAGCCACCUUCCAUCCUGAGCCCACACUUUGCAUGGCCACCUUUGGCAUGCAAUCUCACCACCACAUUUCAUCAUUUUAAUUCUUCAUAUUUUAAUACCAAAGUUUAAUUUUCCAAAUUUUCAAUUUUUAAAUUUAAUUUCCAAAACUUCUAUUUUCAAAUAGUUGUCCAAAAUUCCGAUUUUUAAAUAUUUUUCGAAACUUCAAUUCCUUAAUUUGAUCUUCAAAAAUUUAAUUUUCAAAACUCCAAUUUCUUUCAAAUUUAAUUUCCAAAACUCCAAUUCCUAAAUUUAAUUUUCAAAACUCCAAUUCUCAAAUAAUUUUCAAAAUUCCAAUUUCUUUCAAAUUUAAUUUCCAAAACUCCAAUUCCUAAAUUUAAUUUUCAAAACUCCAAUUCUCAAAAUAAGUUUCAAAAUUCCAAUUUCUUUCAAAUUUAAUUUCUAAAACUCCAAUUCUUAAAUUUAACUUUCAAAACUCCAAUUCUCAAAUAAUUUUCAAAAUUCCAAUUUCUUUCAAAUUUAAUUUCCAAAAUUCCAAUUCUUAAAUUUAAUUUUCAAAACUCCAAUUUUCAAAUAGUUUUCGAAACUUCAAUUUUCAAAACUCUAGUUUUCUUUCAAAUAAUUUUAAUUUCACUCCAAUUUUCAAAUAUUUUUUAAUUCUAUCACUUUUCAUCCUUCAUUAGGGUUUUAAGUCACUAAGAAUCCCGUUUUUUUUUUUUUAAAUAAACUUGUUACCUUUCCUUUCAGGUAAGCAUUUUUCUCAAAGUUUCUUUGAUUUUAAAAUAAUUUUUCGUUCUCCUUUAUUUUUAUUAAGUAUGAAUGAAUUUUCGUAACUCCAGAAACAAUGGAAUUUAUGAGAUUAAUUCAUGCAAAAUCUAUUGGGCUUUGGUGGGAGCCCUAUAGAUGAGCUCCCUCUUUCAAGUGUCAAUUGUUAUGCUUAACGAAUAUUAUCUGAUCUUUGUUCUUGCUCUUUGAUAUGUAUACGAUAAUUUUGUGUUUGAGCUAACCUUGUUUCCAUGAUAGCGUUUUAUUAUCUACUGGUAUGCUCUCACUCUCACUUUGUUUAUUUAUUCAUUAUCAUGACUUGCUUUUGAUCUAUGAUCAUUUUGGUAUCCAUCAAUCUCCUAGUUAAUUGUCAUGUUUGCCUCACUUUAUUUAGUAAAGGCUCGUUUCUAAUGGGCUUAAAGGGGUGUUAUGGUCUUUACCGUACCUUUCCAAUAAGUAACCUGACCCCCGAACCUAGGUUUGGUUUUUCACAGAUCUUUUUUUCCAAAUAAUGAGUCACACUUAGGGUUCUCUUUCUUAUUUUGUUUUUCCUUUAAAAAUAAAACAAAAAUAUGUGGUGACUUCAAGUCAUUAUCUAAAAAAAUAAUUCAUUUUCAAAUAAAAAACGAGUUUCGUCAUUGAAUAGGAAUGUAUAGUGCGAAAUACGGGGUCCAUAAUAUAUAUGUCCUAACAUUAUGAUUGGGAAAAAAAUAUAUUUAUACAAGAUUUAUUUAAAAAUUAUCUUAAAGGAAACAAUAUUUUUUUUGUGAAAAAAUAUAUCUCAUAAUAUGGUGACUAAUAUAGGUAAAAUGGAAUUAUAUAAGAUUUAUUUAGUAUAAAAUUUAUAUUGUUGUAACUUGCAAUAUAAAAAUACAAAUUUUCACUCCCAAAAUUUGAUAUUUUACUCUGAAUAUAUCCAAGUCCGCUUCCAAUAGUUGAAUAACAUUUUAAAUGAGAUGUCAAAUGCUCCCAUAACCAACUAAAGAGGUUGAAUCAUAAAUGGAGUAGUAUUUUGAAUUUUUUAAUCAUUAGUGUAGUUAAAUAGUUUUUUAUCUUUGGAUUACUUAUAAAAUUAUAUAUUACUACAAUCUAAAAAAUAUUAAUUAUAUGUUAUUUUAAUUUUACUCUUAUUUAGUAUAUUAUAACCAUAUUGUCUUCUAUAAAUGAAUUCAUAGUAUAUGUUCUCGUUAACACUGGAUCUUGUUAAAUACUUCUAUUCUGAAGAUAUAUAUAACUCAAUCUUACUCAACUUAAAUCAUAGCAUUGUGAUAAAAUAAUGAUGAUAUAAACAAUGUCGUAAUUCUGUCCAACCAAUAUUCAAGUUCUGCCCUCUAAUGUGUAGUUAAAUUUCUAUAUAAUAAUAAUGAAUUAUUAUAUUUAAUGUGUAAAAAAAUCAAAUAUAAUUCAAUUUAAAAAAAAUAUACAGAUUUUUAUAUUAUUUAAUCUUUAUAUAUAUAUAAAAAAAGUGAAAUAAGUUUAAAGAAGUAUGUAAAAAAUAAUUUAUUUACUUUAAAUUUAUUUUCUAUUUUCCUUCUUUUUUUUUUCUUUCCUUUUAUUUUUUUCUCACCAUUGUUGUCUCUCACAUUUUCCUUCAAAUUUUUCAAAAACAUAGCAUGGCCUUAGGCUAUGUUUGGUUGUUAGGAAAUUUGAAGAAAAAUGUGAGAGAAAGAAAAUAGAGAGGAAAAGUGGAAGAAAAGAAAAAGUUAAGGAAAAUAAAAAAUAUAUUUAAAUUUAAUAAAUUAUUUUAACAUGUUUUUUCAAAUUCAUUUCAUUUAUUUUUCUCAAAGAUUAAAUCAUUUUAAAAUAUAUAAAUUUUUAAUUAAUUUUAAUUAUAUUUGAUUUUUUUUUUCAUAUUUUUCAUAGUAAAACUAAAAAUGAAAAAAUCAAUUUCUUUUAUGUUAUGUUUGGUUCAUAAAAAAACACUAAAGAAAAGAAAAAAAAAUGUUAAAAAAAAUUAUUUUCUCAUAAUUAUAUUAUGAAAAAGAAUUAAAGAAAAUCAAAUAUAACUAAAAUUAGUAAAAAAAAAACUUAUAUAUUUUUAAAUUAUUUAAUAUUUAUAUAGAAGAGUUCAAAUAAAUGAAUUGAGUUUGGAGUAGUAAAUAAAAAUAAUUUAUUGAUUUUAAACCUAAUUUUUAUUUUUCCUUCAAAUUUUUUUUCUUCUACUUUUUACUUUUAAGAGCCAAGUAUAAUCAUAAAGUUUUUGUAAUCAUUCCUUUCUCAAAUUUAUUUCUUGCACCACUUAUAUUUUCCUAAUAGUAUAUUAAUCAAGAAGAAAAAAAAAUGUUAUUUUUCAUAUUGGUGGAAAGUCUUGAAAUACAAAGUGAGAAAACAAAAAAAAAAUGAAGAAGCUGGGAUGUAAAACAUUUUAAGAGUAACUUUAUUAAAUAUUUAAAAAAAAAUUAAUGUGAAAUUUUGAUAAAAUUUUUUGUACUCCACGUGGUCUAAUACCAUUAAAAGUUUGUACCAUGUUGGUACGAUGGAUGUACCUUCUCCCUUUGAAAAUUGAUUGGAGACUUUCCUUCCUCCAAUCAUGAAGCAAAUUCUUUGAAGCUUCAGGCCAAGAAAAGACCAUUCAAAGAAUACGUUUGACUAAGCUACACGGCUUGGAAUUGAUCAAACUCAUCAGAAUUUUUAAAAGUACACAAAAGCGUAGCCUCCUAUAAAUGUGUCCAACCGUCCAUGGUUGUAUCACAGCUUAGAAAGAAAAGAUGGUAAGUUCGAUGGCAUUUUGUGUUGGCAGUGGCGGCGUCGAUGGUCAUGGUGGUGGUGGUGGUGGUGGCGGUGGAGGAGAGCAAGUGGACACGGUGGCUCUGACCCGUAAGUCGCUAUUCUUCCUUUGCAUGUCCGUUACACUGUUGGUGCUAGUGGUGGCGAUAGUGGUGCCGUUGAUGAUUUGAGGGAGGAUGAUGGUGGUGGUGGUGGCACCGGCUGCGGCGAAAUGUAUAAUCAUUCUUUUCAUAUCGAAGUUUAUAAAUAGCAUGGAUGUAUAUGGAUUCUUUGUAGGAAUAGUGUAAAUAAUUUUUAUUUUUAUUUUUGAAAAGAGUCAUAUUGGAAAUUAUUUUUAUUUUAUUUUAUAUUAUUAGUGUUUUGUUUUUUUUUUUGAAGAAUCCUAUUAGGAUUGUGCUAGUGGAGUCUCAUUCCUCUUACAAGUAAAAUCCCCUUCCACUUUGAGUAUUGUUUUGAUUACAAAUAUAUUCUCGUUGGGACUUUGUUAAUGGUCUAUAAAAGCAGGUCACUCCUCACUCUUUAUAUAUGAAUACCAAUUUUUCAGAGAGUUUUUCAAGGGGUAUUUUCAUACAUCUAUCUGGAUGAAUUUUUUCAAAACCCGAGUUGUACACAUCUCACUUAUAGAGUGCACCCAAUAUGAGAUCUGACUGUUGAAUUCUAGAGGUAAACCACUGGUGUCCUAGUGCAACGAGUUCGUUUUUGAGGAUGGUAGAUCUAUUUCAAGAAUAGUGUUUGUCACGCCUCAACCGACAAGUUUUUCUUCUUAUUCAUUAUGUUAUUUGCUUGUAUCUUUUGGGCUAGUCUUUUGUUUCCAUACCCUUAAAUCCAACAAUCUUGAAAUAAAUCCAAAUGGAAGCUUCCCUAGUUCACACCCGUCCUAACACCUCUAAAAUUGAUCCCUUCAACGAGACAUUCUUUAAGAGACGACAAGAAAGAGUUUUCUCUACAAUUCAUAUAGUGAAUUUGGGACACAUUUUGACUGACCUAAAACAUUUGAUGCAAUGUUGGUAAGUUCAAGAGUACCCUUGAACUUGUGGGGGGAAGCAAUCCUAUCCACAUGUUAUAUUUAAAAUAUAAUACCUUACAAGAAAUUCCUAGGUUUUAAGUUUGAAAUGAAAGACCUAGGAAAGGCAGAGGUGAUUCUAGGAAUUAAAAUAACUAGAACACCCAAUGGGCUUAAACUUUCUCAAGAGCACUAUGUUGAAAAAAUCCUAAGGAAGUUUGAACACCUUGAUUGUAAACUAAUGUCAACUCCUUAUGAUCCCAGCUCACAACUGAAGAAAAAUAGAGAGCAUAGUGUUGCCCAAAUAGAGUUUGCUCAGAACAUAGGGAGCCUAAUGUACUUAAUGAACUGUACCAGACCUAACAUUGCUUAUGUAGUAGGUAGAUUGAGUCAGUACACCUAAAGUCCUAAUCAGGACCAUAGGAUUGUUGUUCUUAGAGUUCUUAAGUAUUUGAGAGGCACCAUUAACUAUGGAUUGUGCUUUAAUGGAUUUCCAAGUGUCCUUGAAGGAUUUAAUGAUGCAAAGUGGAUAUCAGAUUCAGAUGAGAUGAAAUCCACUAGUGGAUAUGCUUUCAUACUUGGUGGAAAUGAAGUUUCUUGGAAGUCUACUAAGCAAACUUGCAUUACUCGGUCUACUGUGGAGGUUGAGUUUAUUGCCUUAGAAAAGGCAAGUUCUGAGGCUGAGUGGCUUAGAAACCUCUUAGCAGAUAUCCCUUUAUGGACUAGACCAACCUCGUUCGUGUCUAUGCAUUGUGAUAGUCAAGCUGCAAUUGUUAAGGCUAAGAGUAAAAUAUUUAAUGAGAAUAACAGGCAUAUACGCCAAAUGCACAAUAUUGUGUGGCAACUGCUUGAAACAGGGGUUAUGUCCCUAGAAUUUAUGAGGUCAGAGUUGAAUUUGGUCAAUCCUUUGAUCAAACCACUAAAUAAGAAACUAGUGGAAGAAACAUCGAGGGGGGUAGGGCUUAUGCCUAUUACAGAAGUCAAGAGUGGUGGUAACCCAACCUAUUAGAAUGGAAAUUCCAUGAAGUAGGUUCAUAUGGGUAAUAACAAAUCACUUGUUGACUUGAGGUGUUCUAUGAACUCUAAUUGUACAAAAGUCUAUCCCUAUGGUGUAGAGGUUGAGUGUUUACUCUUAAUGAGUACUAUAUUCCUUAUGGAUGGUAUGUUUAAAUGCAGAACAUACUUGAUGGAUUCACCUAUAUGAGAGUGAAGGUGGGGUCACUUCCUAUGAGAACUUAGGUAGCUUCUCUAGAACUGUCAUGAAUAUCCAGGUAGGGCGCAUGGCCCAUUUGUGCUAACCCAUUUUGCACAGCUCGUAGUGAAGUUAAGAAAACCAAUGUGGAUAAAAGUCCCUUGAGUUACAUCAACAACACUGGUUCAUAGAAAUUUAUUUUCAUCGUGUUUUGUGAUUCAAUACUUAUUUGUCCUAAAACUGGUUCAUAGCCUUUGGGCACCAGUAUUGAUGCAUUGGAUUCUUUUUUCCUCCAAAAAAAAAAAAAAUACAUUUACACUCUGUGGGGGAUUGUAGGAAAAGUGUAAAUAAUUUUUAUUUUUAUUUUUGGGAAAAGUACUAUUGGGAAUUAUUUUUAUUUUAUUUUAUUCUAUUAGUGUUAUAUUUUUGGGAAGAGUCCUAUUGGGAUUGUGCUAGUGGAGUCUCAUUCCUUUUAUAAGUAGAAUCCGCUUCCACUUUGAGUCUUAUUCUGAUUACAAGUAAAUUCCCAUUGGGACCCCUCACUCUCUAUAUAUGAAUGCCAAUUUUUCAGAGAUUUUUUCAGAGUUUUUCGGGGAGUAUUUUCAUACAUUUAUCUGGAGGAAUUUUUUCAAAACUCAAGUUGUACACAUCUCGCUUACAGAGUGCAUCCAAGGCAAGAUUUGGUUGUUGAAUCUUGGAGGUAGACCGCUGGUACCCUAAUGCACCGAGUUCGUCUUCGAGGAGGGUGGAUCUAUUUUAAGGACGGUGUUUGUCACACCUCAGCCGAUAAGUUUUUCUUCUUAUUAAUUCUAUACUUUGUUUGUGUCUUUUGGGCUAGUCUUUUGUUUCCAUACCCUUAAAUCCAACAUUUUUUGCAUUUUUUUUUCUUUUCAUAAAUAGCAUGUUAGAAGUUUUUCAGCUUUCAUACCAAAAUAAAAAGAGGUUAGGGCAUGUUUGUUAAUUGUGUUAGAAAUAGUUCUUUAUAUUUUAAUUCAAAAAUAUAGAGAAACGUAUUUGAUAAUCAUAAAAUAUUUUCUAUUCUUAAAAAUGAAAAUCACCGAAAAAUAUGAUAUUUCUAAUAACAUGUUUUAGUCAUUUUCACUUUUUUUUAGAAUUGUUUUAAAAAAUAAUAAGAUAAAUAUGAAGUUUGGAGAUUGUUUUAAAAAUAAUAAGAUAGAUAGAGAUGAAGAGUAAUUGAAAUGGAGCAAGGAAACAAGUAGUUUUCAAUCCAUAUAUACCCAAGAAAACAAGAAAAUAAUGUAAAACAUUCUUUUACAUUUAAUGUGUAUUUGGUAAAUCAAUUGAAUAAUUUAAAGUGACUUAAUAACUUAAAUUAAACAUGUUUGAUAAAAUAACUUUAUUGCAUGACUUACAAUAAAAAAUAACUUUAAGUAAUAAUUAAAUGUCUACAGUUUCAUUUUAUCUAUUUACUUUAUUUGCCGUAAUUAUCUCUACGAUCUCCUUUACUACUCCACAAACCUCAUUGUCACUUAAAAUUUUUUGCCUUAGUUAUAAUUUAUGAUGAUAAAUAUAUCAAUUUGAUGGUUUAAAAUAUAUUUUAAAUUAUUAAAUAACCUUAAUACUUAAAGUAAGAAUUAAGUAAUAAUUUUUAAAUUAAUAAUUUAAAUAUAAUUUAAUUUAAAGUCAAUUUAAGUCAAUAAUAAGUAUUAAGUUUUACCAAACACCCCUUUAAUAUCUCAUUCUAACUUAUCUACAUCUAUACAUGGAGAUACGUGUUCCAAACCCUCAGGUAUUCAAGAAAAGAGUCAAUUAUCCAUUCUUCAUUAAUUAAAAAAUAUAGAAUAAAAUACAAAAAAUUAACUAAAAUAUUCCUCAACAAAAACAAGUUUAUCAGACAUCCAUGGCUAGAGUAUGUUAAAACUAGGGUUUUUUUUUAAUUAGAGUAACUUAUUGUAGUUUAAAAGAGUGGUCAAAGUAGGCACAAAGCGAGAUUAAAUACUAAUUGUGAUUUGGAGGUGCUUUCAAAAAAUGAAAGAGUAUUAAAAUGUCAUAAAAUUAGGGAAAAAAUAUACGGAUACACCAAGCAUGAGUUCAUGAGAUGUUGUAUUGGCUUCCAAGCAUGUACAAUCUUCCACAUUAGAAAGAAAUCAACCAUGACUGUGAGUCCUUCUCAAACUAAAUGGAUUUAAAGAAUAAUCAAGAAAUACUCUCUUACACAGAUAGAUAAAGGUUGGUUUCGACUACAAUCUUAACAUAAAGUUCUCAUAUGGCUAUCUUUAUACUAGUUUUGAUAGUCUCUUUUGAGACCUUAAUGUUAAAAGCAAUGUUUAAAGUUUAAACUCAACUUUUAAGAGCGUAUGAAUGGAACUUUCAAUCUUGAGUAUGAUAUUUCUAGAUUUAAUUUAUCUAUAUUUUAAAAAGGUUAAAGAAAAAAAAAACCAACCUUACGUUUUUUUUAUCAAACAUAAUGAGAGUAAUAGAUUUUAUUUAAUUUAUUUUUUAAAAAUAUUAUCUAAUUUAUCUUUAUCUUUAUCUUUAAUAAAAAUAUUUUUAAAAUACAGUUUUCAAGCAUAAAAGUCAAUUAUGGUGCAAUACUGAUUACAACCUCAGUGCAAUAAAAAUUUAGGUGUUUAGUAAAUCAAUUUAAUAACUUAAAGUGAUUUAAUGACUUAAUUUAUUUCAAUCUUAAUUUUUUUAAAUAUAAUUUUAUAUUUAAGUAAAAAUAAAUUAACUAUUUUGACUUAAUACUUAAAAUUAUUUUUAACUUUAAGUUGUGAUAUUAAAUUAUUUUAAUAAAUAUAUUUAACCUAUUUAACUAUUUAAAUUAAGUUAUUAAGUCAUUAAAUUAUUUUAUCAACCCAACCUCCAAAUAGACUUUUGUCAUUGCACACCGGAUUUGAAUCUUUGGAACUUCUUUGAAACUUCCAAAUAGGUCGAAAGAAUUGAGAUUGUUAAUACAAGGAAAGAUUAUUCAAGGUUUGAGGAAGCAACAUGGCUUAAGAUUCAAAUCAAGAAAAUUAUAUGAAAAUAAUGAAGUAUAAAACAAAAUAAAUACAAGUUUUUGAAUUAUCAUUAUUUUAAAACAAAGAGAAAAAAAAAAGUGAAGAAGCUUGAUUGUAAAAUAUUUCAACAGAAAUUUUUUAAUUAAAUAAUUUUUAAAACUUAAAUUUUUAAUAUAAAAAUCUUACAUUAAAAUUUUUUAUUCCUCGUGGUCUAAUACCAUAUCAAAAGGUUGUACCAUACUGGUACGAUGGAUGUACUUUCUCCCAUUGAAAAUUGAUCUAAUUGAAGAAGAUAAAGACACGAGACUUUGUUCCUUCAAUAUCAUGAAAAGUCUCCUCUCUCUCUCUCUCUCUCUAAUUGACGAGGGUUUUCUCAUGACAAGAAAUGUAAGCUACACCUACACGGCUUGGAAUUGAUCAAGCCCAUCAAAAUUUUGAUAAUGACGCCAAGAAUGCGACCUGUGAAUGUGUCCAAUCUUCUAUGGUUGUAGCAUAGAAUAUUAGAAAGAAAAGAUGGCAAGAGGUUUGAUGGCACUAGAUGGUGGUGGUGGUGGUGGUGGUGGUAGUGGUGGAGAGCAUUUGGGCACGGUGGCUUCAAGCUCUGGGGCGGCCCUGUUCUUGCUUUGUAUGAUCAUUAUGUCCCUCUCUAUUAUUUCCAUAUAUGGUCAUAUUUGGUGGUGUUAGUAAGGCUUCUACUUCAGCUCGCAAGGAAAAAGAGGUGGUGAUGAGGGUGGUUCGAGAUGGUCAGGGUGGUGAGGGUAGUGAUGGUGGUGGUGUUGGUGAUGGUGGUGAGAGUGGUGGUGGUGGCGGUGGCGGUGGUGGUGAUGGUGGUUGCGGUGGUGAAGACAAUUGUAGUGGUUGUUUUUCUCUUUGUUGUGGAGAUGGUGGAUGUUUUGACUGUUGUUGAGCAGAUGGUUGUGGUGAUGGCGGAUAACCAUCACGUUCUCAGCAAGGGCAGCAACUGCACCGAUUGAAUCCCACCAGAAUGCAUACGUUAUUUAGUUUUAUUUUAGAAUAUCAAGGUACUACCAGUAUAAAAGCGUUAUCCAAAUUUAUUUUUAAAAACUAUUUUUUAUUUUUUAACUUAAAAAACAAAUUUAAGAAAACAUGAUCAAUUUAAACUCAUGUUUUUCUUUUAUUUUUAAAAAUGGUUAAAAACGAUUCAACUAUUUUUCUAAAAAUUAUUCUCUAUUUAACUUUAUUUUAAAAAAUUAUUUCUAAAAAAUAAUAGUUAAAUAAUAUUAUAAAUUUUUAAAUAUAUAAAGUUGUUUUUAAAUCACACGGAUAGACUUUAAUUUUAUUAAAUUAUUAUUACUUAAAAAAAUGUGAAAAAGAAUCUUUAAUGAAUUUUAUUUUGUAGAACUUUCUAAUCAAGCAAGAAACGAUUUUGUUGAAUAAGAAUUUUAAUGGUAACCACAUGAAACAAAAAAAAAAUUGUUUUUAAAAUAUUUUAUAAUUUCUCACGUGAUUUCAAUUUUCUUCAACAAAGAAAAAAAGGUUUUUUAUAAUAAAAAAAUUCAAUUUGAAUUUUCAAAUUUAAUGUUAUGUCAAUGUUUUAAAUUUUUUUUAUUUUUAUGUAGCUGCUUUAAAUUGACGAUUGGAAGUGAAUAAAAAAAAUUAUUUUUCUCUUAUUGUCUAUUUUUUUAUAACUAUUAAGAAUGGGAUUCGCUAAAUAAUUUUCAAAUACCUGAGAAAUAGAAAAUAAAAUAAAAUAUCUCGUCUUAAGUAUCAUUUAUUCAUCACAUGAGCCUAAUUUUGAAUUAGAGGUUCAUUUCGAUUUAUUAUUUUUAUUUGUCUAAUUUUAAUUAUAUUUGAUUUAAUUUUAUAAUAUUUUAUAGUGAAACCAACUAUAAGAAUAUUUUUUUAUAUAAUUUUACUUUUUCUUUCUUUAGAUAUACUUUCUAGAAUAAGAAAUAACAAUAUGUGCGAAAAAAAAGAAAGAAUUUUGAUUAAAAUUUUUCUUUAAUAUAAGAUUAUGUUUAAUCAUGUGAUUUAAAAACAGUUUUUUGUUUUUAAAAAUAAAAAAUUAUUUUAAAAAAAAUUUAAUACCGUUUUACUAUUGUUCUUUAGAAAUAAUUUUUAAAAAUAAAGUGAAAUAGAAAAUGACUUUUAAAGAAUAAUGAGGAGCUUUUGUUAUCUGUUUUUAAAAAUAAUAGGAAAACAUGAGUCUAUUUAAUAAUGUUUUUUGAAAUUUGUUUUUAAAAAUAAUUUUUAAGUUAAAAGAAUAAAAAAUAAUUUUUAAAGGAGGAAACAUUAACAUACCAACAGUAAAAUUUUCACAAGUACGCUUGACAAUCACAUGGUCCAAUUCCAUUAAAAAUUGUAGCGGCUUGGUAAGAUGGAUGGACUUCCUAGUUUUGAAAACUAAUCAAUGUAACAAACCUUCAUCCCCAAGUAUAUAGACGCAGGGGCCUUGGAAUUUUCUUUGAAGCUUAAGAUUAAUAAGAUUUUUUAGGACAAAGAAAAACUAUUCAAACGCUAAGGUUGAGUGAGCCACACGACUCAUCAAAAUUUUGAAAAUUACACCUAGCCUGACCUUAGCCUAUAAAUAUGUCCAAUCUUCUACAACUAUAGCAUAGAUUAGAAAGAAACGAUGGCAAGAGUUUUGAUGGCAGUAGGCGGUGGAGGGGAAGUGGGCAUGAUGGCUUCGAGCUCUGGGGCUCUCUUUUUGCUUUGCAUGGUCGUUAUGUCCCUCUCAAUUCUAUCCAUGGUCAUAUUUGCUUGCGGUGAAUCUUCUAGUACUCCACAUCCCAAGAAAAGACGCCAUGGUGGAGGUGGAGGUGGAGAUGGUGGUGGUUGUGGAGGUGGCGGUGGAGGUGGAGAUGGAGGUGGAGGUGGAGGUUGCUGAAGAAAAAGCAAAAUAGUUUUUACUCAAAAUAUCCUACAAAUGUCAUAGAAUGGCCUUUUUCUUAUGAAAUAAACCUCAAAAUUAUUGUCUUCAAUGUUAGAAUCCAUGUGAGCAAGUCCUAGUAGAGGUCGAUGUAUUUGUUGGUAUUUUCUUUGUAUUGAACAUUAUUUAAUAAUAUAUAUAUGAUUGUCUUUAUCUUCUGUUUCCUUUUUAUAAAUAGCAUGAAUGUAAACAAGAUUUCAUCUUUUACAAAGUCCCUUUGACAACCGCAUGGUCCAAUACCAUUAAAAACUGUGGCAGCUUGAUAAGAUGGAUGGACUUCUUCCUAGUUUUGAAAAUGAAUCAAUUUAACAAACCUUCAUCCCCAGUAUAUAGACAAGAGGAUCAAGACCUGAGAUUUUCUGUUCCUUAUCAUGAAAAGUCAGCAUCAACAGCCAUUGUUUCUUCAUAACUUGCCGACCUCUCAAGCUUGAGAUAAAAAAAUCAAAUUUUCUUUAAAGCUUCAGAUUGAGAUUAGCAAGAUGUCUUGAGGACAAAGGAAACUUGAGUGAGCCACACGGCUUGGAGUUGACAAAAAAAAUCAAAAUUUUAAAUGUCCCAUCUUCUACAACUGUAGUAGAAAUAAUGGCAAGAGGUUUGAUGGUAGAAGCCUAGAAGGCGGUUGAGGAGAAGUGGGUAUGAUGGCUUCAAACUCCCUUACAGGUCUGCAUGGUGGCUAAAGGAUUGAAAUUUCGGUGUAUGCGUAAUUGAAUUUUACGCGUAUAUAUAUAUAUAUAUAUAUAUAUAUAUAUAUAUAUAUAUAUGUAUCGAUCAAAUAAAAUUGAUUUAAAAUUUAUGAAAGUGUUUAAAAAAAUAAUAAAAUAAAAAAUAAUAUAUAUAUUAAAAUUAUUUUAUAAAUAUAAUUACCAUAAAUAUAAUUAAAUAUAAUAUUUAUCAAAUUAUUAUAAAAAAAAAAUUAGCUUUAAUUUCUUUAAUAUAUUUAUAUUCAUUUAUUUUAAAAUUUUAAAAAUAUUUUUAUUAAAAUAUGUUUUAUUAUAUUUUAAUUUUUUAUAAAAUAUUUUAUUUGAGAUUUAAUUUUUAAAAUUUCAUUAUAAAUAUCUCGGGACAAUUUUUCUAUUAACAUUAAUUUAUUUAAAUAAUAAAAAUUAUUAAUAAUUUAUCUUAUCAAAUUAAUUUCACUUUAUAAAAUAUGAUAAUUUUAUUAUUUUUUUUAUAUUGUGGUAAUUUUUUAAAUAAAAUUAUAUUUUUAAUAUUUUAAUAUAAAAAUAUUUAAAAUUAAAUAAAAUUAAAAGGAUAAAUAAAAAAAUUAAGAGUGAAGUGAUAGUAAUUUUUAAAAAUAGAAUUAAUGAGAUAAAUAUGAAAAGUAGUUAAAAAUAAAAAGAUAAUAUAAAAUAAAAUGAUAAUAUAAAUUUAAAAUAAAAUAUAAAUUUAAAAUAAAUAAUUUAAAAAUCAAAGAACUUGGUAAAUAUUAACAAAAAAAACUUGGGUUUCUUGAAAAGUCUCAAAAAUAAUUGCUCAAAAUUGAACAAUUUUUUUGGGAAAAAACCUCCUCCACGUGUGUUUUUCGGCAAAAUUUGAGUUUUUUUUAUAGCGAAAUUUCAAUUUUUACUGAAAUAUCGGCUAUAUUGUCAUAUUUCCCAUUUUUUUGGCAACAAACCUCCGAUAUCUAAUUUCGUCGAUAUUUCAAUGAAAUAUCCCGAAAUUUCAAUCCUUAAUCCCUCUCAAUUCUAUCCAUGGUCAUAUUUGUUUGUCAUAGUCAUAGAGGAGGUGUAGGAGGAGGAGGCAGACAUGAUGGAUCAUGGAGAUGGAGGAGUUGGUUUUGGAGGUGGAGGCAUUGAUCUUGGAGGUGGAGGCGGUGAUUAUGGAGGGGGAGAUUUGGGAGGUCAAGGCAUUAAUAUUGGAGGUGGAGGCAUCGGUUUUGGAGGUGGUGGUGGUGGUUGUGGAGGGGGAGGGGUGGUGGUGGCUUUGGAGGUGGGGUUUUCUAAAGAAAAAGGAAAAUAGUUUUUACUCAUAAUAUCCUAUAAAUGUCAUAGAAUGACAUUUUUAAUAAAAUAAACCUUGAAAUUCUUGUAUCAUAGAGAUGAUAAUCUUGUCAAAAAUAUAUGUAAAAGAAAAAAACUCUCAUAUUCAACUUGAUUCAUUGUUAGUCCAUGUGAGCAAGCCGGUCGAGGUUGAUGUAUUUGUUGAUAUUUUUUUUUAUUGAAGCUUAUAAAUGGUAUAUAUCAUCUCUUAUUUUUUGUUUCCUUUUUAUAAAUAAUAUGGAUAUAAUAGAAGUUUCGCCAUUUUUUUUUCCUAAGUUAAAUGUUUUAUACUAGUAAAAAAAACCGAUAAAUGUUCAAUCGGGCACAAAAUGACAAGAGAACAAAUUUUAAGCAUUCCUAGAAGUGCUCAUAGACCAUUUAAUUUUUCCUAUUCCAAAAUUUUAGUUGGAUUAAUGUUAUGAUCCAAAUUAGAGAUGUGAUCUUUAAUUGGUUGUAUAUUUCACAUUACUUAUAAGAUAAGAUUAUUGAUCAUACUUUUAUUCAAGUUCUUCAAGACAAAAAUGGAGUCCUAGCAUUUUACAAACCAUUACUUUGUGUGUAUUAAUAAGAAGGUUUUGUUGAAGUAUAUAAAUUCAUUUUUGCCUCCAUUAAUGCUUAAUUAGUUGAGAACAUUCAUAAUGUUGAAUGAACACUUCUAAAUAUAUAUGCCAAAGAUCAAGUAUAAGGAGUUGAUUGUAAUUUUAAAAUCCUAGUUGGUUGGGUAUCAAACCACAAAAAAGUGAUUUUAGAUGUAAAGGAAAACAAAGGUGUUGAAGAUAAUAAGACCCCUUAGACUCCCUUUUUCUCUCAUGGAUGCUCUCAGUUGGAAAACAAACACAAUUUAAUUAAUCUAAUACUUCAAUUUAGGAGUUAAACCUUCUUGUGAAAUCCUUAAAGCCCUCACAAUCCAUUUGUUUGCUAAAUUAAUAGCUCAAUAAUACAAGCACAAAGUCAAAAUAGCUCUCACAACUACCCUCAAAAGGACCCUAAACUCCAAUUUUAAAGUAUCAAGACAUGAUAUUCUAAUUAAAAAUAGAGACAUUCAACUUACAAGUUGAAUAAAUCAUUAAUUAUCUAAGAUUUGAUGAUUAUUUCAUGGGCACAAGGGAGGUCUUAAAGACCCUUCUGUCCAGCCUAUGCGCUCCUCAAAAGAUAUGAAAAUUGAAUGAAAAUGAAGACUAAAAAAAAAAAAAGGGCACAAGGAAACCAUUAUUAAAAACUAAGAUUAAAGUUCAAUAUUAUAUUAAACUAAAACUUAAAAAUAAGUGCAUCUAAGUAUAAUCAAUGGAAAGAAGCUUGAGAGAUUACAAAACAAUUAAAAGGAGCAAAAACAAGAUAAAAAUUGAAGUUAUAGCAAGUCCCAAGCUUGGAGGGUUGAAAAAGAGCUCCCACCAAGGGUCCUCCUCCAAAAUCCAUUUUUCAACUACGAAAUCUCUUUAAAUAAUACCAUGUGAGUGCAUUGAAAACAAGAUAGGAGAUCUAAUGGUGGCUUUGAAAAAGUCCAAAAAUAUGAGUCCCACACGUUCUUGGAGUUCUAGAACAAAUUAACGACGGUGCUAGAGAAAAUGGCACACUUGAAAAUUGAGAUUAGCAAGAUGUCUUGACGACAAAGGAAACUUGAGUGAGCCACACGGCUUGGAGUCGACAAAAAAAAUCAAAAUUUUGAAAAUUACACUAAGCCUGGACCUAGCCUAUAAAUAUGUCCCAUCUUCUACAACUGUAGUAGAAAUAAUGGCAAGAGGUUUGAUGGUAGAAGCCUAGAAGGCGGUGGAGGAGAAGUGGGUAUGAUGGCUUCAAACUCCCUUACAGGUUUGCAUGGUGGCUAAAGGUUUGAAAUUUCGGUGUAUGCGUAAUUGAAUUUUACGCGUAUAUAUAUAUAUAUAUAUAUAUAUAUAUAUAUAUAUAUAUAUAUAUAUAUAUAUCGAUCAAAUAAAAUUGAUUUAAAAUUUAUGAAAGUGUUUAAAAAAAUAAAAAAAUAAAAAAUAAUACAUAUAUUAAAAUUAUUUUAUAAAUAUAAUUAACAUAAAUAUAAUUAAAUAUAAUAUUUAUCAAAUUAUUAUAAAUAAAAAAUUAGCCUUAAUUUCUUUAAUAUAUUUAUAUUCAUUUAUUUUAAAAUUUUAAAAAUACUUUUAUUAAAAUAUGUUUUAUUAUAUUUUAAUUUUUUAUAAAAUAUCUUAUUUGAAAUUUAAUUUUUCAAAUUUCAUUAUAAAUAUCUCGUGACAACUUUUCUAUUAACAUUAAUUUAUUUAAAUAAUAAAAAUUAUUAAUAAUUUAUCUUAUCAAAUUAAUUUCACUUUAUAAAAUAUGAUAAUUUUUUUUAUAUUAUAGCAAUUUUUUUAAUAAAAUUAUAUUUUUAAUAUUUUAAAAUAAAAAUAUUUAAAAUUAAAUAAAAUUAAAAGGAUAAAUAAAAAAAAAUAAAAGUGAAGUGAUAAUAAUUUUUUAAAAUAGAAUUAAUGAGAUAAAUAUAAAAAGUAGUUAAAAAUAAAAAGAUAAUAUAAAAUAAAAUGGUAAUAUAAAUUUAAAAUAAAAUAUAAAUUUAAAAAUCAAAGAACUUGGUAAAUAUUAACAAAAAAAACUAGGGUUUUUUUAAAAGUCUAAAAAAUAAUUGCUAAAAAAUGAACAAUUUUUUUGGGAAAAAACUCCUCCAGGUGUGUUUUUCGGCAAAAUUUUAGUUUUUUUUUAACGAAAUUUCAAUUUUUACUGAAAUAUCAGCUAUAUCGUCGUAUUUUCCAUUUUUUGGUGGCAAGCUAAUAAAUAAAUGUCAAAAUGAUAAUCUUAUAAAAAAUAUUUCAAAAAGAAAAAAAAAUCAUAUAUUCAACUUGAUUCAUUGUUAGAGUCUUUGUUAUAAAGUCGAUGAUGAUGUAUAUGAUAUAUUUCCUUUAUAUUGAAGUUUAUUAGCAUAUAUACCAUGUCUUAUUUUCCUACUUCGCUUUUAUAAGUACCAUGAAUGUAAAAAAAGUUUCUUUCUUUUCUUUUCUUUUCUUUUUUUCUCUUUUCUUUUCUUCCAAUAAUAAAGAUCAUUUAGAGACAUCCAUGGAAAUUAGAGAAAAGAAAAUAAGAUAAUGAUUUGAAAGAAGGUACAAAAAUAAUUUAUCAGUUUUAAAUAUUUUUAUUUUUAUUUUCUUCUAAUUUUUAUCUUUAUUUUCUUUUAUCUCAUAUAUUUCCUCAAACUUUUUAAAGUCUAAAUCUAAUAGGACGAAUAGUACUAUAUGUACUUGAUAAUCAACUUCAACCAUGAAGUUACAAAAAGGACCCUAUGUUAUAUUUCUAUGUACCAGGCCAUUACCUGCCAACAUGCGAGGCCAGCACGAUAAACUUAAAAAUUGUGGCAAGUCAAGUCAGCCUAUGCAAGCCAAAUAGAUGGCCCGACAUGGCCCAUAAGCCAAUGGCCCAUGGCCCAUGAGUCAAUGACUUUGUUAAAAUUUUUAAUUUAAUUUUCUUAAGUCAUUUGGUCUUAAGUUUUUUUCAAUAUUAAAUAAAAUUUCUUUUUAUUACUCUAAACAUCUCUAAUAAUUAUACUUUUUAUUUUUUAUAUACCUCUAAUAAUUAUAAUUUUUAUUUUUAAUAUUUAUAUUUAUCGAGUUUAUAAUUGUAAAAUUUAUAGAAAUAUUAGUUUUUUAUUUUUAAAAAUAGUACAAAAAUUAUAUUUGAAUUUAUUUAUUUUUUAAUCAAAAUAAAAAUAAAUUUAAAAUAACUCGUAAUAUAAAAGGAAGUGAAGUAUACAAAAAUAAUUCUUUUAUUCAAUAUUUCAACAAAUUACAUUAAAACAAAAAAAUAAGUAGACAGGGUCGACACGAUGGCACAACAGACUAUUUCCUUAGGCUCAGCACAGUCCGCUCCUUUGGGUUGGCACAACCCAGGCCUCUACAGUAAUUGGGUCGUGCUCGCUAGGCCCGGUCUUUUAGUGUGCCAGGCUACAGGCCAAAAUGGCCGGCCAGAUCCAUUGAACACCUCUAUUUCUAAGCCACUAGUUGUGAUAUGAAUAUGUCAAGAUCACCAAGUCUUAUUCAUUGAAUCUUCUAAUAAGGUUCGAAAUAAUAAGGGCCUCUAUCUUGAGGAUUAGAGAAGACCACUCUGAGUGUAAGCUUGAGUAGAAGCUAACAAUUGUUCAAAAUUGUGAAAACUACAACAACCAUGGCCUCAUUAAAUGUUAAAUUAGCCGAUCGAUGUGACCGAUCUUCUAUGGCUAUAACCAAGGAUUAAAAUUUCAACAAUAUUGACAAAAAAAAAAUGGACCGUCAACAUGAUAUAUGGGAGGAAAGGGUAUUUUGAAUAAGAAAACAAAAAAAAAAUAGUAAUUUUAAAAAAUGUUUCUUAAAAUGUGAUAAUUCAAAAAAUAUUUCAAAAUCUAUCAUACUUUAAAGAAAUCUAUAUAUAUAUAUAUAUAUAUAUAUAUAUAUAUGAAAACAAAUUACAAAGUAAAAUACCUACAAAUUCAAUUAAAAGAUAAUCAUAAUAAUCUUCGAAAUCAAACUUUAUAAUAUCUUAAAGAAAAUUUGAUUAUCAAAUGAUCGAUUCUAUAUUAUAAAUACAUUUCCUAAUUCAAUAAAUAGUUUUUAUUUUUAAAAAUAUUACAAAUAAUUAUAUAAAUAUAAAGAAAGAUUAAAAAUAAAUACUACAUAAAAAAUUGUUUUAAAAAUAUUAAAAAAACAAGUUAAAAUUAUUUCAAGUUCCAAAAAGACAUUCAUUCUACGGAAGAUUAAAGAAAAGUUUUCAAAAACUAGUUGUUAGAAUUGAUUUUUAAAACAGUAAUGAAAUAAAUUUGUUAUAUUUUGCUCACCUGCCUCACAUUUCCAGCUUUGCCGCCAAUCUAAGAAAGCUCACUGCCAGAAAUGGUGCCAUCUUCCUUCAGAACCUGGAGUUCCCAUGCACCACUCGUUUGGUCUAUUUCCCCAACCCACCAUGGGAUCUUCAUCUGGCUUUCACCAUGGUUCCGGGUCAGGCCAACCCUUGGAAGCCAUAUAAAAAAUAAAUAGAGAAAAAAAGUACAAAGAAAAAAAUAAAUAAAUUUAAAAUCAAUAUAUUACUUUUUAAAGUUAUUUCAAAUUCAUUAUAUAUACUUAUUUUUAAAAUUUUUAUGUAAAAAUUAAGUAAUUUAAAAAUAUAUAAAUUUUUAAUUAAUUUUAAUUAUAUUUGAUUUAAUUUUAUAAUAGUUUAUAGUGAAACCAAAUACGAGAAUAUUUUUAUAUAUAAGUUUUCUUUUUCUUUCUUUAGAUGUACUUUUUAGAAAAAUUAAAAUAUUAGUAAUUAUAAAUAUAGCGAUACUUCAAUUUUUUGAAUAUAUCGAAAAUAUAUUAAUAAAUAUUUUGAAAAAAAAUAUUGAUAAGUCUAAAAUGGAUCAAAACUUGUGAAAAUGUAAAAAACAAGGUCAUAGAAAUGUAAUUAGAAGUAUAAUAUAUAUUUUAAAUUUUUUUUUUUUAAGAACUUGAUAUAUGUACGAUACAAAAUAAUAUCUAUGUAUUUUAUAAGUGCAUAUUUAUUAUUAAAUUAUAUCAAAUAUUAUUUUACAAUAAUAUUGUGAUAUUUAAUUAUAAUAUGUCUAAUUUUAAAAUAUAUUUAAUAUUAAAAUUAUCAUCCAUUUAAUUCAAUUAUAUUAUAAAAUAAAUGAUGAUAUAUGUAUAAAAAAAUUUAAUUUUUAUAUUUUUUAUAUUUAAUGAAUAUAUAAAUUUAAAAAAAGUUAAGAAAAUUAUUAUCAUAAUUUUUAUAUUUUUAGUGAUCAAUUAAAUUAAAUUUAAAAAUAAAAUAAUUAGAAUUAAUUUAUUUAUUAAAAUAUUUUAUUUUUAUCAUAGUGAUAGUAUAUAUUUAUUCUAGUGCACAUUAUAUAAUAUAAGGCAAGUUAGCCCAAUACCUACAAGUCAAAAUUUAAAUUUUUUUCAUUUGACUGCCAGCCCACCCCGGUGAAAACACCCUUUUCAAUUUUUAUUUUUUUUUCUAGGCAAGAAUUAAUUUUCUAAAUUAAUUUUUUUAAUUAAAUUCUGGUUUGUAAAUUUUAAAUAAUCCUAUUUAAGGAAAAAAAAAAUGUUGCCUGUUACCAUCCCCGUAGUUUAUAAAUUUUUCGGUCAAAGUAAAAACAAAAAAACAAAAAGUAAAAGUCCAAGAAUUGCGCCGGCCAGCCCCAAAAAAUCAGCCAUUUUUCUUCGAAAAAUCGCCUAGCCAAAAUUUUCUUGGUGAAACACACGCCAUUUUUUUUUUGGGAAUUUCACCCCUCCCACAUUUCGCCAUCCGAUUUUGUUUCUACGACCACCGAAAUGUAAUAUUUUAGCAAAAUUUCACCGAAAUUUUUCAAAAUUUUCAUCGUUGCUUUCUAGAACCAAAAGUGAGGAUAUGUGUGGAAAAAAAAAUGAAGAAGUUUUAUUUUAGGGAGAAUUGUAUGUUGAGAUAACUGUCCAAGGUCUUCUUAACUUAUAAUUGAACUUAAAACUUAAUAAUAGAGUAAAAAUUAAGAUAAAUAAUAUUAUAUUUCAAAAAUCUCUAAGAUACCCUUAAUCGUCAAAUAAAAAACUAAUUAGUCACCCUCACCUCUUUCAUUCUCUCUUUUACUCCCUUUCUCUCUCUUUUUUCACCUCACCCUUCUUUCAUCUAUUUAUUAGAAUGAUUUUCCAAUAAUUUUCUCCAAGAAAUUGAAUAUUAUAGAUAAAUAUUUAAAAAUAAUUAUUGUCAAAUCUAUUUUUGAAGUAAAUAUUUUUUAAACAUCUCAUCCAAUAUUUUUUUUUUCAAACUUACAUAAUAUAUAAUAAAUAUAUUUUAAAUACCAGAGAAAAUAUUUUUCAAAUACAUUGGAUACUUAUAUAAUAUAUAAUAAAUAUUAUUCUUUAUUUCAAACUUAUGUUAUUUGUCAUAUAAAUUAAAUAAUUUUUAGAUACCUCAAAAAAUAUUAUUAUUCUUUGUUUGUUUUAACUUACAAAUUAGAUAUUAUAAAAUAUUAUUCUUUUUUUCAAACUUAUAAAUAUAUAAUCAAUAUUUUUUUAAAUACCUUAGAUUUUUUAUUUUUUAUUUUUGUUUCUUACCUACAAAAUAAUAAACAUGUCCUACAUUAUUUCUCAUAUAUAUUAAACAACUUUUAAACACCUCAUAAAAUAUUAUUACUUUUUUUUUUUCUAACUAGCAAAUUAGACACAUUGUAUUUAUUAUUUCUCAUAUUAUUACAAAAAUAAUGUAAACACUCACACUCUUCAAGAUAUUCAAAAUUUGUUCAUUCCGAAAGUACCUAAUUACCCCCCCCCCACUAGUCCUAAAUAUUUUAAAAUAAAGAUUUAAAUAUUUAAAACCAUUAAAAUAAAUAUUUUCCUAUUAAAACAAUUUUUUAAGGGGGUGUUUGGUACGUCGGAAUAGGGAAUGUAAAUAAUAUUUUGUUUUCUUUCCUAUUUCUUAGUGGAAUGGAAUGAAUUUGAUGAUUCCAUUUCUAACAUUUGGAUGAACUUAGGAAUGAAAGAUUGAAAUGAUUAUUUGUUUCCAUUCCAAUGUUUGAUAAUAAUAGGAAUGGAAAUGAAAAAGAAAUAAAUUUACAAUAAUAUCCUUACAUAUAAUUUAAAAUAUUUUUUUAUUUUUACUUUUAUUUUAAAAAAAAAAAAUUUGAGAGGUUUUUUGUUAUUAAAUAAUAAGACUAAAAAAUAUAUAUAUACUCAAUAAAUAAAAAAUUAACCAUAAAAAAUCGUAUAACCCUAAUGCACAAAUAUUCAAUUAUUAUUUUUAUUAAAAAUUUGAAUAAUUUGUCAUGCUUAAGUAGUUAUAAAAUUAUAUUUUUCAAAAAAAAUUAUUUAUUAUAAUAUUUAAAUUCUCAAAGCUAGCAAAUAAGGUAAACCUGAUUGAAGAUGUAGAAGGGAGUUUUCAGAACCUAGUUGCAGCAAACAAUGACGAAUCCUAGAUCCAACAAUCAAAAUGAACAUCCAAAACCCUAUAAAUUAGAAAUUGAUUUUUUUUUUUUAAAUAUCGUGGAAGGUUUAAUUGAUUCAAUUUGGAAGAAUCACUUGUUGUAGAGAAUUGGAUGAUGAGUGGGUCUCUAGCUUUGCAAAGAAGAUAAGAAGUGGAUGAUGAAUGGAUCUCUACCUUUACAAAGAAGAUAAACAUCGGGUUUGAAGAAUAAGAUAAGAGGGUAAAAUAGUAAUUUAGGUUAUUUUAUAUUAUCAAAUAGGUUUAAUGAAUCAAAAUACCACCUACUUUUAAUGAAUGCAAAUCCGACUCAUAAGUUGGAUUUGAUUUCUGCCGGAAUAAUUUUUUAUUUCAUUUCCGCCUUCUUAACAUUUAUCCAAACAUAGGAAUAAGGGAGAAAAUGAAUGAGAUGUCUAUUCCCACUUCCUAUUCCCGUGUACCAAAUACCCCCUUAGUAAUAAGAUAAAAAUCAUGAAAUAUUCAAAACUAGAAUUACAACAAAUUAAAAAAUUUAAUUUUAAAAUUAAUUCAAUAAUUUAAAUUAAUGAUUUUAAAAAAUAGAAAUGUUACAAAAAUAAUUUUUAGUUAUUUUUAAUUCCAUUUAAAUAUGAUUUUUUUAACCUCUAUUGAUAAUGAUGAAAUUAUGUUUAUAAAGGAAAAUUAGUAAAAAUAUAUAUUUCAUUUAGUUUAUUUCAGUUUACUAAUAAACAAUUUAAACAUGAUUAAUUUUAAUUUUAUUUCCUAUGUUAUAAUUUUGGUAGGAAGAUCUUAAUAGCAUAGUUUGGUAAACAAUAUAUAUAUAUAUAUAUUAAUAAUCGUCUUAAUGAUAAGCUUAUGUUGUUUACAAAUCGUACAAAACCUAUUAGAAACCUUUUAUAUCCUUAUACAGUUAUUAUAUUUUAUCUUAUACAGUUAGUGCAACACUCUUAUACAUUGAUGUAAAUUUUAUACACAUGCAUAAAUAAUGUAUUCACAUAGAUGUGUGAACCAUAUUUCCAAUAGUUUGGUUUAGAAAAGACAGGAAGACUUAAAGAACAAGUUUUUCUCCAAACAUCAUUAGUGAGAUAAGUAUUCAAAUUAUCAUGUACGAGUUAAAUAAAGUGUAUAAGAUAGGUAUGUGAUAAACGAAUAUGUAACAUGAGAGUAUAUAGUUCUUGGGUAAUAAGAAAAAUAAAACGAGAGGUUUAUAAUCGAUUAAAAUUCUAUAUAAAGGGUAGUCUUGUACACCACUUGUACACUUAGUAUAUUUCUCUUGUAUAGUUAGUGUAAUACACUUGUACAAUGACACACAUUUCAUAUCACUCCUAAGUUAUGUAUCCGUAUAGGUGUGUAAACCAUGUUUCCAAUUGUUUGGUUGAGAACCAAGAAAGAACAUUACUAAAACUACAAAAAUAAAAUAUGGAGUUACAAAAUAUGGAUGAUGAAAUUUAAAAAUAAGAGAUGAAAUAAUUAUUAUGUGAGAGAAUUUAGGUGGGGAAAUUGUACAAUUUUUGGGUAACAAGAAAAAAGAUGGAGAUUUUUUCAGAAUCAGUUCAAAUCCUUAACAAAUGACAACCUUGUAUACUUAAUAUAUUUUCCUUGUACAGUUAAUGUAAUACCUUUAUAAAGUGAUGCAAAUUUUAUAUCCAUCAUAAGUCAUGUGUCUACAUAGGUGUGUUAACCAUGUUUCCAAUGGUUUAAUUGAGAACCAAGAAAGAACAUUGCUAAACUACAAAAACAAAAUAUAGAUGAUGAAAUUUAAACAUAUGAGUUAAAACAAUUAUUGGGUGCAUGAGAGAAUUUGAGUGGGGAAAUUGUGUAAUCCUUGGGUAACAAGAAAAAAGAGUGAGAGUUUUUCAAAAUCACUUCAAAUCCUUAACAAAUGGCAUUAUUGUACACGCUUAUAUAGUUAGUACAUCCGUCUUAUAUGUAACACCCUUGUAUAGUGGUGCAAAUUUCAUCCAUAUGCAUAAAUUAUGUGUCCACAUAGGAUGAGUAACCAUUUUUUCAAUGAUUUGAUUAAGAAAAUGAUAAAAGACGUAAAAACAAAAAUUUUCGCCACACAUCAUUAGUAAGGUAAAUAUUUGAAUUAUCAUAUGUAAAUUAUAUAAAGUGUACAAAAUGAAUGUGUGAUUGAGGAAUGUAUGGCAUGAGAGUGUGUAAUCUUUAAAUGACAAGGAAAAAAAAAGUUGUCCAAAAUUGAUUGAAAUAUUUCACAAAUGGUAGUCUUGUACACCCCUUAUACAGUUAAUGUAACACCCUUGUAUAAUAAUGCAAAUCUCAUCCACAUGCAUAUUUUAUUUGUUUCUUCAUUUAUAUUGUUUGUAUUUCAUGGAAAACCACUUGAAGUAAAUAUGAUGAAAAUUAAUUUGAUAUGCGUGCAAGCCUAUAAACAAUAUUACAAAUAGUUUAAUAUAUAUAUAUAUAU
rnacentral:lncRNA from 1 species